AAUUUUCCGAAUUGGUUAGGAGACUCGUCUUUUUCUAACAUACGAGUCAUGCAUCUCAGUGACUGUAGUUAUUGUUGGUUGCUCCCACCAGUUGGACGGCUACCGGCACUCAAAGAGCUCUGUAUAGAAAGAAUGAAGUCUUUGAGGACGAUUGGCGUUGAAUUCUAUGACAGAGAUGGAGCUUAUCUGACUCAGCCAUUUCGAUCUCUGGAGAAGCUAGAGUUUAGGGAGAUGCCGGAGUGGGAGGAAUGGGUACCAAGUGGAAGUGCAAGUGGAGGUGAAUAUGGUCCAGACUUUCCUCGUCUCCAGGAGCUGAUUCUAAACGAGUGUCCGAAGCUAAGAGGAAGUUUGCCUUGUGAGUUGCCUUGCUUGAAGAAGCUUACGGUGUAUGGGUGUGAGGUUUUACAUGAUGGAAGGGCGGCUACCGCAACUACCAAUAGUCUUAACUAUAAAUCUCUGGAAGAAUUGGAUAUACAUGGUGGAUGCCAAACUCUGUUAUCAUUAUUAGAGACAAAGCUCCUGUCCCGACUUGACAGACAGUGCUUGCCCAACUGCAAUCGUCUUCAAAGUUUGACUCUUUCGAAUUGUCCAACGCUGUCGUCGUUUCCUAAAGAUGGCCUACCCAGUACGUUGACAUCACUUGAUAUAAACAAUUGUAGGAAAUUAGAAUUCCUACCUCAUGAGAUGUUGGCCAAAUUAACAUCGCUUGACUAUUUGUGCGUACAAAAUAGCUGUGAUUCAAUGAGGUCCUUCCCGUUGGGCAUUUUUCCCAAAUUGACGACGCUUCAAAUUCGUGGUUGUGAGAAUCUGGAAUCUUUUUCCUUGAUUGAAGAAGAAGGAGCUGUUGAGAAUCUUAGCCAUCUCAAUGACUUGCAAGUCUCUAAAUGUCCAAAAAUGGUGUGUUUUCACGAGGGAGAAUUGCCCACUCCCAACCUGAGUCACUUUGUAGUCAGUGAUUGCGAGAAUUUGAAGUCAUUGCCCGAACGCCUUCACACCCUCACAGCCCUUCGAUAUUUGUCGAUAUGGAAUCUUCCGAAUCUGGAGUCAUUUGCAGAAGAUGGGGGUUUGCCUCCCAACCUCCGAUCUUUUAGCAUUUGGAAUUGUAAGAGACUGAGGGCUUCAUCAGUGGGAGAGUACUGGGGUUUGCAAGCACUUGACUCCCUUGAGAUCGAUGGAAGUGACCAUGUCUUGGAGACGUUGCUGUUCCCUGCCACUCUUCACACUCUCCGCAUCUCUGAUCUAUCAACUCUGAAAUCUUUGGACGGAAAGGGUCUUGGACACCUCACUUCUCUUCAAAAGCUAGAAAUUGACAGCUGUCCAAGUCUGGAAUUACUGCCAGGAGAGGAACUUCAACACCUCACUUCUCUUCAAACUCUAAUUAUUAGUUCGUGUGGCAGUCUCCAAUGCCUGCCAGAAGAGGAUUUGCCGUCAUCUCUUUCUCAUCUGAGUAUCUGGCGGUGUCCUCCCCUGGAGAAAAGGUAUAAGAAUAAGACGGGACAAGAUUGGGCAAAGAUAUCUCACAUUCCUUGCAUCAAGAUAGGAUACGAACUGAUCAUAUAAUAUGAGCUAUUCCAUAUUUCAUGCUCAACCCUCAACUCUCAAAUCAAAGUCAGGUGAGGUGUGUGCCUUCUCUUACUUUAAAAAACUGCUUCUCUUCUUCUAAUUGAAUACAAAAACCAAAACACAUAUUCUCUUUCUCUUCCAAAAACCCAAAUACAUGUUGGACAUUGCCCAAAUUUGAUCUCCAAAUUCCUAAUUAUUUCACGCUUUUUGUUAUUUUAUGGUUGCUGGUCACAAAUUAUAUCCUACUUGGAGUAUCAAAUGCUGAAUAAUUAGCAGUCUUUUUGCAGGACGACAUACCUUCUCUUGGCCCUUGGGGAGCUUUUCAAAAUUUGCAAGGUUUCUUUAUGUGGCAUUUCCAGAGGAGGGUCACAGGGCGGAGAAACAGAAAAGGUUUACCUGGAAUAUCUCAUACAUUCCUGCAUGUAGGCAUCAAAUGUACACCAUUUUUAGGUACUUUUAUAUGAAAAAAAUUGUAUUUGAGUCUCAUUUGCACUAGUUUAAAUCAAAUUUAAUGCCUAUGGAUAGUCUAUUAAUAGGUUCAUGCCAUGAAUUAAUCUUUGGACUUUCCCAGGUACUGCAGGUUUGUUAUUAAUGUUGUGGCUAGGUUGUCUUACGUUGAGGAGAGAGAUCGAUCAGCAAUUACAAAAUUGUUAGCGAAUUUAGUUUGUUUAUCAUCUCUCUCCUUUUGUUUGUUAAGUUUUGUUGUUCUAGGUUAAACCCUUGUCCCCGCAUUUCACAGCAACUCUGUGUUAUUCCACUCUGUUUAGAUUUCAUUUAUGUUGUGAUUCGACUGCUGCUGUAUUUUAGAUUUCGUUCAUGUAAUGUUAGGAUGUUUAAUCUCUGAUCUGUGGUGGUAGUUGAGUAGUUGAGUAGUCUAGUUAAUCCAGUAGAUAACUUGUCCCCUGUUUUGUAUUGUUUUUAUUUCUCUGGUAAUGAAAGCACGUUUCUUAUAAAUAAAUAAAAAAUAUUUCAUUGAUAUUCAUUGCUUAUUUUGAACUGCAGAAGCCUACUUUUGUCAGAGUCAGUAGAUGCCAGAAUGAAGUCAUUGCCUAAACACAUUGGCACCCUCACAGCCUUCGACAUUUUGGGAUAUAUGAUCUUCAAAAUCUUGUGUCAUUUGCCUCCCAACCUGCAAUAUUUUCAUAUUUUAAAUUGUGACAGACUGAGCCCUUUGGUGGGAGAUUACUGGGGUUUGCAAGGACUUGGUGGCAAUAUCUUGUAGACGUUUCUCAAGGAACAGCUGCUCAAUGCCACUCUUCGCACUCUAUAUAUUAUGGCCUGUCAGUCUAAAAUUCCUGCCAGGAGAGGAACUUGAACGCCUCUCUUCACUGCAAAGGCUACAUAUUUGUGGGUGUGACAAUACCCAAUUCCUGCCAGAAGAGCGUUUGCUGCCAUCUCUUUCUUAUCUGUGCAUCGACCAUUGUUUUGCCAUGUAGAAAAGGUAUCUCACAUUCCUUGCGUCAAGAUAGGUGAAGAAGUGAUCAUAAGGUAUGAGCUCUCUCUCCCUCUCGCUCACAUACAAAGUACUUAAACACUCAAUCUGAUUUCUAUUAUUAUUUUGCUCAGUAAAUUUUGUUUAAAUUUGCUUUAUUUCUCAUUGCGCUUGUUCUGCUUAUCACAACUUAUAUCCUAUUUAAAUCUCAAAUGCUGAAUAAUUAGCAGGCUUUUCGCAGGACAACAUAUCUUCUCUUGGAGAGAUAUUCAUUUGCAAGGUUUCUUUAUGUGUCAUUUCCAGAGGAGGGUUUACUAUUUAAUAGAAAGGUUCACCUGGAAUAUCUCAACUGACACAUUCCCAAAUACAAGCAUUGAAUGCACAACAUUUUGAGGUACUAUUUUUGUAAUAAAAAUGUACUUGAGUCUCAUUUGAGCUAGUUUAAAUUGUAUUCAAUGUCUAUGGAUAACCUGUGAGCUUAAGUAGUAAGAUAAAACUCACAGUAUAUUAUUAGGGUUUAGGGUUCAACAGGUGAGCUUUAGUUGUACUUUCCUAGGUACUGCAUGUAUAUUAUCUUCGUAUCAACAGGUGGUCUUAUGUGGACGAGCGAGAACAUUGAGGAAUUACAAAAUCUUCUUAGCUUGUUUCAGCUCUGUUUGUCAUCCCUCACAUUUUCUUUGUUAAGCCUUGAUUUUUUAUUAGACAUAAGAAAAAAUGCUUUUAUAAGACAGGAGAUGAAUGCUUUUAUAUGUUGAUGUCAUAGUCAGUCUUCAACCACACUCUGUUUUUAGAAUUCAUUUAUGUUACAAGUGGAGUGCUGCUGUAUUUUAUAUUUCGUUCCUGUAAUGUUUGGAUGUUUAGCUUGAGUAGUCUAGCUUAUCCAGUAGAUAACUUGUCCCCUGUUUUGUAAUGUUUUUGUUUCCUCUAAUGAAAGCAGGUUUUACUUAUCUUGAAUUGCAGAAGCCUACUUUUUGACAUAGGUGGCAUGGCACAAACUCGCAUCCGCAUUUCCUUCCCCAUUGGCAUGCUGUCUCAUCUUUUCUAUUCUGUUACCAGCUUGAAGCUUGUGUAGACAUGUUAUGCUCUUGUAAUUCUGAUCACAAACAUCACUUGACAAAUGGAAAGUCACAAUCAGAUCUUUCAGGUGAUCUGGAGGUUUACUUUCUAACAUUUGUUUUCGUGGGGGGGGGGGGGGAGGACAACAAUACAGAAUUUAAAAUUUCUGAUAAUCAAUAGUAGUUUGCAUAUAUCAGCUGGGACCUGUAUGACUGUAUUAUGUAAUUAAUUAUUCUCUUAUUGUUUUGGUACUGUUAAAAGGAGUUAGCCACACAAAAUAAAAAAGGAGGCCUCUUAUUUCAUACUAAUCGUCUGGUCCAUCUGCUGCUUCACUCCCUAGUAGCUUCAUCUCCUGUCCUUUGCUUUAUUUCUGUUAUUUAUUUUGAUUUCAUGUCCAUUGCUUCAUUUCUGUUUGGAUUCUUAAUUAAAUCUGUCCUGGACUUGAACAAGGGUUAGGUUAGCUGUAUAAUUUGCGGUUUUAUAUACACAACUGUCUACAUUGAUUAAAACCAGCAUUAUUCUAAGGUUCAUUUAGAAUGUAUUAUCACCAAAAUUAUAAAGUAUACUUCUAUUACAAUUAAUUUGUUGAUUCUAAUUUGGACUUGUAGGAACAGACCAAACAUGUUCAUAUGUGGCAUUGCUCAAGUCAUCAUCAUUCGGGACAGAGAAUAAGCCUUCAAAUGUCUGCUGAGUCAAUGAACCUUUCUAGAUAUCUCAAGUGUAAUGGAAAUUGAUGAGUUACAAAGGAUUUGUAAACAUUUUCUACUGGAGGCUAGAAAUGCUUCAAAUAAAUGACUGUGUUGCAAUUAUUUUGUAGGAUCAAAGACUCUGCAAAGAGGUAAGAAAGUCAUCAUCAAAUAACUUUGCUCUUCAAACUUUUUAUUUUUAUUUUUAAAUAUCAGUAAUAACUGGGAAAGCUUGCAUCUCCUUAAAUUGCUCAUUCUUACAUCUUUUAUAGUUUGUUGAUCUUGGGCAAGUGGAGAGAGAGGCGUCAAGUGAUACACAACAACCAUUUUCUGUGAGCUGAUUUGAUAAAGAGAAAUGGUAUGCUUUCUUGUCUUAAGCGGUGUGUUCUGCAAUUAUUUGAAACAAAGGAUGCCGCACUUCAAGUUCGAGAAAAUCAGGUAUUUUAGUAUUUUAUUCUUGAGAAAUUUGAUUUAUGUAGAAACUUGAACAUGUAAAUGAGAGAAAUAUAUAUAUAUAUAUAUUAUAUAUUGUAUAUGCUGUUAAUGAGUUAAUAUGGUGCUUGCUCCUAGUUGGAAAUUUAUGUAGUCAUCUACCUAUGAUCAAAUAAAGAUGAAAAAUAAAAUAAAAUUGAGAGCAUCUUCCUCUCCCCUGCUUUGCUCAUCCCUUGUUCUUCCACUUCAGCCCCACUAUUACACCAUUUUUUCAGCCACAAUUAUAAUAGCUCCAUGAGCAUAUUAACAUCAGUGGCCACAGUUCCAUGAUUUGAGUGCACAGAAAGGUUUCAAAAAUUGUCCCAAAAGUACAGUCGUUCAAAGUGAAAGAGAGUUUUCAAAGCUUAAUUACAAGUUCAUGUUAUUUACAAUAGCAAAAAGCUUUCAUUCUUGCUUACAAACUUGUAUUUCCAAGUUCUGUAAACCUUGGAAUUUCACUUCAUCCAAAUCCCCUUCCAAAGCAGGAAAAAAUGGCAGCAGCUUUGAUUGGAGAGGCUCUCAUCUCUGCUUCUAUCGAGGUGUUGUGUGACAGAGUUACUUCAGCCGAGUUCAUAGACUUAUUUCAGCAGAAGAACUUGAUGAAACACUCCUCAUGAACCUGAAGACAACACUGUUGAUUUUGUUUGCGGUGCUCAAUGAUGCAGAGGAGAAGCAAAUUGUGAACCCUGCUGUGAGAGAGUGGCUUAACAGCUCAAGCAUGCUGUCUUUGAUGCAGAGGACUUAUUUGAUGAGAUUGACACUGAAGCUUUGCGAUGCAAGCUGGAAGGUGAGGAUCAAACCCACAAUAGUUAACCAACAAGGAUCUUUUUGAUUGUUUGAAAGAAGAGUCUUUGAUGAUUUGAAAGGAGAGGGUUGCUUUAUUUCUGUUGGAUGCGUAAUUAAAUCUUAUUUGGAGUUGAACAAGGAUUAGAUUAGCUGUAUAAUUAGUGGUAAACGCCUUUUUCUAAGGGUCAUUUAGACUCCUAUUACGAUUAAUUUGUUGUUUCUAAUUUGGACUUAUAGGAACAGACCAAAUAUGUUCACACGUGGCAUCGCUCAAGUCAUCAUCAUUUCAGACUGAAAAUCAGCCUUCAAGUGUCUGUUGAGCCAAUAAACCUUUCUAGAUAUAUCAAGUGCAAUGGAAAUUCAUGAGUUACAUAGAGAUUUGUAAACAUUUUGAAGAUUGCAACACCUGCAAGUGAGAUAGGCGGUGACGAAAUCAGAGCUGAUUUUGAAGCCUCUGAUGCCCCUGUUGUUGCAAGUUGCACCUGAGAACAUGUUUUUUUUUUCUUUGGGGUAAAAAAACUGGCAACAUGUUCGGAGCUGACAAUUCAAUCCCUGAUGAACUAGAGAAGCGAAGCUCCGGUAAGGAAUUGGUCAAGGUUGUGACAGGGAUGAUUGAUGGUGAAAUGGAUGCUAUUUCUUAUUGCAGCCUGUUCUCAAAGUUCUUGUUGGCAAAUGCAAGAGAUGGAGUAUUUUGAUUGGGAGGAGAUAUAAUGACAUGGCUUGACAAUUCUAGAACAGCCCAUCAUUAAUCCCAGAAAAAAUCCAGUUUCUGCUAAACAAUCACUUAUGGCAAGGCCAACUCUGUAAAUGGAAUUUGUGAUCCCUUGAAAUUGUACACAUUUUUUCUUUUUGAGGAAUUUAAUCAAACAGUAUUCUAAUGUAUUAUGAUAGCACUACACGCUUUUGUUGUAACAAAUUACAAGGAGGAAUUUGGAUUGAGUUUCUUGUAUAAGCACACCUUACACAAAUUUGGUAUAUUUUCUUCCAGCAAGUCUGUUUAUUAACCCCCUUAUCUGAAAUUAAUUGUUAAAAGUUUUGAUUCAUCUUUAAUCAGUGUCUAACCCUUGUUGAAUAACACUCCUCUUUCUAAUUUAUAUUUGAAGUUUGAGGUUUCAAUUUCAAUUGUGGGCUUUGAUUUUACAGAUUUUGUUUGUCAAUUUCAGUUUGGACAAAGCAUAUGCAAACAAAAUAAGCAUUUUAUGUUAUACUUUUGAAAUAGGUGUUGAUUUGAUUUAAUCAUAAGUUUUGCUGGUGCAUUUACUAGGCUAUCAUUCAAUACUUUUGAUCAUAGAACUUCUUUGGUCGAUAUUAUCUUUGUUAAGUUUAACCAUAAAUUUAGAGAGGGGACUUCAACAGAUUUAUAAUCUCAUCAUUAUAGUAUUAAAAAUUAGAGAUUAAGGCAUUGUCUAUUAUCUGAAUUCUGCUUACUUUUAGUUCAUAUGUUUACAUCUUAGCAUAUUCAUGCGAUUAGUGCGGCUCAUACCACAAAGGCAACUUUAGGCUCAUCAAGUGCUAAGCAAUGUCAAGCUUCCAAGUGACAAGUUCUCUACAUAGUUUGAGACCUACACUUACUAGAUAUUAGAUCAUUUCGAUCAUUUCCAUAUGUUUAUAUGUAAUUGACAUGUUAUAACAAUUUUUGUAGCGUUAUAUAAUUAUUUAGCAAUUUAAUUAUUUCUUUGCAUCAAGAAAUAGUUCUUAAGUUAUUAAAAAAAAAAAAAAAGAUUUAAAAAAAAAGAUUUGUUGAUGCUUAAAAAGCAUCAAGAACAGGUAGUUUCUUGACGGUUUAGUGACGUUUCAUAACUGUAGGAGGCUUUUUCUUCCGACAGCUGUAAAUGGGCUGGGUUGCCGUAAAGGGCAGACUGAUGAAAUUGUCCCCUUUUGUCUGAGCUAGAAAAUUAAGCCCCAAAAUACUUCGAAAGGGCAGCAGAGCCUUAGGAAGUAUUUUGGUUACCCUCACCAACUAAAACAACAACAACUUACAGGUAAUUUCUUAAUGCUUACAGAUGAACUCUUGAGCUUGGCAUGAGAGACAUGUGGCAUGGAAGCAAAAUCAACAUGAGUUUAGCACUGAGGGGAAAUUUAGGCUCUCUUGGGGGAAAAAGGGAAGUGUUAAGGUGAGAGAGGAGAAGUUUGUAGGAGAUUUAGCUAAGAAAGGAGAAAUAUAGAACAAUGCUCUUCUGGCAGCUUGACAGAUGCUCUGUCUGCCAGAAAAGGAAGAUGGAGAAGAAAUGUGAAUAGUGCACGAGUUUGCUAGAUUUUUGCAGGUAAGAGAGGAAGCUUGCUCUCUGGGUCUGAGUUGAGUUUUGUUAGGUGGAAGAGACCUCAUUUUAUAGCUCCUGGAAACCAUCACUUCCCAAGAAACCCUAAUGGCUUCUACCCAUUUUGGCCAAGCUUUUCCAUUCCUUUCUCAUUUCCUUCCUUGACUUUACCCCUCUUGAUGAAAUCCUCUCUACCUAUUUGCACCAGAUCAGAGUUUUUUGAAGCUUAAGGCCCCCUUUUCCCGCAGUUGUCUCAAUGGGAGACUUUCAUUCCUAGUCAUUUCCUUUAUUGCUUUCCUUUCUUUUUUUCAUGGCCAAGUCUGGUGGGGAAAGGAGUUGGGAUAAAUAUGCUAGUUUGAAGGGUGCUUCUCUUCUUGGCAUCUUACACACUAAUACCCCUUGGUUCCUUGAAUGUUUUGGCUUUGAAACUUGCUCCCCUCCAUGUAUUGGAACCUCCCAGCAGCCCUGGUCAAUGAAUCUUCAGACCUUCUCUUCGUGGCUUUUAUUUUUUUAUCAACUGGCUAGGGCUUUUGUGGCUCAUUGGGGCAAUUGUAUGGGCUAAGGUGGUUCAUUAAGUAAGUGGGCUAUUUUUAUUAAACAUUGAGCUUUUUGGUUGAGUCACUAGGCUAUUUUGAUUGGGCUAUUGGGCUAUUGUUUCCUCUCUUGUGCUCACCCACAUGUUUGGACCAAAGAAAUGAGCUUGAGUCCUGAGGCUCCCAAGCGACCCGAGACUUUCCAUUUAUCGGUCCAUCAAUGGGCCUCAUGUUGAUUUAUUACCAUCCAUACCACACCCCACUCAAGCAAGCCCCGGGCAUUUGAGUGGCUUGGGCCCACUUAGGCUUGUAGUGUGGUUGGGUGCAAAAUAACGAUUUCGUGCUUGGCAUGUUUUAAUUUUAUCAUCCAUGGGAAAGGCUGCGAUGUUUGAUUUCGGCAUGGGCUUGUAGAGCUGGUAUGCUUUAUUUCAACUCCUAGCAUGACGAAUUAUUUAUUUAGCAUGGCACGUGAAUUACAACUCGCAUGUGGUGGGUUUUUGUGUACUACACCUUACGCCUCUUCUUAAUAGAACAUCGUUUCUGAUAAUUUAUUUGGGCCCAACCGUGAAUUUUUUGGAUCUCAAUAAUAACCAUCAUGAAACAUUACAUUUUGACUGACAUCAAGAAAUGGGGUAUCCCUUUCUUGAUAGUGGCAUCCAUGAUGCCUUCCAAGCCGUCAAUUAAGGGCUAUCGCGAUGCAUUUUAGUUGUCAGCAAAAGGUGUUUUUCUUGUACUAUAUUCACUCAAAAUCGUGUUUCAUUUAAGAUUAGUAGUAUGGUUGAAUACCAUUUGUUUUGUUAAAGAAUAUUAUACAUUAGGGAUUUUUGUAGAAAUGUCAUUUGAACUUAUACCUUAGUUUCAAUUUGUCACCUUGAAGAAAAAUUUAAGAGAAAUAUCACCUUAAUUUUUUAAAAUCCAUGAUUUGUCAUAUGACUUUAAGAUCAUCCAAUUUUCCAUCCAUUUUAAGGGUAUUUUAGACUUUUCAUUUUCAAGGAAAAAAAAGAGAUGAAAAAAGAGACCUCUCUCUUACUUUGUCCCCCAACCCAACCCCACCCGCCCCCAAAAACACAUCACAUAGGAUUGCCUCCCCCUUCCCCACUUUUCUUUUUUCUUUUUGUCAUACUUUUCCACUGUGUUUAUGUUGAAGGAUCUAAAGUUUGCUUGGUCACCAUCUUUUACGUAGGCUUCCUAAUUGUUGGUUUGGGUGGGUUGUGGGAAUUUGUGUGUGGAGGGCAAGGCUCUAUCUGACAGGACCCACCUCGAAUUCCUCGAAACCCGAGACGAAUCUUGUAGAAUUUCCGACAUCACACCGAUGCCGGGUCCACUUCUGAACUAAAUCCUCUUUUCCAAAAUUAAGGAAAAAUAGUACGAGGCUUUCUGCCAAAAUUUCGGCAGUCUUCCCUAUAAAUUUAACGUUUCAGCUUUGGAGGCCGUUCUUUCAUUUCUGCUUUGGUGGCCGGAUGAGAGAACGGCCGGCUAAAACGUGGCCAGCUGGCACUGCCGUCACGAGAGAGAGAGAGAGAGAGAGAGAGAGAGAGAGAGAGAGAGAGAGAGAGAGAGAGAGAGAGAGAGAGAGAGAGAUGUUUAUCAAACCAUUUUUGCCAAAAUUACGAUUAUGCAACUGAGGGUAUUUUGAUCGUAUCUUUUUCGUUAUAACUCCGAUUCAAGCCCACUACAUAUCUACGGACUCAUCUCGCCGUGCUCUAUGCAAUUGUAUAGUUGAAAUUCCCAAAUUCCAUCCCAGUCAAAAAGUCAACUUUAAACCUUAUAAAAUAUUCUAAGGGCAAAAUGGUCUUUUAUCUAAUUAAAUUAAUAAUUGAAAAUUUAUUUAGGACCGGGUCGUUACACUGUCGUUGAUGGACUGUGCGAUGGCACUCACACAAAGUCCUUAAGAAUAAAACACACACACACCAUGAAGAGAGUAAAACAAAUGCACAAAGAUUUAUAAAGGUUUGGCCUCCUGCCUACAUCCUCUUGGUGAUCCACCCGAGAAAUUCACUUGUACGUAAGAACAACUUUGGUUACAACUAAACCCCCUUAGCUUUCAUAAGAACCCUAGAUCUCUUUUCUCCCACCCUUGCUCCAACCCUUUGAUGCCCUUGUAAACACUCAAGAAUUCAUCCUUGAAUUCUAUCAUGUGUUACAUCUUCUCUUCUCCCCUUUGCCAACCUAACCCUACAAGUUAUAUUUAAAAUUCAUUGGACUUUAAGUACAAGUUAACUAGGAAUAGGAAACAUAAAAGACCCCAAAAAUUGGAGAAAAUAUGUCUAGAUCUCAUUAGGAAAUUGCACAACACGUGCGAUCCUCUCGAGCGCCUGCAAAAUCAUCCCUUUGCCGCUCGAGCUGCCGAUAGCUCAUGGGAUGGGGGAAUUAGAAAUUUUUUUUUUUCAAUUUUAAUUGUUUAAAAGAUAUACAAUUUAUUAAUAAUAAUUUUUCCAUUUUUAAAAUACCCUUGAAAAUAGAAAGAUUAAAAUGCCCUUAAAAAUGGAUGGAAAAUUGGAUGGUGUUAAGGUCAGAUGACAAAUCAUGGAUUUUGAAAAAUUAAGGUAACGUUUCUCUUAAAUUUUUCUUUACAGUGACAAAUUGAAAUUGAGGUAUAAGUUCAAGUUACAUUUCUGCAAAAAUUCUUAUACAUUAUGAUAUUCUAACAAUAAUUGGCUAAAAUUGAUAUGUUCCCUCUUUUAUUUUCUUUUUCUCUUUUCCUUUUCAUUUUAUGAUCCAAUCCUUUUCAUAUAUUUUUGUUCAAGACUUUGUUUUAUAAUGCUCUAUUACUAAUUUGGUACAGGUCCCUAAAAUCUCGGAGCCGCCUUAGUACAUUCAUAACGUACAUGUUCAGAGUUCAAGAAUAAUGUAUAGAAUGUGAAAUUGACGAUGCCGGCCUUUAUGAGGCAACAUCUUUAUUUCUUUGGUUAUUCCAGUUUAGAAUAUUUGCACAAAUGAGAUGACUCCAAGCAUAAAGUCACAUUCGACCAAAAAGCAUAAAGUCACACACAAAAAGAACACGGACAAUUGCUAAGUUUAUCCUUGUACCCUUAUUUUAUUGAUCCGACCCAAUUGAAAAAUAAAAAAAGAUGAUAAAAAAUAUUGUUCACUGCUUUAAAAUCUAUGAGUAGAGUCCUCCAUUUGAAAUUUGGUCAUUAUACAAAAUUGGAAUGAAAAAAGAAAAUCCUAAAGCUAUAUUUGAUAUAUUUCAUUUUCAUUUUUUGCUGGGUGUUAGGGCUCGUCAAUGGGCCGGGCCUGGCUAGCCCGGCCCGAAUUUAAUGGGCUUGGGCCAGGCCGGCCCAGGCUUUAAAGAGGAGAGAGAAAAUAUCAGGUCGAGUUUUUUAAGAAAAUUCAAAGCCCAAGCCUGACCCAUGAGCCGGGCUUGAGAAAGCCCAUCGGGCCGGGCCGGGCCUAAACGGGCCCUACUUCAUUCAAAAAAAAUCAUUAACUUAAUCAUAAGGUCAUUUUAGUCCAAAUUUGAGAUUAAACUCACUUAAUUCUAAUAUUUUUACUUCAAACCAAAUUCAUAAAACACCCAAUAAAGUCACACAACUUGUAAGAUUUUCCACAAAAAUAAUAAAACCAAGUAUUAUUUUUGAGGUUAUUACAUAAUUAGAUCGUAAUACGUUUUAAAAAAUAAUUUUUAAAAAUAAUAUUAAUAAGUAUCAAAAAAAUAUUUUUUUAAAGGAUGGUAUGAAUAAAUAUGCAAAUAUUUGGUGAUGUGUUCAAGAAAAGGAUGAUUAUAUUUGGUGGUACGAUUAUGUUUCGUGAUACGAUUAUAUUUAGUGAUGUGAUAUGUUGUUCAUCUUAUAUAUAUAUAUAUAUAUAAUUGUUGAACUAAUAAUUGACACAAAUUAAUGUGUUAAUCAUCCAAUUAUAAACUAGGAGUGAAUAAAGAAAAGUAAAUGAAAUGAAACAAAUUAUAUGUGUGAUUUAAGUGAUAUAAUCCUAAACCUAAACUCUUAUUUAUACAUAAUUAUAUAUGUAUGCGGGCCUAACGGGCCGGACUUUUGUGGGCGUGUCGGGCCGGGCUUUCUUGGGCUUAAUCAGGCUGGACCUAUGGGUCAGGCCGGGCUUCAAACACCCCAACACGAGCCUAGCCUAGCCCGCCUUGGGCCGGGCCAUCUCAAAGCCCAUAACGAGCCGGAUCGGGCUUUUUUCGAUUGGCCGGGCGGGCCCCCUCGACCCAUGAGCCCGCGGGCCAAAUGAUGAGGCCUACUGGGUGUUCAAUUUUUCUUGUUUCUUGUUGAAAAGAAAAAUGAUAAUUAAUAAAAUCUGAUUUGGUGGUUGUGCUCGUCACAAAUCAAUGAAAUGACAGCAGUGAUUUUGCAAGACAGCAUACCUUCUCUUGGGGUGCUUUUCAUUUUGCAACAUUUCUUUACGUGUAAUUUCCAGAGGAGGGUUUAUCAUUGUAUAUAGCUCUUCGGGUGGUUUUUUCUGCAAAACAAAUGUCACAAGGAAGGAGGAGAAACGGAAAAGAUUUACUUGGAAUGUCUCAAGUCUCCUUUGAGAUAAAGGCAUCGAAUGCACAACAUUGUUUUUGUGCUAUUUCAUAAUUAAAGUGUGCUUCCCAAGUCUCCUUUGCGUUUUGUAACUUGUAAUGUUUGUUUUUUUGUUUCCCCUGUUUUGUCUUUUAUAAAAGAAAGAGGAAUGCUAGCAACCUUCUCUCUAAUCUUCUCUUUUGGACCUUCUCCCUUUUCUUUUUGACAAGUGUCAUUUUCCAUACACUUAAAACAAUGACAUUAAUGCAUCACACAAUUUAGUUUUUGUUUUCCAAGUUUACCAUUUUAAAAUGUAUUGGCUUUUAUAUUUCCUUCAAUUAUUCACAUUUUGUUAUAACUUGUUUAGCACAUUAUUUUUUUUAAUUUAAAAAAAGUCAUAUUUUUUAAAAAUAAAAAUAAAGUUUGUUUCAUGACAUUGUUAUCAUUUUUAUUUUGUUUUUAACAAAACACGCAUUCUCUUUGGAAAAAUUAAAAAUUAAAAAACAAUUCAGUUUUUAUUUUCUUAUUUAAUUUUUAACAAGCUAGUAAGAAAGUUAUAAAAAAAAAUUAGCUUGUUAUUAAAAAAAAAUUAAUACAUUUAAUAAGGGUAAAUUUGGAAAACAAAAACUAGUUUGUGUGAUGCAUUAAUGACAUUGUUUUUAGUUUAAGGAAAGUGACACUUGUCAUGAGAAGAAGGGAGAAGGUCCAAAAGAGAAGGUUAGAGAGAAGGUUGUUAGCACUCCCCAUAAAAGAAAUACAGGUCUGAACCACACGGAUCUACUUGCAUAAUAAUGGACCAAAUUUAUGAUUUUUAGAAAGAACCUUCUACUGGUGGAAUCUUGGGCUACUGUUGUGGCUCUCCUCUGUGUGCCUCCUUUUUAGAAUGGUAAAAUAUUCAAAAUACCAGAAAAUGUUCAUGAUUAAUGCAAAUAUUAAGAAUUGAAAUUAUUAAUUAAAUGAAGAUAAUAUGGUAAAUUCACACUUUUUCAUAUUAAAAAAAUUAAAAUUAAAAGAAAUAUCAGAUAAUUACUCUUAUUUUUAUGGAACACAGCUACCCAUUAUCUUUUUUAAUUAUAAAAUAAAUUUAAAUUAUAAAAAAAAAAUCCUCUCACAUGCACGGAAGCGCGUGCUCAGAGGCUAGUUAAAAAUAAUGAACUUUGCUUCUGAUGUCUAUACCAGACCCACUCAACCUGCUUUAUGAUUAUACAAAGAACAAACUCGUCCUUAGACUCAUUUGGUUAAACUUAGAAAAUAAUGAAACAAAAAUAUACACACCCACAAGUAACACAGCCAGGAUUGAAAACAACUGGACAAAGAAAGGCAUGUUAAAACAGAAUUUUCAACAACUCAUCACCAUUAGACAAGAAAAAGAAAAAUCAAUACAGAAACAGAAAGAACAGAGAAUAAAUGUGGUGGAAGAAAAACGUUGAAGCCAUUUGUGAAUCCAACAACACUACCACUCUGUUUCUCUCCUUUUGUUCAGGCGGAUCUGCAUAUAUCCUAAGGCGUAUUACGGAAACAACUUCUUGCCGUUAUACUUGAAUGUUGUGGAUGCUUCAACGUUGCCAUCUGGGUGGAGUGGAUUUGUCCAAUUCACCUUCACUAUGGUUAAUCAACUAGACAGACAUAAGUCAGAAACAAUAGGUAUAUAGGUCCAAAUUGUUGUUAUUUGAAAGGCUUCUAAAUUUUAACAUUUUGAUUUCUAAAUUUUGUUUUAAUAUUUCGGCCCACUUAGUUCUUCUCAAAAUAUGUCAUCAAUAUCGUUGAAAGGUUGAACUUAGUGAAUUAUUAUAGUGCAGUACGGUAAAAUAGGCACAUGAUAUAAUUUGUCCACAUGUUCUAAUAUAAGUGAAUAUUUAUUGAUAUUAUUUUCAAAAAUAAAAAAUAUCAACCAUUACAUCCUCCCAUAUUAUAAUACAUAUACAAAUUAUACCACAUUAUCAUACUCUAAUACCAUUUUAUAAUUUCUCGUACUUAGGAGGUAUAGAGCGAGUCAAUGACAUUACAUAAUAUAUAAUUGUUCAUAUAAUGGGGCAACUAACGUGAUCAACAAGUUGUGGUGAUUAAUUUAACAUAAUAAAAAACAUACCAUUUACUAUGUAACAAUUUGUUCUUUUAAAUUGGAUUGUCAUCACUUUAAUAUGUUAUGUUUCUUAUUCUAGUCUCCCAUGUUAAGUGCUUCAGCAUUGUUUGUGGUGUGUACACAAAUUUUCUUAUAAAAUGUUUUAAUGCUUCUCACAUGUAUAUCAGAUAUAGACAGUUGAUGUGACUUAGAAAUCAAAUUGUCAAUAAAGAAAAAAAAUAUAAUUGGUGAUCGAGGUCCAAUUUAAUAGAAAAUAGUCUUAAUUUGUAUAUUAAAGGUUUCAGAUUCGAAUCCUCACUGCAUUAUUGUUGUAUGCGUACACGAGAAAUUCUAUUUCCCAAUAAUUUAGAUUAUCACUUAUACUAAAAAAAAUAUAUAUAAUAAGUUUUACGAAUGCAAACAUAAAAUUACACCAAACAAUAAUGGAAUAGAAAGAUGGAAGUUUUUUUUUUUUCCUACAUCUAAAGUAUACUUUAUAUAUAUAUUUAUUAUGGGAGUUAUAACCGUUUAAUUUUCAGUUUUUAUUUUCUAUUUAUUGUGUUAAUUUUUAUGGUUUAAUAUGUAUGGAGAUUACAAGUAUUGGAUGUCUAUAAAGGGCCACUCCUCCUUCACAUCUGAAACAAACCACCAUCUCAUUUCUGUAUUUUCAUACUUUCAUAUAUUUUCUACUUUCCAGAUUAUUAUUUUUGGGCAACGGUUUUGUGACUUGGAGAUUUCUAUCCGAUUGUUAACAUGCUCAUAACGGACCUUGAGCUUGCGUAUUGGGGAUCGUAUCUUGGAGCCUUGUAGACCUUUAUUACGUGCAUGUAGGGAGGCUACAAAUGCUUUAGGUCAGCGUCUUUGACGUACUUUUGCUUUCUUUUUUUACUUAUUUCUUCGUUUCUUUAUUUUUACUUUACUUUUAAAUCUUUAUUUUAUGUAUUAUUUAUAUUUAAAAGUUUUGAAUAAGAGUUUUACAGAAAAGGAAAAACACAAUUUCAAAUAACACAAAUUUCUCGUUUUUUGUUCUUAAAAAAGAAGAAGCAUUGAUUGGGGAGUUAUGGUAAACUCAGUUUCAAUGGUUGCGAUGAGAGGCGGUGGCGGCGAGGAGAGGACGAAGGCUUUGCUGCCGACGGGGUGGUGUGGCUGGCUGCUUGGUCCUGGGUUCUCCUUUAAUUCUCUGUUUUCUUUUUUCAUUUUCUUUUUCUCUUAGAGUUAUUGAUGUUAAGUGAAUGGACAGAUGCCAAAAUAGGGACAGAAGAUGUGAACCCAAUUAUAUACAGCUGCUGCUAUAGCUGAUUACAUAAAGUAACAAAUUAAUUAAUGCUUGAGUGGAGGACAGGCUUGAGUGGAAGAAUUGAUUAAGGCUUGAGUGGAAGACAAACUUCAGUGGAGGAAAGUAUAGAUAAGGAAAGCAUGCCUCGUUUAACGGCUUUAUCUAAUAAAGAUUACUUGUUGGCACUUGGAGUUUCUUAGGAAUGCUGGUUUUGUUUCCUUGGUGGACUUGAAAGGUGGUGCCUUGGCUCGGACAUCUCCCAAGACAUACAACUGCUCAUUAGCUGAAUAUCUCGCUCUCUUUAAAGAGAUCGAAGCAAACACAAUUUGCAAUUUGUGUGAUUCAAGCAUGAAUAUCUGAUAUAGUAACUAUACCAUUUGUUGGUUUGAUAAGAAAAGUUUGGUUAGCGAGGAUGAAACCAUAAAGUUCCCAAAACACACAAAGAACACGGACAAUUGCUAAGUUUAUUCUUGAGUUCACACAUAUUUGCACAAAUGAGAUUAUUCCAAGCAUGAUUAUACCAUUUGUUGGUUUGAUGUGAAAAGUAUGGGCAACGAGGGGUAAAACCAUACAAACACACACGAAGAACGUGGACAAUACUAAAUUUAUCUUUACGUUAUUGAUCCGACCUAACUGUAAAAUAAAAAAGAUGAAAAUAUAUAAUGUUCAGUACUUAGAUCUAUGAGCACUUGCACAAAACAUCACUUUUGGUCUUUGGUAAAUUUUUAAAAUAAAUGAAUUUUUUACUUAUUUGUGAACUGAAAUGCCUCUAAAAAAAUAAUGAUAGUUCGAAGAAUUUGAUAGAAAUUAAAAAAUAUCCUCAAAUUACUUGGAAUUGAAGACCACAUAGGCAAAAACACGAAAUUGAAACCUCACUUUAAUGAUAAAAAUGGUAAACUACAAAGACAAAAAUGACGUCUUGCCUUAUAAAUAAUUGGAAUUUGCUGGUGAUAAUAGUCGAUAUCAUCUUUUGUCGGUCCGACCUAAAAAGAAGAAAAAGUUAAAAGCAUCUUGUACCAAUUUUUGCCAAUGUGGGCCCAAACAAUUUGAAGAAGUCCACCGGCAAUUUCUCAAAAGCUAUUGUGUGAGUGUGAAGCUAAACCAAUAUUAUUUUGCAUAUCCGACCCCACAUCCCCAUGUGAUGUGAGGCUACAGAGGUGUUUCCAAAACGAAAUAUGAUAUUUCAAAACGUAGCUAUGUAUAGAGUCAUUUGUAUUUGCUUUCACAAUAACAUUUGAUUUUAUAUUUAUACAUUCUGAUAUUUUAACAAAUAAAUUGACUAAAUUUGGCCAACAGGAUUUAGCCGAAUAGAAAAGUUCUUAUUUAUGGACUAGUAAUUUUAAAUUUAAAAUUUAGACUAUCGCAUGUAUUUAAAAAAAACUAAACAAUUGGCUUAAUUUGAUAUAUUUCCUUUUUUUCCUUUUUGCAUUUUAUGCUGGUUGCCGUUAUUAAGUUUUAUCCUUAUUUUUUGUUGAAAAGAAAAUUGAAAAAAAUAAUAAUAAUUCCUACAGCUAGCAACUUCUCCACCUACAAAAAAUAAUAUUUUUUGUUUUAUCCUCAUGUGAGGCUACAGAAAAUUUUUGAAAACGAAACUGGAUAUUUUAUCUCUAACGACAGCUUUCAUACUUCGUUUACCCUGUGUUUCCAAGUUGUGCUAGCUAUUUGCAAACCUUGGAAUAUUACUUCAUCCAAAUCCCUUGCAGAGAAAAGAAAGAUAUGGCUUUGAUCGGAGAGGCCCUCAUCUCUGCUACCAUCCAGACGUUGUGUGACAAAAUUGCUUCGCCUGAGUUCACCGACUUAUUUCGGCAGAAAAAGCUCGAUGAACAACUCCUCAACAAGCUGAAGACGACGCUGUUGACCUUGUCCGUAGUGCUUAAUGAUGCAGAGGAGAAGCAAAUUGAGGAACCUUUAGUGAGAGACUGGCUUGACAAUCUCAGACAUAAUGUCUUGGCUGCGGAGGACUUACUGGAUGAAAUCGACACUGAAGCUUUGCGAUGCAAACUGGAAGAAGGUGAAGGUCAAACCCACAAUUUAACCAAGAAGGUACGUGAUUUUUAUCAACGCAUGAAUGUUGAGAUGAAAGAUUUAUUAGAAAGAUUAGAACAAUUUGUACAAGAGAAAAGUGCUCUUGGUUUGAGAGAAGGUGCUGGGAGGAAGGUUUCACGAAGAACAACAACUUCCUUGGUUCAUGAACCUUGUGUCUAUGGUAGAGAUGAAGUCAAAGAAAAUCUGUUGCCAAUUUUGUUAUCUGAUGAUGCAAGUAAGGAUGAUGUGUCUGUCCUCACCAUUGUUGGAAUGGGUGGGAUUGGCAAGACAACCCUUGCCCGACUGCUUUAUAAUGACGAUGAGGUGAAAGAACAUUUUCCACUUCACGCUUGGGUUUGUGUUACGGAAGACUAUGAUUCUAAUAGGAUAACUAAAACUCUUCUAGAGUCAGUCACCUCAAAGUCUUCUAAUAUGACAGAUCUAAAUUUACUUCAAGUUGAACUAAAAGAACAACUCAAGGGAAAGAAAUUCUUAUUUGUUUUGGAUGACCUAUGGAAUGAGAAAUAUGGUGAUUGGAAACGCCUCCAAACUCCUUUUACUUCUGGGGCAAGGGGAAGUAAAGUCAUUGUAACAACACGGAGCCAACAUGUAGUAUCUGUCCUGCAAAGUGUUCAUGUUCAUCACUUGGAACCCUUGUCGCACGAAGAUUGCUGGUUCUUACUUGCAAAACAUGCAUUUGGAAAUGAAAAUUGCAGUGAUCCAAACUUGGAAGAAAUUGGCAAGAAAAUUGCACACAAGUUCAAUGGGUUGCCUUUAGCUGCAGAAACACUUGGGGGUUUGUUACGUUGCAAUAUAGAUUCAGAGGAAUGGAAUACAAUACUAAAUAGCAGUAUUUGGGAGCUACCCUAUGAUAAAUGUGACAUUCUUCCGGCUCUUGGGUUGAGUUACCAUUAUCUCUCCUCCCAGUUAAAACGAUGCUUUGUUUAUUGUUCAAUUUUUCCAAAGGAUUAUGAGUUUAAAAAGGAAGAUAUAGUUCAAUUUUGGAUGGCAGAAGGUUUAAUUCCAAAAGCUGAGAAUGGAAAGAGCAUAGAAGCGGUAGCUAGAAAAUACUUUGAUGAGCUGUUGGCACGAUCGCUAUUUCAAAAGUCAAGCAAAUCCGGUUUCACAAUGCAUGAUCUCAUUAAUGACUUGGCCAUGUUCAUGUGUAAGGCAUUUUGCCUUAGGUUGGAAGGGGGGGAAUCACAUGUCGUAGAAAAAGUUCGGCAUUUUUCAUAUGCUAUGGAAAGAUUUGAUGCAGCUCCAAAAUUUGAGCCAUUACAUAGGGCUAAGUUUAUGCGGACCUUUCUACCCAUAUCAUUAAAUUUUGUUUCCACUUCUUAUGUAACUAAAAAGGUUCUACAAGAUUUGUUGCCGUCACUAAGAUGUUUACGGGUGUUAUCAUUGUCACAUUAUCAAAAUGUUACUGUGUUACCUGAUUCUAUUGCAAACCUCAUUCACUUGCGCUACUUGGAUCUUUCCGGUACCGCAAUUGAAAGGUUACCUGGGGUACUUUGCAAUCUCUACAACUUGCAGACAUUACUAUUGUCAAAAUGUUUCUCACUCCUUGAAUUGCCUGCAGACAUUAGAAAAUUGACUAAUUUACAGAAAUUGACAUUGCUCGGUUGUAGUUCUCUUAAUAAAUUGCCUGCAGGCAUGAAGGAGUUGACUAAUUUGCAUCAUCUUGAUGUCAGUGGAACUAAAAUUGAAGAGAUGCCGGUGCAAAUGGGUAGAUUGAAAAGUUUGAGAACAUUGACUGCAUUUGUUGUGGGCAAAUCUACUGGGUUAGGCAUAAGAGAACUGAGGCAGUUCCCGCAACUUCGAGGAAAACUAUCAAUUUUGAAGCUACAAAAUGUAGUUGAUGCGAGGGAUGCACUGCACGCCAAUAUGAAGCACAAGAAAGAUCUCAAGGAGUUAAAGUUUUCAUGGGGUGCGGAGGAUGCUGAUGAUUCCCAAAAGGAGAAAGAUGUACUCGACAAGCUCCAGCCUUGCGUGAAUUUGGAGAAAUUAUCCAUCAAAUUCUAUGGUGGAACCAAUUUUCCGAAUUGGUUAGGAGACUCGUCUUUUUCUAACAUACAAGUCAUGCAUCUCAGUGACUGUAGUUAUUGUUGGUUGCUCCCACCAGUUGGACGGCUACCGGCACUCAAAGAGCUCUGUAUAAAAAGAAUGAAGUCUUUGAGGACGAUUGGCGUUGAAUUCUAUGGCAGAAAUGGAGCUUAUCUGACUCAGCCAUUUCGAUCUCUGGAGAAGCUAGAGUUUAGGGGGAUGCCGGAGUGGGAGGAAUGGGUACCAAGUGGAAGUGCAAGUGGAGGUGAAUAUGGUCCAGACUUUCCUCGUCUCCAAAAGCUGAUUCUAAACGAGUGUCCGAAGCUAAGAGGAAGUUUGCCUUGUGAGUUGCCUUGCUUGAAGAAGCUUACGGUGUAUGGGUGUAAGGUUUUACAUGAUGGAAGGACCGCUACCGCAACUACCAAUAGUGUUAACUAUAAAUCUCUGGAAGAAUUGGAUAUAAGUGGUGGAUGCCAAACUCUGUUAUCAUUAUUAGAGACAAAGCUCCUGUCCCGACUUCGGAUUCGAAAUGUUGUUGACAUACAGUGCUUGCCCAACUGCAAUCGUCUUCAACGUUUGACUCUUUGCCUAACGCUGUCAUCGUUUCCCAAAGAUGGCCUACCCACUACAUUGACAUCACUUUAUAUAAACAAUUGUAGGAAAUUAGAAUUCCUACCUCAUGAGAUGUUGGCCAAAUUAACAUCGCUUGACUAUUUGUGCGUACAAAAUAGCUGUGAUUCAAUGAGGUCCUUCCCGUUGGGCAUUUUUCCCAAAUUGACGACGCUUCAAAUUCGUGGUUGUGAGAAUCUGGAAUCUUUUUCCUUGAUUGAAGAAGAAGGAGCUGUUGACAAUCUCAGCCAUCUCAAUUCCUUGCGUGUCUAUAACUGUCCAAAAAUGGUGUGUUUUCACGAGGGAGAAUUGCCCACUCCCAACCUGAGUCACUUUGUAGUCAUUGGUUGCGAGAAUUUGAAGUCAUUGCCCGAACGCCUUCACACCCUCACUGCCCUUCGAUCUUUGAAUAUAUGGAAUCUUCCGAAUCUGGAGUCAUUUGCAGAAGAUGGGGGUUUGCCUCCCAACCUCCGAUCUUUUAUCAUUAGGAAUUGUAAGAGACUGAGGGCACUUGACUCAGUGGGUUUGCAAGCACUUGUCUACCUUCAGAUCGAUGGAAGUGACCAUGUCUUGGAGACGUUGCUGCUCCCUACCACUCUUCACACUCUCUGCAUCUCUGAUCUAUCAACUCUGAAAUCUUUGGACGGAAAGGGUCUUGGACACCUCACUUCUCUUCAAACUCUAAAAAUUUACAGCUGUCCAAGUCUUCAAUGCCUGCCAGAAGAGGGUUUGCCGCCAUCUCUUUCUCAUCUGAGUAUCCGCUGUUGUCCUACCCUGGAGGAAAGGUAUAAGAAUAAAACGGGACAAGAUUGGGCAAAGAUAUCUCACAUUCCUUGCAUCGAGAUAGGGGAAGAAGUGAUCAUAUAAUAUGAGCUAUUCCAUAUUUCACGCUCAACCCUCAACUCUCAAAUCAAAGUCAGGUGAGGUAUGUGCCUUCUCUUACUUUAAAAAACUGCUUCUCUUCUUCUAAUUGAAUACAAAAACCAAAACACAUAUUCUCUUUCUCUUCCAAAAACCCAAAUACAUGUUGGACAUUGCCCAAAUUUGUCUCCAAAUUCCUAGUUUAAAUCAAAUUUAAUGCCUAUGGAUAGUUUGUUAAUAGGUUCAUGCCAUGAAUUAAUCUUUGGACUUUCCCAGGUACUGCAGGUUUGUUAUUAAUGUUGUGGCCUGAUAUUCGUCGUAUCAAUACGUUGAGGAGAGAGAUCGAUCAGCAAUUACAAAAUUGUUAGUGAAUUUAGCUUGUUUAUCAUCUCUCUCCUUUUGUUUGUUAAGUUUUGUUGUUCUAGGUUAAACCCUUGUCCCCGCAUUUCACAGCAACUCUGUGUUUUUCCACUCUGUUUAGAUUUCACUAGCAGGAGAGCCCGCGCGAUGCUGCGGGUUUUGAAAUUGUGUAGACAAAAUUAGAUUGUUUAUAUAUACAAUGAGAUUUAAUUUAUAACAUUAUGUUUAACUACAGGAGUGUAAGUUGCAAAAAAGUAUAUAAUAACAUAUUUUACAGGCUACUUGUUAUGGUAAAAUACUAUACUUGUUUGUAUAUACAUUGAGAUGUUUAUAGUAGGAAGUAGGCAUCAAAAUAGCAAAAGUUGGAUAGUUUUGUACAGAAUGUUAUUUAAUUGGGCAAGCUUUGUUUUGCACUUGCUUCAUGAUUUUUCUUCUCUUUCAUGGAAGUCUUGAUCCUGUUAUAAAAAAAAGUGAGAAAAUAGUAAAUGUUAAUAUUGAUGAAUGGGGGAAAUUGAGUUAGGACAAUAAUCAUAAACAUUUAAUUAUGUAUAAACAGGAAUAAUAUAAUUUAUUGAUUUAAUAAGAAAGUUAUAAAUAGUUUUUCAAUCUAGGAAAUACAAAGUUACAAAAUUAAGAGAACUAAUGAGCAAGUUGUAGAUGGUUUUCUAAUUGAAGUAAUACAAAGUAAACAUAUUUUAAAUUUUGUGUUUGUCUAAAAGAAAAGUUGAAGAGAGGCAAAAUAAUUAUGGUUGAAUAUAUGGAGAAAAGGAUGUCAAUAUAAUGUUUAGGUUUUUAUGUAUUAGGAAUAUAUGACUUUUUUGCUGUUAUUUAGAGCAAAAAUUAUUUAAGGGCUUGACAUUUCUGUUAAAAAACGGGUAGAAUCUACCCUGAAAAAUGGACAUUUUGCCAAAAAAUUCACCUGUAAACUAAUUAGUACUGAAUACCGAUUGGCGAAGGCAAGACAAUCAUAGUUGUGGAGUACAUAGUUAGAAAGAUGAAUGUGCAAACGUACAUCUAACCCCAUGAUAUACAUCUAACCCCAUGUGAACAUGAUUUAUUCUACAACAAUGAUUAUCAAUUUUCUAAUUGCUCAUUUUCCUAACCCUAAUCAUCACAAACCCAAAAUUAACUCUAAAAAUUUCAAAUAAGCAUGGUUCUAAACCAAUUUCUAACUUACUUAGCGAAGUCUUUUCUAUAAAUGAUAGUUGUUGAAGAAAAAGGGAAACGAAAAUAAGCUUUUAGUGUAUAAGUACAUUGAAGCAAAACAUGAAGAGAAUCCAAUAUAUAACUUCAAUAUAUAACUUUAAUUUUCUAUAAGUGUUGAUCUAAAUUUACAUCCCUUACCACUCUUCAAUUUAAAAAUAGUUUUAGCUACAACAAACAACUUCAGAGAGAAGAUUUGGCCCUGUUUUAUAAGGCAAAACCUCUCUAACCACAUGACAUACAUCUAACUCCAUGUGAACGUGAUUUAUUCUACAACAAUGAUUAUCAAUUUCCUAAUUGCUCAUUUCCCUAACCCUAAUCAUCACAAACCCAAAAUUAAUUCUAAAAAUUUCAAAUAAGCAUGGUACUAAACCAAUUUCCAACUUACUUAGUGAAGUCUUUUAUAUAAAUGAUAGUUGUUAAGGAAAAACGGAAACAAAAAUAAGCUUUUAGUGUAUAUGCACAGCACAGAAAUUGCAUGUAGCUUUCCGAUUUUUAUCCCAACUUCGUUUCUGUGGAAUCACAAAACUACAUACGCACAGCACAGGGAAGGGAAAAAAAAAAAAAGGCACAUUUAAGAGACACCUAUCUUCUCAUUCUACAUCACAUCCUCUUUUCCUAGCUUUCCAACCUUGCAACCAAAGCAAACAUCUUUCCUGAUAAAGGGUAGGAAAGAAAGUGGUUGUGUGAAUUGGGAUGAGAGAGACAGAGACAGAGACAGAGACAGAGAGACAAAGAGAGAGAGAGAAAAGAGAAAUCAAAGUAUAUAUAUAAAUAGUAAGUAUAGUUUAUAUCAUGCAAAGUUUUGAUGGUUUCGUUCAAAAAAAAAACAGGGAAAAAGUUUUGAUGGGUAAUUCUAGUAAUAAUGUUCUUAUAAUUCUAUAUAUAUAUAGAUAUCAAACUGUACUACCAUAUUCUUCCUAUAUAUACACUUGGUCGUCAACUACCUCUCUCUCUCUCUCUCUCUCUCUCUCUCUCUCUCUCUCUCUCUCUCUCUCUCUGUGACCUGCAUUUAUACAGAACCAAUUAUUCCAUCUUCACUAUACAUUUUCCUCAUCUUCCCAUUCAUAUUUUAUGGCUCUCUUGUUCUUCCUCCUAAUUCUUUUGGUCCCUGCAAGCAAUACUAAUUGGCCACCAUCACCUGGCUACUGGCCAAGUUCUAAAUUCAGGUCUAUGAGCUUUUAUAAAGGAUUUAAAACUCUCUGGGGUCCUCAGCAUCAAAGCUUAGACCAACAUGCAUUAACAAUCUGGGUUUAAUGAGGCCAGAAAAUUUUAAGAACUUAUCUACCAAGCAUACCAAACUGACAAAGCAAACCAUAUCUGUAUUUUAUCAUCAAUUUCAUCAAUUUUAUCACCAACAACAGAUAAAAAAAGGGAAUUUUUUCAAAAAAAAAAAAAAGGAAAAAACAUAAAUAAAAAAAGGGGCACAUUUAAGAGAGACCUAUCUUCUCAUUCUACAUCACAUCCUCUUUUCAUUUUGAAGCGGUCAUGUGUUGUGAGUUUCUUGUUUUAUAAAUUUUCAAAACUGUUGUUUAGAACUGCAAAAUUCUUCAUCAUAUAUCUUGCCUUCUAAUAUACAUUCUGUAUCAGGAAACUGGAAUGAGGCUUGCUCUUUGAGGAAGAGAAAUAAAAGAAAAAGUUGUGGCAAAGGUUCACGGAUGUAGUUGGAUUGUAGUGGGACAGAGAACAAAUUUAUUUGUUGCAGGGGAAAAGUCUCAUCCAAAUGCUAUGAAAUCAUGGCAACUUUAAAGUAUUGGACAGCAAUAAUGAAAGAAGAGGGCUAUGUUGGUGACACAGAUUCUUGCUUGCAUGAAUAAGAGGGAGAAAAGCCCCUAUGGUAUUGACUGUUGCCGCCAAGUGCAUAUUGUUAUUACUAUGCGUACUACAUCCCAAGGCCUCUCUCAGCAGGAUUACAAAGUAAACCAGAAUUACUAUCCCAGCAGUAUUCUGCAACUUUGCUCUGCACUUCCUUAUGUAAUCUCUCUCUCUCUCUCUCUCUCUCUCUCUCUCUAUAAAUAUAUAUAUACACACACACACACACACACACAUAUAUCUAGGCAUGCAUAUUUAUGAGUUCCCCAUUGAGGAGGGAUUCCCUUUUGAGGAUUUUAUAAUUAGAAUUAGACUGCCUUCUUAACCAAUAGUUGGGUUUGUGUGGUAAGGUAUGCUGGGUUUGUUGAUGUGGAUAUUUAUGCCUGGAGGUGCUUUGUUUUACUACUUCGUUGAAGUAGAAACAGACACUGACAAAGAAGCCCUUCAUUCUUUGUCUCAAUAGUGAUUGGUUUCUUUGAUCCUAUUCAUCAUAUCUGGUGGUGAGGUUGCCUAAUCAGCCAAAUGUUGGGUUCAACUACCUCUCUCUCUCUCUCUCUCUCUCUCUCUCUCUCUGUCUCUCUCUCUCUUUCUCUCUCUCUCUGUGACCUGCAUUUAUACAGAGCCAAUUAUUCCAUCUUCACUUUACAUUUUCCUCAUCUUCCCAUUCAUAUUUUAUGGCUUUCUUGCUCUUCCUCCUAAUUCUUUUGGUCCCUGCAAGCAAUACUAAUUGGCCACCAUCACCUGGCUACUGGCCAAGUUCUAAAUUGGCCAGAAAAUUUUAAGAACUUAUCUACCAAGCAUACCAAACUGACAAAGCAAACCAUAUCUGUAUUUUAUCAUCAAUUUUAUCGCCAACAACAGAUAAAAAAAGGGAAUUUUUUCAAAAAAAAAAAAAAAAAAGGAAAAAACAUGUUUAGUCUUUGCUUUCCAAUGUUUUAUCCAAAAACCUGAAAAUCAAAGUAACUAAAUAAAUGAACCCAAUCAUUCCUAAUUUCUAUUUUGUCAAAACCUAAUUAAGCUUCACUUCUUUUUUGCUUGUAUUUUAUCAUCAAUUUCAUCUAUUUUAUCACCAAUAGCAGAUAAAAAAAGGAAAUUUUUUCAAUUAAAAAAAAAAAAAACAUACUCAGUCUUUGCUUUCCAAUGUUUUAUCUAAAAACCUAAAAUCAAAGGAAUCAAAUAAAUAGGGUUUAGGGCUCAAGAACCUGAAAUCAAAAGAACCAAAAAAAUGAACACAACUCUACAUAGCACGAAAAAUCUCCCAGCCAACAAUCAAAUUCAUGAAAUAAAUACCAAAAGAUCUGUUAAAAAAUUGAUGAGAUGCAUACCUGAAAACAAAGGAUGCAACAAAGAUGGAAGCCUGAGUCGAAGCAAGAACGAUGGAAGCCUGAGUCGAAGCAAGAAAGAUGGAAGCCUGAGUCGAAGGUUGUAGAAAAGACGAAAUCUCCCGAUCCCAAAUCUGUGACACGAAGACUGAAAGCACGGCUGGAUUUGCAGCUCACCUCCCAAACAAAAAUCGACGGCCUUCAACGCAUCUCCAGCAACGAACACAACUCUUCCAUGGCUGCCCCCCAACCAGCUGGUUGGAAACGAACGGGAGAAAAUGGUUUCUCUCAGCGGACGAAACCAUCUCAACGAAGGGGGAGGGGCAAAAACGGGAACAAAAGAAACUGUUUAGUCAAGGGCAGUUUCGUCAUUUAACUGUGCUGCAGGAAAAAAAACGAAAACAGCAGAAAAAUGAGGGGCAUUUCCGUCAUUACACUGUGCUUAGCUACAGUGUUUAGUUGCAUUGGGUUUUAGUAUAUAUAUAAUUUAUGUUGUGAUUCGACUGCUGCUGUAUUUUAGAUUUAUAGGAACAGACCAAACAUGUUGAUUCUAUCACCAAAAUUAUAAAGUAUACUUCCAUUACAAUUAAUUUGUUGAUUCUAAUUUGGACUUGUAGGAACAGACCAAACAUGUUCAUACGUGGCAUUGCUCAAGUCAUCAUCAUUCGGGACAGAGAAUAAGCCUUCAAAUGUCUGCUGAGUCAAUGAACCUUUCUAGAUAUCUCAAGUGUAAUGGAAAUUGAUGAGUUACAAAGGAUUUGUAAACAUUUUCUACUGGAGGCUAGAAAUGCUUCAAAUAAAUGACUCUGUUGCAAUUAUUUUGUAGGAUCAAAGACUCUGCAAAGAGGUAAGAAAGUCAUCAUCAAGUAACUUCGCUCUUCAUACUUUUUAUUAGGGGUGGGCAUUGGAACCGCAAAACCGCAAAACCGAACCAACCCAAUCCGAAAAAAACCGAAAAAAACCGUGUUGACCGAAAAAGUCAAAAACCGAGACAAAUCCAAACCGAACCGGUUCAGACCGGUUCCGGUUCCGAUUUUCCACCUUAAGGAACCGGUCCAAUCCGAACCGGUCCAAUAUAAUUAAUUUUUAUAUUAUAUUUAUAUUUAUAUUUAAAAUAUCAAAUUUUGUAGGCCCAAACCCAACUAUUUCAUUAUACCAACAAAAAGCCCAAAUCUCCCAAGUCCAUUGCCCAAGUCCAACAAGCCAUAUUUUAAUAUCCUAAUCACAUCAAAUCUCACUUCACUCUCUCUCUCUGACGCACUCUCUCUUUUCCUCUCAGAUUUUUUUUACUCUCUUUUUCUUUCUUUCUUCUCUCUUCCGCCUCUUUUCCUCUAGGUUCUUUAACUUCUUUUUACUUCUUUCUUUCUUCACUCUUCUGCCUCUUUUCCUCAGUUUUUUCUUCUUCUUUCUCUCUUAUUCUUUCUCCUCUCAAUUCGUCUCCAUUUUUUUUCCCUCUCUUUCUCUGAUUUUCUGUUACUCUGAUUUUUUUCUUCUUGGUUUUAUGUUUCUCUCUCUCCCUCUAUAUCUCUUUCUUUGCAACUCUGUUUUUCAAUUUCUCCUUUUUUUUCUCUCUUCAUUUUUUGUUUCUCUGUACAUAUAUGUGUUCAUCUUGUAGAUCUGGGUGAAAUUCUUGUAGAUCUAGGUGAAGUUCUUGGAGAUCUGCGUUAAGUUCUUGUAGAUCUAGGUAAAGAGCCAAUUCAAAGCAGGUCAGCGUCUCUUAUCUCCCCAAUCCCUUGUGAAGAUAUGUAUUUUUUUUGUUGUCAACAAUCCAUUUUGGUGUUUUUAUAUGGUAUUGAUAUUUUCUAUGAUUUUGGGCUGAUUUGAGGUCUGAUUCUUUUUUUUUCUUUCAAUUUUUUCCUGUUGUGUUUUGAUAGACAUGUUCUCUAUUCCUGAUAUCAUUCCUCAGUGGCAAAAUCUUUGAGCGUUGUUGUAAAUUUUAGACGGGAAAGAAGCUCAUUCAUAAUUCAAAAAAAGAAAAUAAAGUUACAACAACUGACAAUUUGUUGCUCUUUGAAAUAGGUACUGAAGUAGCAUGGAUAAAAAGAAAGACUGAAGAUGUUGCAGAAGAUUGAAUAUGUUCUAUUUCUGUAAUUUGUUUGUAAUUAAAUUUGUUUAUUUUGUUUUGUUUUUAGGUUGUAAGUUUUAUUUUAAUGUUUGAUAUUUGUUGUUUUGUCAAAAAAUUGUAUUAAUGCUUGAUGGAUUCAUUCAAUUUGCAGUGCGUGGAUGUGAAUUGGGCCAAUCGGUAAUAAUUAGGCCCAAAAGGUUUUAAAUAUCAAUUGGGCUGAAACUUACAAAAAAAUUUAAGAACAAAAAAAAAAUCAAUUAAGCUGUGUGUCGGCCCAAACCGUAAAAACCGGAACCGAACCGGAUUCAAAUGGGUUCGGGUUGGUCCGGUUUUCUCAAGCAUUUUAGUAAAAAUCCGAACCGGACCGGACCGGUGAACAGUACCGGUUCCGGUUUUAAAUUGAUGCAAAAACCGGUCCAAACCGGACCGUGCCCACCCCUAUUUUUUAUUUUUAUUUUUAAAUAUCAGUAAUAACUGGGAAAGCUUGCAUCUCCUUAAAUUGCUCAUUCUUACAUCUUUUAUAGUUUGUUGAUCUUGGGCAAGUGGAGAGAGAGGCGUCAAGUGAUACGCAACAACCAUUUUCUGUGAGCUGAUUUGAUAAAGAGAAAUGGUAUGCUUUCUUGUCUUAAGCGGUGUGUUCUGCAAUUAUUUGAAACAAAGGAUGCCGCACUUCAAGUUCGAGAAAAUCAGGUAUUUUAGUAUUUUAUUCUUGAGAAAUUUGAUUUAUGUAGAAACUUGAACAUGUAAAUGAGAGAAAAAAAAAUAAAUAUAUAUAUAUAUUAUAUAUUGUAUAUGCUGUUAAUGAGUUAAUAUGGUGCUUGCUCCUAGUUGGAAAUUUAUGUAGUCAUCUACCUAUGAUCAAAUAAAGAUGAAAAAUAAAAUAAAAUUGAGAGCAUCUUCCUCUCCCCUGCUUUGCUCAUCCCUUGUUCUUCCACUUCAGCCCCACUAUUACACCAUUUUUUUCAGCCACAAUUAUAAUAGCUCCAUGAGCAUUAAGUCCCUUUCAAAUUCUGCUGACAUUCAAAAUUGGAAUCUGCUGGUGAUAUAUGAUAGCGUUAACAUAUUGUACCAUUUUGGCCAGUGUACGCAAUAUUAUUGCAUCCAACUUUGCAUAUUAACAUCAGUGGCCACAGUUACACGAUUUGAGUGCACAGAAAGGUUUCAAAAGUUGUCCCACAGAGAACAGUCGUUCAAAGUGAGAGAGUUUUGAAAGCUUAAUUACAAGUUCAUGUUGUUUACAACCUCAAAAAGCUUUCAUACUUGCUUACAAACCUGUAUUUCCAAGUUCUGCAAACCUUGGAAUAUCACUUCAUCCAAAUCCCCUUCCAAAGCAGGAAAAAAUGGCAGCAGCUUUGAUUGGAGAGGCUCUCAUCUCUGCUUCUAUCGAGGUGUUGUGUGACAGAGUUACUUCAGCCGAGUUCAUAGACUUAUUUCAGCAGAAGAAACUUGAUGAAACACUCCUCAUGAACCUGAAGACGACACUGUUGAUUUUGUUUGCGGCGCUCAAUGAUGCAGAGGAGAAGCAAAUUGUGAACCCUGCUGUGAUAGAGUGGCUUAACAGCUCAAGCAUGCUGUCUUUGAUGCAGAGGACUUACUUGAUGAGAUUGACACUGAAGCUUUGCGAUGCAAGCUGGAAGGUGAGGAUCAAACCCACAAUAAUUAACCAACAAGGAUCUUUUUGAUUGUUUGAAAGGAGGGUCUUUGAUGAUUUGAAAGGAGAGGGUUGCUUCAUUUCUGUUGGAUGCUUAAUUAAAUCUUAUCUGGACUUGAACAAGGAUUAGGUUAGCUGUAUAAUUCGUGGUAAACACCUUUUUCUAAGGUUCAUUUAGACUCCUAUUACGAUUAAUUUGUUGUUUCUAAUUUGGACUUGUAGGAACAGACCAAAUAUGUUCACACGUGGCAUCGUUCAAGUCAUCAUCAUUUCAGACAAAAUCAGCCUUCAAGUGUCUGCUGACUCAAUGAACCUUUCUAGAUAUAUCAAGUGCAAUGGAAAUUCAAGAGUUACAUAGAGAUUUGUAAACAUUUUGAAGAUUGCAACACCUGCAAGUGAGAUAGGUGGUGACGAAAUCAGAGCUGAUCUUGAAGCCUCUGAUGCCCCUGUCGUUGCAAGUUGCACCUGAGAACAUGGUUUUUUUUUGGGUAAAAAACCAGCAACAUGUUCGGGGCUGGCAAUUCAAUCCCUGAUGAACUUGAGAAGCAAAGCUCCAGUAAGGAAAUUGGUCGAGGUCACGACAGGGAUAAUUGAUGGUGAAAUGGAUGCUAUUUCUUAUUGCAGCCUGUUCUCAAAGUUCUUGUUGGCAAAAGCAAGAGAUGGAGUAUUUUGAUUGGGAGGAGAGAUAAUGACAUGUGUUGACAAUUCUAGAACAGCCCAUCUGAGUUCUUUUGUCAGGCUGCAUCAUUUAAUCCCAGCAAAAAUCCAGUUUUUGCUAAACAAUCAAAUUGUACACAUUUUUUCUUUUCGAGGAAUUUAACAUUACACAUUUUUUCAUUUUUUCAUCAAACAGUUUUCUAAUGCAUUUGUUGUCCCAAGUUACAAUGAGGAAUUUGGAUUGAGUUUCUUGUGUUAAUAACAUUAUACUUUCAUGGAAUGGUUUAUCUUCUUUUUCUGGACAAAAAUAUUUAGAUUAAUUUCUUGGAAUAAUUUUUUAAUAAUUUUUUAAUUGCAGUAGCGAAAAAAGGAAAAUUGUAUUUUUCAAAACCAAUCUUAAGUCCAGUUUCCUCUUCUUGGUCGUCACACUUGGAAAUUGCUAACCAUAUAUAACUUGGGGUAACAAUCUUAGUCCGAAUGUGUACGAUCUUAGUCCGAUCAAUGGCUACGCGUAUUGGCUCGGCCUUGGGGUCUACCAUUCCAGUGUACAAGCUUCCUGGGUCUUGGGGCAAUUCCUUCAAAUUGUACACAUGUUUUCUUUGAGAAGCAAGGCUCUAGUAAGGAAAUUGGUUAUGUAACAAAUUUUGGUCCCUUUGGAUGGAAUGAUUUACAAUGAGGAAUUUUAUUAUUAUUAUUUUGUUUUUGUUGUUAGUGUAAUGAAAAUGAUCUAGGUUCAUACACUGGGUAUAGCUCUAAUUUGGCCAAUUUCAUUAUUUUAGUUUCUUCAUAUUUUCAAUUAUUAUAAUUUGGUGCGUUGUUUUUUAAAAACAUUCAUGAGAAUCUCCAUUUUUUAGGUGUUUAAGUUAUUCAUCCACAACGGUUUUAUAAUACCGUCAUCUUUUCAAACACAACGAUGAUUUUUUAAUCUAUCGUCGUUGUUUUCUGAUCGUCUUUUUCACUUUUUGUAGUAGUGUCAAUAAGUAAGAUGAAAUAAUACAUUCACAAUCUGUUUAAAUUUUAAAUUAAAAAAAACACAAGAAAAUUUUAAAUAAGUAAGUAAUUUUAAAUAUAUAUUUCCAUUGUUUUGGUUUUCUUUUCAUAUUAGUUUUCUACUAGCUGCUAAUUUCAUUUAAAUUGUUUUUCUUACUUCAUUUAACUUUUAAGCAUGCAGAUGCAAUCAUGACUUCUUCUUUUUUUCAAUAGACUGAUUCUCUUCCCACAUAUAUAAUGCUCUCUAAGUAUUCGUAAUAUGAGUAGGAAUUUAUUUUCAUUUCACAAGAAUUGUCCAUCAAAUUCUGAUAGGUUUGUCGAUAGCACAAGCAUGCACAUAUAGACACUACAAGAACUUUGUUUCUUCAUUUUGUUUCCUAAAGAUUUGUUGGCUUCGUGCAGAUGAAUAACAAGUCUCUCUGUCCUCUAUUUCUUCUUUUUCUUUUUUAACAAUUCAUAUUCUACUUUCUGUUUUCACCCAGUAAAAAUUGAUUUUAGACAUGGGCUUCUAAAUUAUGUGCGGAUAAUGGUUGCAUUUAUAGAAUAUCCAUGGGCUUCUAGUCACCGUGGUUGUUGAUUCAGCAUGUCAUAUUACUCUUGGACUAGCUGUUGACACUACUACAUUUUACACUUUGCGCGACGAAGAACAAAACGUCGCGCAAAGUCGCAUUUAGUCGCCCCAAUUUCAGCGCGACAAAAACGUCGUCGCGCAUAUUCCGUCGCGCGAAGAUCGUGAAGAAAGCCUUUGCACGACGAGGUACAACCCUUCGUCGCGCAAAAGUGUGCGACGGGUAAACCAUCGUUGCACCAACGGUGUGGAGACGAAACAACCCUUCGUCGCAAAAAUAUUUGCGCGACGAUAAAUUAUGCGGCGCACGUAUAUUUGCGAGACGACGGGAAUUGCGCGACAAAACAUUAUUCGUCGCGCAAAAUAUGUAUGGGAGACGUAUAUGUUCGUCGCAGAACAAUUCGCGCGAUGAGAAAGUUUUCGUCGCACAUAUAAUUGCGCGACGAAAAAUUAUGUCGUCGGCCAAAUAUUUUGCGCGACGAAACAUUUCGUCGCGCAAAACGUGUUAUGUGUUCGUCGCGCAUGAAUUAAAAGUGAUAAAAAAAUAUUUGAUUUUUUUUUGUUACAUGUUGGUUUGCGCGACGAAAGAUUUUCCGUCGCGCAAAAAUAAUAUUACAAUUUUUUUUUUAUUUAUAUUUUUUAUUUGAUAUAAAAUUGGUUUCUUUUUAUUGAUUAAACAAUGAAAUUGCAAUAAAAAUAAAUUAGAAUAAAAUUUUGUUAUAAAAUAAAAUAAAAUAAAUGUAUUACAAAUAAAAUAAAUACACUAAUCAAAUAAUGAAUCAAAAUCAACCGAGUCGUCGCCAGUAUGCGGCUCGGAGGGCGGGGCGUUCACCGGGGCAGUGGUCUGGUGGGGAUGCCCGGGAUGGACGGGCUCAGAGGUCGGCGCAUCAAAAUGCGGGACUGGAAUGCCGGACUGUGCGAGGGACUGCAGAAUGACCGACAUCUGGCUCUGAAGAGUGGCCACCUGUGCUGUCAAAGCAGUGACCUGACUGUUUGACUGCGCCGAUGAACGAGGUCGAGGUUCCCUCCGCCGGGCAUUCCCCAUCCCUCGACAAUAUGUCCCCGGCCUCCUCCCGAGAGUCUGAUCCAACGUCUCCGUCAAUAUCUGAAAUCCAGCAUCCUGUGGAGGAGCCACAGACUCGAUCGGAGUCUCGGGAGGAAGCUGGGAGGCGGACUCCUGAAGAACAAGCUGGCUCCUCUCCACCAUCGUCGUCUGUUGAACAUAACAUAAAAUAUAAAUUAAAACAUGCAUAUAAAUUGAAUGCGUAACAUAAGAAUUAAAAUUAAAUAAUACUUACAUGAAGGGACUCGGCCAACUCAUUCCCGGGUCGAACAUAAACGUCACCAAAGACGUCGAUCUCUGGGAACUUGGACCCCUCCUAAAUUGAACAAGAGAAGAAAAAUAUUAGUAUGAAAAAAAUAAAUUAAUAAAAAUGACAUUAAAAAUGAAAUAAAAAUUUUGUGAUUAUUACCCGACGCCGUGCAUCCAUCCUAUAAGAAAAGGGUCUGGAGCCGGAAUGGUGGAGAAGGGUCUUCUUCUUCCUAUUACCCUUAUUCACUUGGGCUUUAUUCUGUUAUACAAAAAAUGAAACGUAUUAGUUAAAAUAUAAAAAAUUAAAUAAUAAUGAAAUAAAAAAAUAAAAUAAACAUUAAUAAGUAAUAAGUAAUAAUUAAACAAAUAUAAUUAAAAAAAUACCGCAAAUUCGGGCGCUUGAAAAUGAGCGCAGAGCCACUCCCAACUAUCCUCCCGCCCCUCAAGCUCCUUCGGGCAACCCUCCUGAAGAGCGACUUGCGGAUCAUCAUAGGCCUGAAAAUGGUGGUGCAAGUCGCUCUUCCACUGCUUGUACCUCUCAGCGAAGAGUCGGUUGACGUACGUCAACGACUCUUCGUCGAGAUCCUCCAAGUUAUAGUUCGUCUGCAAUCAAUUAAUUAGAUACGUUAAGUAAUAGAAAUAUACACAAUUUUAAAGAAAAAUAAUGAAAAUGUAAGGUACAUACCGACAACUGGCCGUGAAUCUCCGCCUGGAUCUCGUCAGGCAUGACCCUCCAAGACUUCCAUUGCAUCGGGCAAUGGGUCCGCACGACGUGGCCAAUGUCGUGGGCCAAGGAGCUAUGCAACUUCGCCGUCGGUGCAGCACGAUGGCGCUCGUCGUAUCCGAUGCUGAUACGACUGUUGGUCACCCGGGUGACCUUCGCCGUCUUCAGCUGACGACACGGUCCUCGGGUGUUCCUCUUCGCUGCAAAGAAAUAAGGUAUUAAUGUUAAAUAAAAAAACAUUGUCAAAUUUCAAUAUAAAAUUAACAAUACAAAAGUGUAGUUAUACCUGGCUGUGAUCCCGAGGCACCAGUACCGUCGGUCGAUGUCGUGUCGAUGGUGUCGGUGGGCCGGUGCCGCCGCCUAGCACUAGCUGGUUGCGCCACGGAUGACGCAGAUGACACAGGCGCCUGGGGCGCCCCGGGACCAACCACCACGUGGUCCAACAAAGCAGGAGCAGUGGCAGCAGAUGCCGACUGAGCCAGGGGAUCCGAACUCGGUGCAGUCGUCAUCGACCUACCACGUCUAAUCAAGUCUGACAUCUGCACAUAUAAUUUCAUUCAGAAUGUAAACUAAUUAAUUAAAAGCAUAGCCUGACCUAGGGUUUGGAAUUUCGGAGUAUCCGGGACUCCGAUCAACGAUCGGUCGAAUCCUAAACGAUCCUAGAAACACAAAGGUACAACUACGCGAGUUUCAGUUCGAUCCAACGGUCCGAACAUAUCAAACCUGGAAAUCGCACAAUAGGCGAAAUUCGAUCAAGACUCAAACGGUAACCAAAUUCAAAUCCGAGCAAACCUACGCGCUCGUGACAAACAGGGGAUCGCUCUGGGACACAAUGCCCCACUGCCACAGCAUCCCACGCGCCGGCAGCGCGUGGGUGUCCAAAGCGAUAACAUUCGCCGGAAAAUUCUAAAAACUAACGGCCAAGGUUCCUACCCUAGGUUGAAAACAAUAUUUGGCGCCACUUUUGUUCUCGGACCUACCCCGAAAAAUGGCCGGAAGUGGCCGGAUUUGAAAUUGCCAAACCGGCCAAAACCUAGGGUUUUAAUUCCUAUUUCCUAUACCCAUCAGCUAGAGCACAAAAAAUAGUCGAGAAAUCAUACCUCAGGCGUCGGAAAUGGUGGCCGGAGGAGAGAGAAAACGGCCGGCGAGGAAUCGGUGAAAAACCGACGAUGUGCGACGGCAGGCUCGACGGCGAAGGCAGGGGAGGCUAUGGCAGGAGCGGCGGUGGCUGAGGUGACGGCGGAGAGAGAGGGCUGAGGUGACGGCGGAGAGAGAGGCAAACGGAGGAAAAAACCAGAAAUGGGGAAGAAGGAGGCAUCGCGACGUUUCUGCAAAUUUUUACGACUUUGCGCGACGAAUCACAUCAUUCGUCGCGCAAAAUGCUAUUAAUGAAUCUUGCGCGACGCUAUAUCCGUCGCGCAAGAUCUGUCAGAACGCCAAAUUCUGAAAGUGGAUUAGGGUCUGUAAGUUUUGCGCGACGAAAUAGACAUACUUCGUCGCGCAAAAGGCUGUCUUUCCGCCAAAAUUUUGGGAUUUAGGGUUUAGCGGGAGGCUGAAACUGAAGGGUUUGCGCUUUUGCGCGACGAAGACGGUAAACGUCGCGCAAUGGUAACCUUGCGCGACGGAACGUAUUAUAUUCGUCGCGCAAAAGGCUAUCUUUCCGCCCAAAUUUUGGGAUUCAGGGUUUAGCGGGAGGCUGAAGGGUUUGCGCUUUUGCGCGACGAAGACACUAAACGUCGCACAAAAGGCUGUCUGCUGAAAUGAAUGGUUUCUGCUUUUGCGCGACGAAGACAAUAAACGUCGCGCAAAACGUUGUCGUUCCGCCAACAAUUUGGGGUUUAGGGUUUAGUGUGAAAACUGGCGCCCAGAUUGCGCGACGAAGAGUACAUAUUUCCUUCGCGCAAUCUAUUUCACUUUCACUUUGCGCGACGGAUAUGUUGGUUCGUCGCGCAAUCUUCAAGAUUUUCAUUGAAAUUUUCACUAAGUGUUCAAAGGGGAUGGAGGUGUGAAAACUGGCGCCCAGAUUGCGCGACGAAGAGUACAUAUUUCCGUCGCACAAUCUAAUUCACUUUCACUUUGCGCGACGGUUAAAUUGUUCGUCGCGCAAAAUGUAGACCCUAAACCCCCUUGUAAACCCUAAACCCUGAACCCUAAGCCAUAAACCCUAAACCCUAAAAUAGUUUCAAUGAUCCAACCGGCAAACUUAUUGUUUGAAACUUGGAGAUCAUAUACGCCAAAAAUCAAGAAGACCAAACAUUCAGAUAUCAGGGAACGGGACUAAAUAUUUCGACGGUUAUAAAUGAAAAGUCAUGAUUUAACGGUUAUUGUAACUCCGAUUUUGAUCAAUUUUGACAGCAGCAUUUGUUGACCCUAUAUGAAUACAAUGACUGAAUUUGAUCUUCAAUUUCAGAUUUUUACACUAGGGGAUACCACAUAAACGUGAAGUUACAUUUGCACAAAUGUAUAAACAAAUUUUAGGGUUUUUGGUGAAUAUAUGAUUUUGAUAGCACAUGCAGUCUACGAAACAAGUUUCAGUCAUCCAGCCGUCAAACUUGUUUUUUUAGACUUCGAGAUCAUAGACAGCAAAAAUCGGACAAAAAAAACAUUCAGAGAUUAAGCAACGGGGUAAAACUUUUCGACGGUUCUAAAUAAAAAGUGAUGAUUGAACGGUUAAUUUAACUCCGAUGUUGAUGAUUUUUUGCAGCUACAGUCCUACACUCCAUAUGAAUACAAUGAACUACUUCGAUCGCCAAUUUUAAAUAUAUAUGUGUGUAUAUAUUAUACUAUAACGUUACCUAAUAUAUAUUUGCGCGACGAAAGUUUGCUUAUCGUCGCGCAAAAAUGCCAUACGCGACGCAUGUAUAUAUGCGUCGCGGAAACUAUGCGCGACCAGUUGUAUUCGUUGCGCAAACAUUACGCGACGCUUAUGUAUGCGUCGCGUAUGGUAUGUUUGCGCGACGAUAUGGAGCCCUUCGUCGCGCAUGGAUUUGGCGCCAUAAAUCCUCAUUGAUUUCAAAUUGUGUAUGCUUUGUAUUUUUUAGAAAGGUUUUGUAUUCAUCAUUUUUUAUGCUUUGUAUUUUGUGGAAAGGCUUUGAAAUAUUCAUUUCUUUUGUUAUUUUUAUUGAAGCUUUAACUUGUUCUGUUCCGCAGAAAAUUCCAAUGAAGUUUGUGAUGAAAUAUGGAGAAUGAAUACACAACUACAUAUGGACAACUACACAUAUUCAAAGAUUUGUAUUACACAAAAUUAAUACACUAACAUAAUAAAUUUACAAAUAAAUUCAUUAUUCAUCAUCUGAACUAUAAUAACUUUCGUUAUCGUCGCUAGCUUUAACUUGUUCUGUUCCGCAGAAAAUUCCAAUGAAGUUUGUGAUGAAAUCUGGAGAAUGAAUACACAACUACAUAUAGACAACUACACAUAUUCAAAGAUUUGUAUUACACAAAAUUAAUACACUACAUAAUAAAUUACAAAUAAAUUCAUUAUUCAUCAUCUGAACUAUAAUAACUUUCGUAUCGUCGCUAUCAUCACUCUCGGUCUCCCAAUCUUCUUCCUCCUCCUCCUCUAUAACUGCAUCAUCGGCGUUGCUAGGGCCCACUGCAACAUCGUAUCGGGGAAGAUCACCGAGGUCAAUUGUAAUUGACUGAAUCGGUAUUUCGACUGAAGACACUCCUUCUAUUUGAAACGGUUCUUGUAUAACAUUUGUAUCUCGAAGUGUUUCCGCAUCAUUUUCCAUUGAAGAUUCUAAACGAUGGUCAGCCACAUUGUCGACGUCGUUGUCACUUGGGUCUAGUUCUGGUAUAUUAUACACGUUCCUAUGAUCCAUCUUCUGCACAACUUUCCACCCGUUCCCGGCUUUAGGGUCAUCUAGAUACACAAUUUGGGACGCCAUGUUUGCCAAAAUGUACGGGUCGUCAUCAUACCAAGUUCUGUUAAUAUUCACAGACAGUACUCCAUGGUCGAUUUUAACACUUCCCGCCCUAUUUGGGUUGGUAUCGAACCAUCGACACUUAAACAUGAUGACUUGGUAUCGAUCUUUGUAAAGCAAUUGCACGACAGUUGUCAGUUUGCCAUAGAAAUCAAUGUCUGUACUUUCGCCUCCACCUGGGACAUGAACACCGCUAUUUUGCGUACACAACUUGUCAUCUCGUGCGGCCCCUAAAAAUUUGACGCCGUUAACAUUACAACCCGAGAACAAUUCAGCGCGAAUUGGGCCGAACGCCAAGUUAUAUAACUCAUCACUGUAAGUGGGGGAAUUCGAUGAUUUCAAUUUAUUCACCUAAUAGUAUACAAAACCAUUUACAUGUUAGUCUGACAAAAUUAAAUACUAAAAUUUAUAUUUGUCAAUUACAAAACACUUAUAACUUACAGAAUCCAAAAACCAUUGUGGAAAUAAUUCACGGUGUUUCCGGGCAACCAAAUGUGAUGGAUGUUCUCGCUUCAUCAUCUGUUCAUGCUCAUCUAAGUAGGCCAUUAUCUCAUCACAAUUGUUCAGUACGAACCAAUGCGCUACCUCCAUGUCAUUUCUAGAAAACGACUCUCCUCGUCCAGGAUCUCCAAAUGGUCGUGCGCUUUGGGCAAAAACAGAAAGUUUUUCAUUUCUCAUACCUCCGUCAUUAUUGCGGUGAGGACGAUUGAAAACCGUCUCCACAUCUUUUAAAUACAUUCCACAGAAAGUAAGCGACUCAUAUUGAACCCAAGCCUCUAUAAUUGAUCCUUCGGGCUUUGCCCUGUUGCGUACACUUUUUUUCAGCUCUCCGAGAAGCCUGCCAAAAUAAAACGAUAUGAUACAAAUUAGCAAAGUGUCGAUAAUGAUGCAUACACAAAUGAUAAAGAUUAUAUACCUUUCUAUUGGAUACAUCCAGCGAUAGUUGACAGGACCAGCAAGCAAUGCCUCUUCUGGCAAGUGAACCAUCACGUGCAUCAUACUUAUAAAGAAAGCUGGAGGAAAUAUCAUCUCAAACUUGCAUAGGACUUGGACAAUGUCAUGGCGCAACUGAAACAUGUCUGUCCUUCGCAAUGUUUUUGCCGUCAGUUGGGAAAAAAAUCUGGAUAACAACAUGAUUGGCUUCACCACAUCUUCCGGCAGUAAGUGUCGAAUACCCACAGGAAGUAGGCGUUGCAUGAACACAUGGCAGUCAUGGCUCUUAAGUCCAGUAAAUUUACCCCCAUCGACAUUCACGCAACGUGCGAUAUUAGAAGCAUACCCAUCGGGAAAUUUGACAGACGAUACAAACUUUAGAAACUCCUUUUUGUCAUUCGGUUUCAUAGAAAAGAAUGCAAGAUCCCUUCUAGCUUUAUCACUGUCCCUAUUCAUCCAUAAACCCCUUCGUAUGCCCAUUCUUUCCAAAUCAAGACGAGCUUUGAUCGUGUCCUUCGUCUUCCCCUCGAUAUCUAGAAUCGUGCCCACCAAUGUGUCGAAAACAUUUUUCUCAACAUGCAUCACAUCUAGAUUGUGCCUCAAUUUCAGUUUCGACCAAUAUGGGCGCUCAAAAAACAUAGACUUGUGCGUCCAGUUCAAAUGUGUAGAAGGUCGGGUCCGACUAACUGUUUUCCCGAACGGAGCAAAAUCCAAACGGUUCAGCUGUUCCAAGAUCUCAUCACCGGACCAUUCUCUAGGUCUGAGGCGACGCUCUGUGUUCCCGUCGAACUCUUUAUCUUUUUCUCGCCACUCGUGGUCCCAUGGCAACCAUCUCCGAUGACCAAGGUAACAAACUUUUCCCGCGUGCCAACCAGAAGUUACAUCUUCCUUGCAUACAGGACAUGCCAUAUAACCCUUUGUGCUCCACCCAGAAACCAUUGCAUAUGCUGGAAAAUCAUUCACAGUCCACAUAACUGCUGCUCGCAAAGUGAACAUCCUCCCAGUUGAUUUAUCGUACGUGCGAACACCGUUUGUCCAUAAAUCCUUCAGCUCAUCAACCAGAGGCCUUAAGUACACAUCAAUUGACCUGCCAGGAUCCUCAGUUAUCAAAACAGUCAUCAUCAUGUAUUCUUUUUUCAUGCAUUUCCAAGGCGGCAAAUUAUAUGGGAAUGCGAAAAUCGGCCAAGUGCUGUGGUGUUGGUUUAGAACCCCAUACGGAUUGAAUCCGUCAGUGGCAAGUCCCAAUCUAACAUUUCGGGGAUCAGCAGCAAAUUCGGGGAACGUUCGAUCGAACUCUUUCCAUGCCUCCCCAUCUGCAGGAUGCCGCAUCACAUCAUCGUCUACCCGUUUUUCCUUAUGCCAUCUCAUGUCUGUGGCAGUAUGCGUUGACAUAUACAAUCGCUGCAACCUAGGUUUAAGGGGCAGAUAACGCAUGACUUUUUGUGGUAUCUUAGUCGUUCUAUUCUGGGAUGUCAGUUUGAACCUCGACUCAUUGCAUAUAGGGCAUGUAUCCAACGUUUCAUGCUCUUUGUAGAAUAACAUGCAAUUGUUUUUGCAAGCGUGGAUUUUUUCAUAACCCAAUCCAAGACCGUGCAACACCUUCUGUGCAUGUUUAUGGUCUUUCGGCAAACAAUUGUCCGUCGGAAGCAUUCUCUUGAAAACCCCCAAAAAGUAAUCAAAACACAAGUUCGACAUACGAUACUUUAUUUUUCCGUGCAUUAGCUCCACAAUGGCAGUGAGAACGGAAAACCUCUCGCACCCCGGGUAUAACUCUUGGUUGGCAUUUUUUAACAGUUUUUCAUACUGUUCAAACUCCGCACUGUCUAUUGGUGUAGGCACGUCAUCUUCCCCUUCCUGAUUGAUGUUGGUCGAUGCGAAUGGAAAAGCAUCCUGUAUAAUACCCAUGACUUGAUCAUUAGGAUCCACAAUAGGUUCAACAUUGUCCACUCUCGGGGCAUUUGAAGACGAAGCAUGGUCUACUUGUUCGCCGUGAAGGUUCCAAAUGCUAUAUGUUUCAAUCAUUCCAUUCCUUACUAAAUGAAAUCCAACAUUUUCAAUUGUCUCCCACAACGUGUUGUUACACCUCCUACAAGGACAACGGAUUCUAGUUGCACCCGGGUUGUGUCUACGUGCAAACUCAAUAAAAUCCUCGAUUCCAUCCAAGUAUUCGUCUGCGCAUCUAUUCGGGUUCUGUAUCCACCUUCUGCUCAUAAUUCCUGAAACCACAAUCACGACACAACAAUCACAACAACUUCAUACGAAGUUAUAAUGUCACCUUAUGCCUCCGGUAAGGGCCCUAUCCCAUUCGGGAAUGCAUAGUCCUGUCACGUAACCUACGGCUACAUGAGAUUAGAUUUCGACGUGGAUUAAUUUCAGCAGCAUCUCGACACAGUUCUUGAAGUGGGCAUAGGUAUAAAUACCUACGUACCACCCGAAGAACGUACCGAGAUGACACCGAAAUCUCCACAAUCGAAACCUAAUCCUGUAGCCGAAGAUUAUGUGACAACACUAUGCAUUACCAAACUGUCCAAAUAAUGGGACAAUUCAAGAAUUAAUUGGACCGCAGUCAUGCAUUACGCAUCCAUGCACGAAAUUCAACUAAUCUCGAACGGGAAACUACGUGUUACUAAACAUAAAAAUAAAAGUACGAAGUUAAUUUCAAUUAACUUCGUACAUCACAACACAUUGUGCUAUGUCACGCACAAUUUCACAACAUUAUACACAUAUAACUUCACAAAAAAAUUACAAACAUAACAAACAAACUUUUACAAUAACAUACCUUCUCAAUCGUUCUCCACCAAUCACAAAUAUCCCUAACGAUAACAAAAUUAAUAGCGUUACUACGAAUUUACAUUAAUACAUUUAAACUAACGACAAAAAAUACAUACCCAAUGAACGUACUGAAUUCACAGUAGAGCAACGGCAGAGAGAGUGAGAGAGAGGUAGAAUGCAGUGGGAGAGUGAGAGAGAGGCAGAAUGCAGAAACUGCAUUCUGCCUCUGCAAUGGAACUGGCUAAAAUGAAGAAGAAGGACUUUGCGCGACUAACAAUCCAAUCCGUCGCGCAAAAUGCCGUCGCGAAAACCCACUUUUCCGUCGCACAAAAAAACAUUUCCGUCGCGCAAUUACCUGCCGACAUCAGGUUUUUUGCGCGACGAAUACAAUUAUCCGUCGCACAAACAUCCGUCGCGCAAAUAACAUUAUUCGUCGCGCAAGGUUUAUAUUACGUCGCGCAAAUAACACUUAUUUCGUCGCGCAAGAAAUUACACUUUACGCGACGAAGGUAAUUCCGUCGCGCAAAAAAGUUUUUUCCACCCUGCAUUUUGCCGCCAAAAUUAAGUAACCCUCGUUUUCUUACGCGACGGUACAUAUUUCCGUCGCGCUAAGGCGUCUUUUGCGACGAAAAUGUUCGUCGCGCAAGAUUCUGGCGCCAAAAACAUAAACUGGGGAUUUUUCCCCGACCUUUGCUCGACGAAAUUAGUUUUGGUCGCGCAUAGAUUGUUUGCGCAACGAAGAUUGUUCGUCGCGCUAGUGUUCUGCUGUUUGCGCUACGGUAUUUUUUUUUCGUCGCAAUAGUGAUUUUUGCGCGACGAAAAUAUAUUCGUCGCGCAAACGUCCGUCGCGCAAAUAGUAAAUCGUAGUAGUGUGAUUUGGUUUAGACUUGGUUUAAUUAUCAUUGUUGUGGUUGGUUCACCAAAAAGAUUUGGCUUAGAAUUACCAGUUUUGUUGUUGGUUUAGUUAUGCUUGGCAUUUGAGGAUCCUAUGCUUACUUGUAUGGGUAAUACAUUUUAUUGAUCGUUUCAUAUACUAAUUAUGAACUUUUAGUUCCAUUGUGCAUUUAAGAGUACACAUAUUUCAUAUGUAAUUCGAAAGUUUGUCGCUGAAAUUUCUGAGAAUUUGAAACUAGAUAAGCACACCUUGCACAAAGUUCAUAUAUUUUCUUCCAGCAAGUCUGUCUAUUAACCCCCCUUAUCUGAAAUUAAUUGUUAAAAGUUCUGAUUCAUCUUUAAUCAUUGUCUUACCCUUGUUGAAUAACACUCCUCAUUCUAAUUUAUAUUCGAAGUUUGAGGUUUCAAUUUCAAUUGUGGGCUUUGAUUUUACAGAUUUUGUUUGUCAAUUUCAAUUUGGACAAAGCAUAUGCAAACAAAGUAAGGCAUUAUCUAUUAUUUGGAUCAUUUCCAUAUGUUUAUAUGUUUUUAAUAUCAUUUGCCUAUGUAGUUGACAUGUUAUAACAUUUUCGUAGUGUUGAAUAUAUAUAUAUAAUAAUUUUAUUUUAGUGGAUGUGAGAUCUCAGUUUGUUGCUUUAUAUAAUUAUUUCUUUGCAAUUUAAUUUUUUUUAUCAGUCAUACUAUUGUUGACGGCUAAAAACCAUCAAGAAACAACUCUUAAGUUUUUUAAAAAAUAAAUAAAUAAAUAAAGAUUUGUUGAUGCUUAAAAAGCAUCAAGAAAAGAUAGUUUCUUGACGGUUUUGUGACGUUUCAUAACCGUCAUGAAACAUUACAUUUUGACGAACGUCUUUCUGAUAGUGGCAUCCGUGACGCUUUCCGAGCCAUCAAUUAAGGGCUAUCGUGAUGCUUUUUAGUUGUCAGCAAAAGGUGUUUUUCUUGUACUGUAUUCACUCAAAAUCGUUUUUCAUUUAGGGUUGCUAGUGUGGUUGAAUGCCAUUUGUUUUGUUAAUGAAUAUUAUACAUUAUGGAUUUUUGUAGAAAUGUCGCUUGAAAUUAUACCUCAGUUUCAAUUUGUCACCUUAAAGAAAAAUUUAAGAGAAAUGUCACCUUAAUUUUUCAAAAUCCACGAUUUGUCAUCUCACUUUAACAUCAUCCAAUUUUCCAUCUAUUUUAAGGGUAUUUUAGUCUUUUCAUUUUCAAGGGAAAAAAAGAGAGGAAGAAAAAGACCUCUCUCUUACUUUCUCCCCCAACCCAACCCCACCCGCCCCCCAAAACACAUCGCAUAGGACCGCCUCCCCCUUCCCCACAUUUCUUUUUUCUUUUUGGCCUACUUUUCCACUAUGUUUAUGUUGAAGGAUCUAAAGUUUUCUUGGUCACCAUCUAUUACGUAGGCUACCGACUUGUUGGUUUGGGUGGGUUGAGGGAAUUUGUGUGUGGAGGGCAGGUGUUCAUGUUGUGUGCACCAAGACCUUAUCGUUGAUGAACUAUGUGACGGCACACACACAAACUCGUUGAGAAUAAAACAAACAUACCACCAAGAGAGUAAAACAAACACACAAGGACACAAAGAUUUAUAGAGGUUCGGCCUCCUGCCUACGUCUUUUUGGUGAUUCACUCGAGAAAUUCACUAGUAUGUAAAAAUAACUUUGGUUACAACUGAACCCCCUUAGCCCUCACAAGAACCUUAGAUCUCUUUUCUCUCACCCUUGCUCAAACCCUUUGAUGCCCUUGUAGACACUCAAGAAUUCACCCUUGAAUUCUAUCUUGUGUUACAUCUUCUCUUCUCCCUUUUGUUAACCUAACCCUAAAAGUCCUAUUUAUAAUGCAUAGGACUUAAGUUACAAGUUAACUUGGAAUAGGAAACAUAAAAUACCCCAAAAAUUGGAGAAAAUCUGUCCAAAUCUAGCCUGCAAAAUCAUCCUUCUGCCGCUCGAGCUGCCGGUGGCGCUCAUGGGAUGGGGGAAUUGGAGAUUUUCUUUUCAAUUUUAAUUGUUUAAAAGAUAUACAAUUUUUUAUUAUAAUAAUUUUUCCAUUUUUAAAAUACACUUGAAAAUAGAAAGCUUAAAAUGCCCUUAAAAAUAGAUGGAAAAUUGGAUGGUGUUAAAGUCAGAUGACAAAUCAUGGAUUUUGAAAAAUUAAGGUGACAUUUCUCUGAAAUUUUUCUUUUAAAAGUGACAAAUUGAAACUGAGGUAUAAGUUCAGGCGACAUUUCUACAAAAAUCCCUAUACAUUACAAUAUUAUAACAAUAAAAUUGGCUAAAAUUGAUAUGUUCCCUCUUUUCUUUUCUUUUUCUCUUUUCCUUUUCAUUUUAUGCUUUGUUGCUAUUGCUAUGUUUAUCCUACAAAUAUAGCAACUUCUCCACCAUUCAUUUGUUAGUGACUACGAUGCUUAGUAACUUCUUCAGCUCCCCUUAUUUCCAUGUACUAACCAGGGACACCAGGUCAGCAUCUUCGGUAAGAAUCCUAACUCAAUCAAACAAUGACAUCUGUAAAUAUUCAAAAUUGGAAUUUGCAUUGUGAUAGUUGAAAGCAUCCUUGUCCCAAAAAAAGCCAAAAAAUAAAAUAAAAUUGAGAGCAUUAAGUCCUUUUCAAAUUAUGCUAAUAUGCAAAAUUGGAAUUUUGAUGGAGUUGCUUCCUUGACUUUUCCACCUUUGUAUCCAGUCCACUUUGCACAAGGAGCCAAGUUUGAGAGAUAGUUUUCUGUAUUUACACCAUCCAGGAGAAAAUUAAAAAACUAUUUCAUGCCAAACUAACUACGGAUUCUUGCAAAGGACCCAUUAGUGUAGUGGUUUGGAGUAUUUACUCCCUCAGGCAAGGUCUUGGGUUCGAGUCCUAGCAUUCAUGUUGUGUGUGUGAGUUUAAUAUGCUAUCACCCCUUCCAAUAGGAAAGGACCUCAAAAAAAAAAAAAAAACUACAGAUUCUUUAAUUGAAAGAAACCCCAUAUUAAUCAUCCUUUGGCACAUAAAUGUUUGGUAAUUGGCAUUAAAGUAUCUAAAGGUUACGAAAUUAAAGAUUUUAAUGCAAACCUAAAAUUGGAAAAGAGGGCACCAAUUCAUGUAAAAUAUGGUGUACUUAGUAGAUCCAACAUAUUUUUUUAGCAACCAAGGACAAUCAUCAUUUUUUUUUUUAAGAACCAAGGAUAGCUUACAUUCUAGUUUGUCCAUCAUGUCAACACAUUUAUAAUUAAAACUUCUUUUUUGGUGAGGUUUCAAUUUUUGUCACUGUAACAAGACCACAAUUGCCAUUCAGUAUGCUAACAUUGUCACUAUGUUUGCCAAUUGCAUAUUAUCUAGAACAUAAAGGCUUUGGUGUUUUGUAUAUCCUCGGGGUGCCAAACCUGUCUUUAUAAAAAUGGUCCUUAUGAUACUACUUUAACAACAAAAAAAUAUAAUAAACUAGGCCUUUGUAGUCACUGAACGAAUGUUUUCUCAUAGAUAUGACUAUUUAAAUGUAAUUACGGGAUUAAAACAUUAUAAUAAAUUGGAGUGAACCAUAACAUUAUAUAUGAUCCAAUCCUUUUCAUAUAUUUUUGUUCAAGACUUUGUUUUAGAAUGCUCUUUUACUAAUUUGGUACAGGUCCCUAAAAUCUACGCCUUUAUGAGGCAACGUCUUUAUUUCUUUGGUUAUUCCAGUUUAGAAUAUAUUUGUACAAAUGAGAUGACUCCCAACAUAAAGUCACAUUCAACCAAAAAGCAUGAAGUCACACACAAAAAGAACACGGACAAUUGCUAAGUUUAUCUUGUAUCCUUAUUUUAUUGAUCCAACCCAAUUGAAAAAUAAAAAAGAUGAUAUAAUAUAUUGUUCACUGCUUACAUCCAUGAGUAAAGUCCUCCAUUUGAAAUUGCGUGAUUAUACAAAAUUGGAAUGAAAAAAGAAAAUCCUACAACUAAAUUUGAUAUAUUCCUUUUCAUUUUAUGUUGGAUGUUAAGUUUUCUUGUUUCUUGUUGAAAAGAAAAAUGAAAAGAAAUAAAUAAAUUACACAGCUAGCAACUUCUCCACCUUCCCUUCUUCCCAUGUACUGACAACAAGGGAGGCCUUCAAUCCAAAAUAAAGACAAGGGAUGCCAGGUCAGCAUCUCAGAUAAGUAUCCCAACCAAAACCAAUCAAAUAAUGACAUAUGUAUCUCUUUUUGUGUUUUGUUCUAUUUCUCUUUGAAUUAACUGCGAAGUUUCAUAAGCGUGUCCUCCUUUUGAAAUUGUGUAUUAUUCAAAAUUGGAAUUUGCUGGUCAUACUUGAUAUAAGCUAAAACAGUUUCCAACAUCUUGUACCAUUUUUUUCCAGUGUGGGUCAUAACUUGAAGAAGCCCACCGACAAUUUCUCAAAAGCUAUUACCAUCCAACUUUGAAAAAUAAAAGUUUCAAAAGUUACCCCAAACAACAGCCCUUGAAAGAGAGUUUUCCAAGGCUAAAGAUUACAAGGAUGUUAUUGGCACAUGCAUUAACGUGUGACAAGAAGUUAGUUAUAUUUAUAAAGUAAAAGAACGAAGUACAUAACAUGUAAGUUGAUGCCAAAUAUUUGAUCAACAGAGCUAAACAUAAAACCACGACAAUAUAACGUUGUUCACCAAAAAUUGUGUUUCGUUGAGGGUCAGUAGUGUAGGUUUCAAGAUACGAUUUAUUUUGUUAAAGAAUAUUCUGAUAUUCUAACAAUAAAAUUGGCUCAAUUUGAUAUGUUUCUUUUUUUUUUUGUUUUUGUUUUCCCUUUCAUUUUAUGCUUUGUUGUGCUAUUGCUAAGUUUAUCCUAGAGACCAGGGAUGCUUAGCAAGUUUCUUCACCUGCCCUUCUUCCCAUGUACUAACUAGGGAUACCAUGUCAGAAUCUUAGAUAAGAAUCCCAACCCAAUCAAACUAUGACAUCUGUAAGUAUUCAAAAUUGGAAUUUGCAUUGUGAUAGUUGAGUGGAAGAAUCGAUUAAGGCUUGAGUGGAAGACAAACUUCAGUGGAGGAAAGUAAUUAAUCUCACAAGACAUAGCCCAUCAGUUGGCUCAUUUUUCUUGAGUGUGUAGUCCUGGCCUUGAGGCGAGGCCACAUUGCUUUGGAGAUUUCUUUCUACUUGGUGAAAUUAUAAUUUAGAAGAAGCAAACUGCGUUUUGCAAUUUGUGCGAUUCAAGCAUAUCUGACACUAGUAAUUAGACCAUAAUCUUUGUCCGACCAGAAAAUAAGAAAAGUUGUCUUGUACCAUUUCUGCCAGUGUGGGUCCCACCCACCCCAUACGAGUAAUUUGAAGAAGUCCACCGACAAUUUCCCAAAAGCUUUGGCGUCCAACUUUGCCGACCCCAUCCCCAUGUGAGGCCAUAGAAAAGUUUUCAGCCACAAUCAAAGAAGGGAACAGUCCUUGAAAAGAGAGGGUUUUCCAAGGCCAAGAUUACAAGUUCAUGUUAUUUACAGUCUCAAAAAGCUUCCAUACUUGUUUACAAACCUGUAUUUUCAAGUUGUGCUAGCCUAGCUAUUUGCAAAUCUUGGAAUAUUUUACUUCAUCCAAAUCCCUUGCAGUCUGCAGAGAAGAUAAAAGACAUGGCUUUGAUUGGAGAGGCUCUUAUCUCUGCUUCCGUCCAGGUGUUGUGCGACAGAAUUACUUCACCCGAGUUCGUUGACUUAUUUUGGCACAAGAAACUCGAUGAGCCACUCCUCAGGAAGCUGAGGACGACACUGUUGGCCUUGAACUUGGUGCUCAAUGAUGCAGAGGGGAAGCAACUUGUGAACCGAGAUGUGAAAAAGUGGCUUGACGAGCUCAGACAUGCUGUCUUUGAUGCGGAGGACUUACUGGAUGAGAUUGACACUGAAGCUUUGCGAUGCAAGCUGGAAGAAGGUGAAGAUCAAACUCACAAAUUUACCAAUAAGGUGCGGAACUUGCUCUUUUCUCCUCGUAGUCAUUUUUAUCAGAGCAUGAAUGAUAAGAUAAAAGAGUUACUAGCAAGGUUAGAAAACUUUGUACAACUGAAAAGUGCUCUUGGUCUGGGAGAAGUUGCUGGGAGGAAGGUUUCGCAAAGAACUCAAACAACCUCCUUGGUUCUUGAACCUUAUGUAUAUGGUAGAGAUGAAGUCAAAGAAAAGUUAUCAAAAGUGUUGCUAUCUGAUGAAGCAGGCAAGGAUCCUGUGUCUUUCCUCACCAUUGUUGGAAUGGGUGGGGUUGGCAAGACAACCCUUGCUCGAAUGCUUUACAAUGACGAUAAGGUGAAAGGGCAUUUUAAACUUAAAGCUUGGGCUUGUGUUUCAGACUACGAUGAUUAUAUUAAAAUUACUAAAACUCUCCUUGAGGCAGUCACUUCAAAGCCUUGUAACACGGCAAAUCUGAAUUUGCUUCAAAAAGAUCUAAGAGAGCAAUUGAGGGGAAGGAAAUUUUUAUUUGUGUUGACCUAUGGAAUGAGAAUAAUGAGGAUUUGAACUACCUUAGAGCUCUUUUUAUUACUUUAGGAACAAUGGGAAGUAAAGUCAUUGUAACAACACGGAACAAAAAUGCAGCAUCUGUCAUGCAAAAUGUUCAUAUUCAAUACUUAGAACCAUUGUCGUAGGAGGACUGCUGGUUAUUACUUGCAAAACAUGCAUUUGGAAAUGAAAAGUGUAGUGCACAUUCAAACUUGGAAGACAUUGGAAAGCAAAUUGCACUCAAGUGCAAAGGGUUGCCUUUAGCUGCACAAACACUUGGGAGUUUGUUACGUUGCAAUAUGGAUUUCGAGUACUGGAAUAGAAUACUAAAUGAUAGUUUUUGGGACCAACCCUAUGAUAAAACUAACAUUCUUCCGGCUCUAGGGUUGAGUUACCAUUAUCUUCCUACUCAGUUGAAACGAUGCUUUGCUUAUUGUUCAAUUUUUCCAAAGGAUUAUGAGUUUGAAAAGGAAGAUAUAGUUCAAUUAUGGAUUGCAGAAGGUAUAAUUCCACAAGCUGAGAAUGGAAAAAGGAUGGAAGCAUUGGCUAGAAUAUACUUUGAUGAGCUGUUAUCACGAUCGUUGUUUCAAAAGUCAAGUAAAUUCAGCUUCAUUAUGCAUGAUCUCAUUAAUGACUUGGCUAUGUUCAUGUCUCAGGGGUUUUGCCUUAGGCUCGAAGAUGGGGUAUCCCGUGAAGUUAAAAGAGCUCGUCAUUUGUCAUAUGCUAGGGGAGAAUUUGAUGCUGCUCCAAGAUUUGAACCAUUAUAUGAGGCUAAAUGUUUGCGGACCUUCCUACCUACCAUUUGUUGUGGGCAAAUCUACUGGAUCAGGCAUAAGAGAACUGAGGCAGUUCCCGCAACUUCGAGGAAAACUAUCAAUUUUGAAGCUACAAAAUGUAGUUGAUGCGAGGGAUGCACUGCACGCCAAUAUGAAGCACAAGAAAGAUCUCAAGGAGUUAGAGCUUUCAUGGGGUGCGGAGGAUGCUGAUGAUUCCCAAAAGGAGAAAGAUGUACUCGACAAGCUCCAGCCUUGCGUGAAUUUGGAGAAAUUAACCAUCAAAUUCUAUGGUGGAACUAAUUUUCCGAAUUGGUUAGGAGACUCGUCUUUUUCUAACAUACAAGUCAUGCAUCUCAGUGACUGUAGUUAUUGUUGGUCGCUCCCACCAGUUGGACCGCUACCGGCACUCAAACAGCUCUGUAUAAGAAGAAUGAAGUUUGUGAAGACGAUUGGCGUUGAAUUCUAUGGCAGAAAUGGAGCUUAUCUGACUCAGCCAUUUCGAUCUCUGGAGAAGCUAGAGUUUAGGGAGAUGCCAGAGUGGGAGGAAUGGGUACCAAGUGGAAGUGCAAGUGGAGGUGAAUAUGGUCCAGACUUUCCUCGUCUCCAGGAGCUGAUUCUAUACGAGUGUCCGAAGCUAAGAGGAAGUUUGCCUUGUGAGUUGCCUUGCUUGAAGAAGCUUACGGUGUAUGGGUGUAAGGUUUUACAUGAUGGAAGGGCCAUUACCGCAACUACCAAUAGUCUUAACUAUAAAUCUCUGGAAGAAUUGAAUAUAAGUGGUGGAUGCCAAACUCUGUUAUCAUUAUUAGAGACAAAGCUCCUGUCCGGACUUGAGAUUCGAAAUGUUGUUGACAUACAGUGCUUGCCCAACUGCAGUCGUCUUCAACAUUUGACUCUUUCGAAUUGUCCAACGCUGUCAUCAUUUCCCAAAGAUGGCCUACCCACUACAUUGACAUCACUUUAUAUAAACAAUUGUAGGAAAUUAGAAUUCCUACCUCAUGAGAUGUUGGCCAAAUUAACAUCGCUUGACUAUUUGUGCAUACAAAAUAGCUGUGAUUCAAUGAGGUCCUUCCCGUUGGGCAUUUUUCCCAAAUUGACGAGGCUUGAAAUUCGUGGUUGUGAGAAUCUGGAAUCCCUUUCCUUGAUUGAAGAAGAAGGAGCUGUUGAGAAUCUCAGCCAUCUCAAUUACUUGCAAGUCUAUAACUGUCCAAAAAUGGUGUGUUUUCACGAGGGAGAAUUGCCCACUCCCAACCUGAGUCACUUUGUAGUCGGUGGUUGCGAGAAUUUGAAGUCAUUGCCCAAAAGCCUUCACACCCUCACUGCCCUUCGAUCUUUGUCGAUAUGUAAUCUUCCGAAUCUGGAGUCAUUUGCAGAAGAUGGGGGUUUGCCUCCCAACCUCCGACAAGUAAGUAUUAGGAAUUGUGAGAGACUGAGGGCUUCAUCAGUGGGUUUGCAAGCACUUGACUCCCUUGAGAUCAGUGGAAGUGACCAUGUAUUCUCUAUCACACUCUUCACAUCUAUUCUCUAUCAACUCUGAAAUCUUUGGACGGAAAGGGUCUUGGACACCUCACUUCUCUUCAAGAGCUAGAUAUUAACAGGUGUCCAAGUCUGGAAUUCCUGCCAGGAGAGGAACUUCAACACCUCACUUCUCUUCAAAAUCUAUACAUUUGGAACUGUCCCAGUCUUCAAUGCUUGCCAGAAGAGGGUUUUCCAUCAUCUCUUUCUCAUCUGAGUAUCCGCCGGUGUCCUACCCUGGAGGAAAGGUAUAAGAAUAAAACGGGACGAGAUUGGGCCAAGAUAUCUCACAUUCCUUGCAUCGAGAUAGGCAACGAAGUGAUCAUAUAAUAUGAGCUAUUCCAUAUUUCACGCUCAACCCUCAACUCUCAAAUCAAAGUCAGGUGAGGUAUGUGCCUUCUCUUACUUUAAAAAACUGCUGCUCAAUAACACUCUUCGCACUCUAUAUAUUAUGGCCUGUCAGUCUAAAAUUCCUGCCAGGAGAGGAACUUGAACGCCUCUCUUCACUGCAAAGGCUACAUAUUUGUGGGUGUGACAAUAUCCAAUUCCUGCCAGAAGAGCGUUUGCUGCAAUCUCUUUCUUAUCUGUGCAUCGACCAUUGUUUUGCCAUGUAGAAAAGGUAUCUCACAUUCCUUGCGUCAAGAUAGGUGAAGAAGUGAUCAUAAGAUAUGAGCUCUCUCUCCCUCUCGCUCACAUACAAAGUACUUAAAACACUCAAUCUGAUUUCUAUUAUUAUUUUGCUCAGUAAAUUUUGUUUAAAUUUGCUUUGUUUCUCAUUGCGCUUGUUCUGCUUAUCACAACUUAUAUCCUAUUUAAAUCUCAAAUGCUGAAUAGUUAGCAGUCUUUUCGCAGGACAGCAUAUCUUCUCUUGGAGAGCUAUUCAUUUGCAAGGUUUCUUUAUGUGUCAUUUCCAGAGGAGGGUUUACUAUUUAAUAGAAAGGUUCACCUGGAAUAUCUCAAAUGACACAUUCCCAAAUACAGGCAUUGAAUGCACAACAUUUUGAGGUACUAUUUUUGUAAUAAAAAUGUACUUGAGUCUCAUUUGAGCUAGUUUAAAUUGUAUUCAAUGUCUAUGGAUAACCUGUGAGCUUAAGUUGUAAGAUAAAACUCACAGUAUAUUAUUAGGGUUUAGGGUUCAACAGGUGAGCUUAAGUUGUACUUUCCUAGGUACUGCAUGUAUAUUAUCUUAGUAUCAACACUUGGUCUUAUGUGGACGAGAGAGAACAUUUGAGGAAUUACAAAAUCUUCUUAGUGAAUUAAGCUUGUUUCAGCUCUGUUUGUCAUCCCUCACAUUUUCUUUGUUAAGCCUUGAUUUUUUAUUAGACAUACGAAAAAAUGCUUUUAUAAGACAGGAGAUGAAUGCUUUUAUAUGUUGAUGUCGUAGUCAGUCUUCAACCACACUCUGUUUUUAGAAUUCAUUUAUGUUACUAGUUGAGAGCUGCUGUAUUUUAUAUUUCGUUCCUGUAAUGUUUGGAUGUUUAGCUUGAGCAGUCUAGCUUAUCCAGUAGAUAACUUGUCCCCUGUUUUGUAAUGUUUUUGUUUCCUCUAAUGAAAGCAGGUUUUACUUAUCUUGAACUGCAGAAGCCUACUUUUUGACAUAGGUGGCAUGGCACAAACUCGCAUCCGCAUUUCCAUCCCCAUUGGCAUGCUGUCUCAUCUUUUCUAUUCUGUUACCAGCUUGAAGCUUGUGUGGACAUGUUAUGCUCUUGUAAUUCUGAUCACAAACAUCACUUGACAAAUGGAAAGUCACAAUCAGAUCUUUCAGGUGAUCUGGAGGUUUACUUUCUAACAUUUGUUUUCGUGGGGGGGAGACAACAAUACAGAAUUUAAAAUUUCUGAUAAUCAAUAGUAGUUUGCAUAUAUCAGCUGGGACCUGUAUGACUGUAUUAUGUAAUUAAUUAUUUCUCUUAUUGUUUGGGUACUGUUAAAAGGAGUUAGCCACACAACAUAAAAAAGGAGGUCUCUUAUUUCAUACAAUUUUUCAAAUGUGAUCAUUAAUCCGUUUCUUUUUCAACAAUAGAGGAAUGUAUACUAAUCGUCUGGUCCAUCUGCUGCUUCACUCCCUAGUAGCUUCAUCUCCUGUCCUUUGCUUUAUUUCUGUUGAUGAAUGUUUUGUCUGGGUUAUUUAUUUUCAUUUCAUGUCCAUUGCUUUAUUUCUGUUUGGAUUCUUAAUUAAAUCUGUCCUGGACUUGAACAAGGGUUAGGUUAGCUGUAUAAUUUGCGGUUUUAUAUACACAACUGUCUACAUUGAUUAAAACCAGCAUUAUUCUAAGGUUCAUUUAGAAUGUAUUAUCACCAAAAUUAUAAAGAAUACUUCUAUUACAAUUAAUUUGUUGAUUCUAAUUUGGACUUGUAGGAACAGACCAAACAUGUUCAUGCGUGGCAUUGCUCAAGUCAUCAUCAUUCGAGACAGAGAAUAAGCCUUCAAGUGUCUGCUGAGUCAAUGAACCUUUCUAGAUAUCUCAAGUGUAAUGGAAAUUGAUGAGUUACAAAGGAUUUGUAAACAUUUUCUACUGGAGGCUAGAAAUGCUUCAAAUAAAUGACCGUGUUGCAAUUAUUUUGUAGGAUCAAAGACUCUGCAAAGAGGUAAGAAAGUCAUCAUCAAGUAACUUUGCUCUUCAAACUUUUUAUUUUUAUUUUUAAAUAUCAGUAAUAACUGGGAAAGCUUGCAUCUCCUUAAAUUGCUCAUUCUUACAUCUUUUAUAGUUUGUUGAUCUUGGGCAAGUGGAGAGAGAGGCGUCAAGUGAUACGCAACAACCAUUUUCUGUGAGCUGAUUUGAUAAAGAGAAAUGGUAUGCUUUCUUGUCUUAAGCGGUGUGUUCUGCAAUUAUUUGAAACAAAGGAUGCCGCACUUCAAGUUCGAGAAAAUCAGGUAUUUUAGUAUUUUAUUCUUGAGAAAUUUGAUUUAUGUAGAAACUUGAACAUGUAAAUAAAAUAAAUAAAAUAUAUUAUAUGCUGUUAAUGAGUUAAUAUGGUGCUUGCUUCUAGUUGGAAAUUUAUGUAGUCAUCUACCUAUGAUCAAAUAAAGAUGAAGAAUAAAAUAUAAUUGAGAGCAUCUUCCUCUCCCCUGCUUUGCUCAUCCCUUGUUCUUCCACUUCAGCCCCACUAUUACACCAUUUUUUCAGCCACAAUUAUAAUAGCUCCAUGAGCAUUAAGUCCUUUUCAAAUUCUGCUGACAUUCAAAAUUGGAAUUUGCUGGUGAUAUAUGAUAGCAUCUUUGUCCGACCAAAAAGAGAAAAAAAAAAAGUUGAUAGCAUAUUGUACCAUUUUGGCCAGUGUACGCAAUAUUAUUGCAUCCAACUUUGCAUAUUAACAUCAGUGGCCACAGUUCCAUGAUUUGAGUGCACAGAAAAGUUUCAAAAGUUGUCCCACAAAGAACAGUCGUUCAAAGUGAAAGAGAGAUUUCAAAGCUUAAUUACAAGUUCAUGUUAUUUACAAUAUCAAAAAGCUUUCAUACUUGCUUACAAACCUGUAUUUCCAAGUUCUGCAAACCUUGGAAUAUCACUUCAUCCAAAUCCCCUUCCAAAGCAGGAAAAAAUGGCAGCAGCUUUGAUUGGAGAGGCUCUCAUCUCUGCUUCUAUCGUGGUGUUGUGUGACAGAGUUACUUCAGCCGAGUUCAUAGACUUAUUUCAGCAGAAGAAACUUGAUGAAACACUCCUCAUGAACCUGAAGACGACACUGUUGAUUUUGUUUGCGGUGCUCAAUGAUUCAGAGGAGAAGCAAAUUGUGAACCCUGAAGCUUUGCGAUGCAAGCUGGAAGGUGAGGAUCAAACCCACAAUAAUUAACCAAAAAGGAUCUUUUUGAUUGUUUGAAAGGAGGGUCUUGAUGAUUUGAAAGGAGAGGGUUGCUUUAUUUCUGUUGGAUGCUUAAUUAAAUCUUAUUUGGAGUUGAACAAGGAUUAGGUUAGCUGUAUAAUUAGUGGUAAACGCCUUUUUCUAAGGGUCAUUUAGACUCCUAUUACGAUUAAUUUGUUGUUUCUAAUUUGGACUUGUAGGAACAGACCAAAUAUGUUCACACGUGGCAUCGCUCAAGUCAUCAUCAUUUCAGACUGAAAAUCAGCCUUCGAGUGUCUGUUGAGUCAAUAAACCUUUCUAGAUAUAUCAAGUGCAAUGGAAAUUCAUGAGUUACAUAGAGAUUUUUAAACAUUUUGAAGAUUGCAACACCUGCAAGUGAGAUAGGCGGUGACGAAAUCAGAGCUGAUUUUGAAGCCUCUGAUGCCCCUGUUGUUGCAAGUUGCACCUGAGAACAAGUUUUUUUUUUCUUUGGGGUAAAAAACUGGCAACAUGUUCGGAGCUGACAAUUCAAUCCCUGAUGAACUAGAGAAGCAAAGCUCCGGUAAGGAAAUUGGUCAAGGUUGUGACAGGGAUGAUUGAUGGUGAAAUGGAUGCUAUUUCUUAUUGCAGCCUGUUCUCAAAGUUCUUGUUGGCAAAUGCAAUUGAUGGAGUAUUUUGAUUGGGAGGAGAGAUAAUGACAUGGCUUGACAAUUCUAGAACAGCCCAUCAUUAAUCCCAGAAAAAAUCCCGUUUCUGCUAAACAAUCACUUAUGGCAAGGCCAACUCUGUAAAUGGAAUUUGUGAUCCCUUCAAAUUGUACACAUUUUUUCUUUUUGAGGAAUUUAAUCAAACAGUAUUCUAAUGCAUUAUGAUAGCACUACACGCUUUUGUUGUAACAAAUUACAAGGAGGAAUUUGGAUUGAGUUUCUUGUAUAAGCACACCUUACACAAAUUUCGUAUAUUUUCUUCCAGCAAGUCUGUUUAUUAACCCCCUUAUCUGAAAUUAAUUGUUAAAAGUUUUGAUUCAUCUUUAAUCAGUGUCUUACCCUUGUUGAAUAACACUCCUCUUUCUAAUUUAUAUUUGAAGUUUGAGCUUUCAAUUUCAAUUGUGGGCUUUGAUUUUUCAGAUUUUGUUUGUCAAUUUCAGUUUGGACAAAGCAUAUAUGCAAACAAAGUAAGCAUUUUAUGUUAUACUUUUGAACUAGGUGUUGAUUUGAUUUAAUCAUAAGUUUUGCUGGUGCAUUUACUAGGCUAAUCAUUCAAUACUUUUGAUCAUAGAACUUCUUUGGUUGAUAUUAUCUUUGUUAAGUUUAACCAUAACUUUAGAGAGGGGACUUCAACAGAUUUAUAAUCUCAUCAUUAUAGUAUUAAAAAUUAGAGAUUAUUUAAGGCAUUGUCUAUUAUCUGAAUUCUGCUUACUUUUAGUUCAUAUGUUUACAUCUUAGCAUAUUCAUGUGAUUAGUGCGGCUCAUACCACAAAGGCAAUUUUAGGCUCAUCAAGUGCUAAGCAAUGUCAAGCUUCCAAAUGACAAGUUCUCUACAUAGUUUGAGACCUACACUUACUAGAUAUUAGAUCAUUUCGAUCAUUUCCAUAUGUUUAUAUGUAAUUGACAUGUUAUAACAUUUUUGUAGCGUUAUAUAAUUAUUUAGCAAUUUAAUUAUUUCUUUGCAACUUAAUUUUUUUUGUCAAUCAUACUAUUGUUGACUGCUAAAAACCAUCAAGAAAUAGUUCUCAAGUUAUAAAAAAAAAAAAAUUUUAAAAAAGAUUUGUUGAUGCUUAAAAAGCAUCAAGAACAGAUAGUUUCUUGACGGUUUUGUGACAUUUCAUAACUGUAGGGGGCUUUUUCUUCCGACAGCUGUAAAUGGGCUGGGCUGCCGUAAAGGGCAGACUGAUGAAAUUGUCCCCUUUUGUAUGAGCUCAAAAAUUAAGCCCCAAAAUACUUUGAAAGGGCAGCAGAGCCUUAGGAAGUAUUUUGGUUACCCUCACCAACUAAAACAACAACAACUUACAGGUAAUUACUUAAUGCUUAUGGAUGAACUCUUGAGCUUGGCAUGAGAGACAUAUGGCAUGGAAGCAAAAUCAACAUGAGUUUAGCACUGAGGGGAAAUUUAGGCUCUCUUGGGGGAAAAAGGGAAGUGUUAAGGUGAGAGAGGAGAAGUUUGUAGGAGAUUUAGCUAAGAAAGGAGAAAUAUAGAACAAUGCUCUUUUGGCAGCUUGACAGAUGCUCUGUUUGCCAGAAAAGGAAGAUGGAGAAGAAAUGUGAAUAGUGCAAGAGUUUGCUAGAUUUUUGCAGGUAAGAGAGGAAGCUUGCUCUCUGGGUCUGAGUUGAGUUUUUUUGUGUGGAAGAGACCUCAUUUUAUAGCCCUUGGAAACCAUCACUUCCCAAGAAACCCUAAUGGCUUCUACCCAUUUUGGCCAAGCUUUUCCCUUCCUUUCUCAUUUCCUUCCUUGACUUUACCCCUCUUGAUGAAAUCCCCUCUGCCUAUUUGCACCAUAUCAGAGUUUUUUGAAGCUCAAGGCCCCUUUUUCCCGCAGUUGUCUCAAUGGGAGACUUCCAUUCCCAGUCAUCUCCUUUAUUGCUUUCCUUUCUUUUUUUCAUGGCCAAGUUUGGUGGGGAAAGGAGUUGGGAUAUAUAUGCUGGUUUGAAGGGUGCUUCUCUUCCUGGCAUCUUACACACUAAUACCCCUUGGUUCCUUGAAUGUUUUGGCUUUGAAACUUGCUCUCCCCCCCCCCCCCCCCCCCCCCAUGUACUGGAACCUACCAGCAGCUCUAUUCAAUGAAUCUUCAGACCUUCUCUUCGUGGCUUUUAUUUUUUAUCAACGGGCUGGGGCUUUUGUGGCUCAUUGUGGCAAUUGUAUGGGCUAAGGUGGUUCAUUAAGUAAGUGGGCUAUUUUUAUUAAACAUUAGGCUUUUUGGUUGAGUCACUAGGCUAUUUUGAUUGGGCUAUUGGGCUAUUUUUUUCCUCUCUUGUGCUCACCCACAUGUUUGGACCAAAGAAAUGAGCUUGAGUCCUGAGGCUCCCAAGCGACCCGAGACUUUCCAUUUCUGGCCCAUCAAUGGGCCUCAUGUUGAUUUAUUACCAUCCAUACCACAACCCACUCAAGCAGGCUCCGGGCAUUUGAAUGACUUGGGCGCACUUAGGCUUGUAGUGUGGUUGGGUGCGAAAUAACGAUUUCGUGCUUGGCAUGUUUUAAUUUUAUCAUCCUUGGGAAAGGCUGCGAUGUUUGAUUUCGGCAUGGGCUUGUAGAGCUGGUAUGCUUUAUUUCAACUCCUAGCAUGACGAAUUAUUUAUUUAGCAUGGCACGUGAAUUACAACUCGCAUGUGGUGGGUUUUUGUGUACUACACCUUACGCCUCUUCUUAAUAGAACAUCGUUUUGGGCUGAUAAUUUAUUCGGGCCAAACCGUGAAUUUUUUGGGUCUCAAUAAUAACCAUCAUGAAACAUUACAUUUUGACUGACGUCAAGAAAUGGGGUAUCCCUUUCCUGAUAGUGGCAUCCAUGAUGCCUUCCAAGCAGUCAAUUAAGGGCUAUCGUGAUGCAUUUUAGUUGUCAGCAAAAGGUGUUUUUCUUGUACUGUAUUCACUCAAAGUCGUGUUUCAUUUAAGAUUAGUAGUAUGGUUGAAUACCAUUUGUUUUGUUAAAGAAUAUUAUACAUUAGGGAUUUUUGUAGAAAUGUCAUUUGAACUUAUACCUUAGUUUCAAUUUGUCACCUUGAAGAAAAAUUUAAGAGAAAUGUCACCUUAAUUUUUAAAAAUCCAUGAUUUGUCAUAUGACUUUAAAAUCAUCCAAUUUUCCAUCCAUUUUAAGGGUAUUUUAGUCUUUUCAUUUUGAAGGAAAAAAAAGAGAUGAAAAAAGAGACCUCUCUCUUACUUUGUCCCUCAACCCAACCCCACCCGCCCCCCAAAACACAUCACAUAGGAUUGCCUCCCCCUUCCCCACUUUUCUUUUUUCUUUUUGUCCUACUUUUCCACUAUGUUUAUGUUGAAGGAUCUAAAGUUUGCUUGGUCACCAUCUGUUACGUAGGCUUCCCAAUUGUUAGUUUGGGUGGGUUGUGGGAAUUUGUGUGCUCGAAACCCGAGACGAAUCUUGUGGAAUUCCCGACAUCACACCGAUGCCGGGCCCACUUCUGAACUAAAUUCUCUUUUCCAAAAUUAAGGAAAAAGAGUACGAGGCUUUCUGCCGAAAUUUCGACAGAGUAUUCCCUAUAAAUUUAACAUUUCAGCUUUGGUGGCCGUUCUCUCAUUUCAGCUUUGGUGGCCGGAUGAGAGAACGGUCGGCUAAAACGUGGCCAGCUGGCACUGCCGUCGCGAGAGAGAGAGAGAGAGAGAGAGAGAGAGAUUUUUAUCAAAUCAUUUUUGCCAAAAUUACGAUUAUGCAACUGAGGGUAUUUUGAUCGUAUCUUUUUCAUUAUAACUCUGAUUCAAGCCCACUACGUGUUUACGGACUCAUCUCGCCGUGCUCUAUGCAAUUGUAUAGUUGAAAUUCCCAAAUUCCACCCCAGUCAAAAAUUCAACUUUAAACCCUACAAAAUAUUAUAGGGGCAAAAUGGUCUUUUAUCUAAUUAAAUUAAUAAUUGAAAAUUUAUUUAGGACCGGGUUGUUACACUGUCGUUGAUGGACUGUGCGAUGACACUCACACAAAGUCCUUGAGAAUAAAACACACACACACCAUGAAGAGAGUAAAACAAAUACACAAGUACACAAAGAUUUAUAAAGGUUUGGCCUUCUGCCUACGUCCUCUUGGUGAUCCACCCGAGAAAUUCACUAGUACGUAAGAACAACUUUGGUUACAACUAAACCCCCUUAGCUUUCAUAAGAACCCUAGAUCUCUUUUCUCCCACCCUUGCUCCAACCCUUUGAUGCCCUUGUAAACACUCAAGAAUUCACCCUUGAAUUCUGUCAUGUGUUACAUCUUCUCUUCUCCCCUUUGUUAACCUAACCCUAAAAGUUAUAUUUAUAAUUCAUAGGACUUUAAGUACAAGUUAACUAGGAAUAGGAAACAUAAUAGACCUCAAAAAUUGGAGAAAAUAUGUUUAGAUCUCGUUAGGAAAUUGCACAACACGUGCGAUCCGCUCGAGCGCCUGCAAAAUGAUCCCUUUGUCGCUCAAGCUGCCGAUAGCUCAUGGGAUGGGGGAAUUAGAGAUUUUUUUUUUUUUCAAUUUUAAUUGUUUAAAAGAUAUACAAUUUUUUAAUAAUAAUUUUUCCAUUUUUAAAAUACCCUUGAAAAUAGAAAGAUUAAAAUGCCCUUAAAAAUGGAUGGAAAAUUGGAUUGCGUUAAGGUCAGUUGACAAAUCAUGGAUUUUGAAAAAUUAAGGUAACAUUUCUCUUAAAUUUUUCUUUAAAGUGACAAAUUAAAAUUGAGGUAUAAGUUCAAGUUACAUUUAUGCAAAAAUCCUUAUACAUUAUGAUAUUCUAACAAUAAAAUUGGCUAAAAUUGAUAUGUUCCCUCUUUAUUUUCUUUUUCUCUUUUCCUUUUCAUUUUAUGAUCCAAUCCUUUUCAUAUAUUUUUGUUCAAGACUUUGUUUUAGAAUGCUCUAUUACUAAUUUGGUACAGGUCCCUAAAAUCUCGGAGCCGCCUUAGUACAUUCAUAAUGUACAUGUUCAGAGUUCAAGAAUAAUGUAUAGAAUGUGAAAUUGACGAUGCCGGCCUUUAUGAGGCAACGUCUUUAUUUCUUUGGUUAUUACAGUUUAGAAUAUUUGCACAAAUGAGAUGAUUCCAAGCAUAAAGUCACAUUCGACCAAAAAGCAUGAAGUCACACACAAAAAGAACACGGACAAUUGCUAAGUUUAUCCUUGUACCCUUAUUUUAUUGAUCCGACCCAAUUGAAAAUUAAAAAAAGAUGAUAAAAAAUAUUGUUCACUACUUUAAAAUCUAUGAGUAGAGUCCUCCAUUUGAAAUUUCGUCAUUAUACAAAAUUGGAAUGAAAAAAGAAAAUCCUACAGCUAAAUUUGAUAUAUUUCCUUUUCAUUUUAUGCUGGGUGUUAGGGCUUGUCAAUGGGCCGGGCUAGGCUAGCCCGGCUCAAAUUUAAUGGGCUUGGGCUAGGCCGGGCCAAGCUUUAAAGAGGAGAGAGAAAAUAUCCGGCCGAGUUUUUUAAGAAAAUUCAAAGCCCAAGCCCGAAUCACUGCUGUCUAGCCCGGCCCAAAUUUAAUGAGCUUGGGCCAGGCCGAGCCAAGCUUUAAAGAGGAGAGAGAAAAUAUCCGGCCGAGUUUUUUAAGAAAAUUCAAAGCCCAAGCCCGAAUCACUGCUGUCAUUUCAUUGAUUUGUGACGAGCACAACCACCAAAUCAGAAUUUACUCACGAAAAUAUCAAGUAUGUCUAGCAAAUUUCAAUUUUGAAUAAUACACAAUUUCAAAAGGAGGACAUGUUGCAAGACAGCAUACCUUCUCUUGGGGUGCUUUUCAUUUUGCAACAUUUCUUUACGUGUAAUUUCCAGAGGAGGGUUUAUCAUUGUAUAUAGCUUUUCGGGUGGUUUGUCUACAAAACAAAUGUCACAAAGAAGGAGGAGAAACGGAAAAGAUUUACUUGGAAUGUCUCAAGUCUCCUUUGAGAUAAAGGCAUCGAAUGCACAACAUUGCUUUUGUGCUAUUUCAUAAUUAAAGUGUGCUUCCCAAGUCUCCUUUGUGUUUUGUAACUUGUAAUGUUUGUUUUUUUGUUUCCCCUGUUUUCCCUCUUAUAAAAGAAAUACAGGUCCAAACCACACGGAUCUACUUGCAUAAUAAUGGACCAAAUUUAUGAUUUUUAGAAAGAACCUUCUGCCGGUGGAAUCUUGGGCUACUGUUGUGGCUCUCCUCUGUGUGCCUCCUUUUUAGAACGGUAAAAUAUUCAAAAUACUAGAAAAUGUUCGUGAUUAAUAUAAAUAUUAAGAAUUGAAAUUAUUAAUUAAAUGAGGAUAAUAUGGUAAAUUCACACUUUUUUAUAUUAAAAAAAUUAAAAUUAAAAGAAAAAUCAGAUAAUUGAUAUUAUUUUUAUGGAACACAGCUACUCAUUAUCUUUUUUAAUUCUAAAAUAAAUUUAAAUUAAAGAAAAAAACCCCUCUCACAGGCACGGAAGCGCGUGCUCAGAGGCUAGUUAAAAAUAAUGAACUUUGCUUCUGAAGACGUCUAUACCAGACCCACUCAACCUGCUUUAUGAUUAUACAAAGAACAAACUCGUCCUUAGACUCAUUUGGUUAAACUUAGAAAAUAAUGAAACAAAAAUAUGCACUCCCACAAGUAACACAGCCAGGAUUGAAAACAACUGGACAAAGAAAGGCAUGUUAAAACAGAAUUUUCAACAACUCAUCACCAUUAGACAAGAAAAAGAAAAAUCAAUACAAAAACAGAAAGAACAGAGAAUAAAUGUGGUGGAAGAAAAACGUUGAAGCCAUUUGUGAAUCCAACAACACUACCACUCUGUUUCUCUCCUUUUGUUCAGGCGGAUCUGCAUAUAUCCUAAGGCGUAUUACGGAAACAACUUCUUGCCGUUAUACUUGAAUGUUGUGGAUGCUUCAACGUUGCCAUCUGGGUGGAGUGGAUUUGUCCAAUUCACCUUCACUAUGGUAUAUACGUCCAAAUUGUUGUUAUUUGAAAGGCUUCUAAAUUUUAACAUUUUGAUUUUUAAAUUUUGUUUAAAUAUUUCGGCCCACUUAGUUCUUCUCAAAAUAUGUCAUCAAUAUCGUUGAAAGGUUGAACUUAGUGAAUUAUUAUAGUGCAGUACUGUAGAAUAGACACAUGAUAUAAUUUGUCCACAUGUUAUAAUAUAAGUAAAUAUUUAUUGAUAUUAUUUCUAAAAAUAAGAAAUAUCAACCAUUAUAUCCUCCCAUAUUAUAAUACAUAUACAAAUUAUACCACAUUAUCAUACUCUAAUACCAUUUUAUAAUUUCUCGUACUUAGAGCGAGUCAAUGACAUUACAUAAUAUAUAAUUGUUCAUAUAAUGGGGCAACUAACGUGAUCAACAAGUUGUGGUGAUUAAUUUAACAUAAUAAAAAAUAUACCAUUUACUUGAGUGAUGUAACAAUUUGUUCUUUUAAAUUGGAUUGCCAUCACUUUAAUAUGAUAUGUUUCUUAUUAUAGUGUCCCAUGUUAAGUGCUUCAGCAUUGUUUGUGGUGUGUACACAAAUUUUCUUAUAAAAUGUUUUAAUGCUUCUCACAUGUAUAUCAGAUAUAGACAGUUGAUGUGACUUAGAAAUCAAAUUGUCAAUAAAGCAAAAAAAUAUAAUUGGUGAUUGAGGUCCAAUUUAAUAGAAAAUAGUCUUAACUUGUAUAUUAGAGGUUUCAGAUUCGAAUCCUCACUGCAUUAUUGUUGUAUACGUACACGAGAAAUCCUCUUCUCCAAUAAUUUAGACUAUCACUUAUACUAAAAAAAUAUAUAUAUAUAAUGACUUUUACGGAUGCAAACAUAAAAUUACACCAAACAAUAAUGGAAUAGAAAGAUGCAAGUUAUUUUUUUUUUUUUUACAUCUAAAGUAUACUUUAUAUAUAUAUUUAUUAUGGGUGUUAUAACCGUUUAAUUUUCAGUUUUUAUUUUCUAUUUAUUGUUUUAAUUUUUAUGGUUUAAUGUGUAUGAAGAUUACAAGUAUUGGAUGUCUACCACUCCUCCUUCACAUCUGAAACAAACCACCAUCUCAUUUCUGUAUUUUCAUACUUUCAUAUAUUUUCUACUUUCCAGAUUAUUAUUUUUGGGCAACGGUUCUGUGACUUGCAGAUUUCUAUCCGAUUGUUAACAUGCUCAUAGCGGACCUUGAGCUUGCGUAUUGGGGAUCGUAUCUUGGAGCCUUAUAGACCUUUAUUACCUGCAUGUAGGGAGGUUAUAAAUGCUUUAGGUCAGCAUCUUUGACGUGCUUUUGCUUUCUUUUUUUUUUUACUUAUUUCUUCGUUUCUUUAUUUUUACUUUACUUUUAAAUUUUUAUUUUAUGUAUUAUUUAUAUUUAAAAGUUUUGAAUAAGAGUUUUACAGAAAAGGAAAAACACAAUUUCAAAUAACACAAAUUUCUCGUUUUUGGUUCUUAAAAUAAAUGAAUUUUUUACUUAUUUGUGAACUGAAAUGCCUCUAAAAAAAUAAUGAUAGUUUGAAGAAUUUGAUAGAAAUUAAAAAAUAUCCUCAAAUUACUUGGAAUUGAAGACCACAUAGGCAAAAACACCAUUUUGGACAAAGGCUGGUGAUAAUAGUCGAUAUCAUCUUUAAGUACUUUAAUAUGAUAUGUUUCUUAUUAUAGUGUCCCAUGUUAAGUGUUUCAGCAUUGUUUGUGGUGUGUACACAAAUUUUCUUAUAAAAUGUUUUAAUGCUUCUCACAUGUAUAUCAGAUAUAGACAGUUGAUGUGACUUAGAAAUCAAAUUGUCAAUAAAGCAAAAAAAUAUAAUUGGUGAUCGAGGUCCAAUUUAAUAGAAAAUAGUCUUAACUUGUAUAUUAGAGGUCUCAUAUUCGAAUCCUCACUGCAUUAUUAUUGUAUGCGUACAUGAGAAAUCCUCUUUCCUAAUAAUUUAGACUAUCACUUAUACUAAAAUAUAUAUAUAAUGACUUUUACGAAUGCAAACAUAAAAUUACACCAAACAAUAAUGGAAUAGAAAGAUGGAAGUUUUUUUUUUUUUUCCUACGUCUAAAGUAUACUUUAUACAGUCCCGAUCUCUUGGACCACAGGAGUCCAAGAGAUUGUGGUCACCCACCGUUGGAUAUUAAUCCAAUGGUUCAAAAUGAUAUAUAUAAAUGCAAUAUGACAUAAAUGAUUAUUACCCGAUCCAAGUCAACCGUUGAAUUUACAUUCAACGGUGGGUGACCAUAAAUCUCUUGGACUACAGGGGUCCAAGAGAUCAGGACUGAUACUUUAUAUAUAUAUAUAUAUAUAUUUAUUUAUUAUGGGAGUUAUAACUGUUUAGUUUUCAGUUUUUAUUUUCUAUUUAUUGUUUUAAUUUUUAUGGUUUAAUGUGUAUGGAGAUUACAAAUAUUGGAUGUCUAUAAAGGGCCACUCCUCCUUCACAUCUGAAACAAACUACCAUCUCAUUUCUGUAUUUUCAUACUUUCAUAUAUUUUCUACUGUCCAGAUUAUUAUUUUUGGGCAACGGUUCUGUGACUUGGAGAUUUCUAUCCGAUUGUUAACAUGCUCAUAGCGGACCUUGAGCUUGCGUAUUAGGGAUCGUAUCUUGGAGCCUUGUAGACCUUUAUUACCUGCAUGUAGGGAGGGUACAAAUGCUUUAGGUCAGCGUCUUCGACGUACUUUUGCUUUCUUAUUUCUUCGUUUCUUUAUUUUUGCUUUACUUUUAAAUCUUUAUUUUAUGUAUUAUUUAUAUUUAAAAGUUUGAAUAAGAGUUUUACAGAAAAGGAAAAAUACAAUUUCAAAUAACACAAAUUUCUCGUUUUUUGUUCUUAAAAAAGAAGAAGCAUUGAUUGGGGAGUUAUGGUAAACUCAAUUUCAAUGGUUGCGAUGAGAGGCGGUGGCGGCGAGGAGAGGACGAAGGCUUUGCUGCCGACGGGGUGGUGUGGGUGGGUGGAGACCUCGGCUGGCUGCUUGGUCCUGGGUUCUCCUUUAAUUCUCUGUUUUCUUUUUUCUUUUUCUUUUUCUCUUAGAGUUAUUGAUGUUAAGUGAAUGGACAGAUGCCAAAAUAGGGACAGAAGUAGGGGUGGGCAUCAAUCCGGCCGAUCCGGUCAAUCCGGCCGAACCGAUUAUAUUGGAUUGGUUUGGUUUGGUUUUGACCAAAGAAAAAGUCAACAUUUUGAAAAACCGAACCGAACCGGUUUGGUUUGGUUCAGCUGUGGUUUGAGAGUUUUAAAAACUGUCCUAAACCGAACCGGACCGAUUAUAAAUCAAUUUAUUAUUUAUUUAAUUUAGUUUACAUGUGGCAAGGUUUGUGUGCGUUUUGUGAGUCCGCGUAUCUGAAUGUUGGUGCACGUUUUGAUCUUCUAAUUUGCAUAUCCCAGUUAUUUGUGUGUGCUUGUAUUUCCCUCUCUUUCUAUCUCUACUAUGUGUGUUUGCUCUUUGUGUUGUGUGGCUCUUCUUACUCUAUCUAUCUUAAUUAAUGGGUCCAUUUCAUAAUUUCAUACGCAUUCAAACUCCACCUCUGUGAUAAAAACAUUUACCUCUUUGUGAUAAAAGCUUUUCAUUUGUUUGUAUUUCUCUUUGGCUUUUUGACUCACUCACUGUCUUUCUUUCUUUUAAUGCUACUUGUGAUGAAUGCAAUGAGUAAAUUUAAUGCUACUUGGUUAAUGCAAAUUUUGUAUAUGUUUGUUUUGAUGGAAAUUGUGAACUUAGAUGCAUGCUAGACAUUGGACAACCUUUGAAUAAAUGGAAUGAUGUUGUAUUAGCCUUUGAUGGAAUGAAAUGAAAUGAUAUAAUGGCAAAAUGUUAGCAUUAUAAUGUAAGAGCAGGUUGAAAAAUGCAUGGUUUUGUGUUAGGCACAAACCGGCCGAACCAAUCCGAACCAAACCGAUUACAAGUGGUUUGGAUUGGUUCGGUUUCCAUUAUGAUUUUAGGCUAAUCCGAACCAAACCGGACCGUUAUUUUCUUAUUGGUUCAGCUGUGGUUUGAGAGUAAAACCGAACCAAUCCGGACCGUGCCCACCCCUAGACAGAAGAUGUGAACCCAAUUAUAUACAGCUGAUUACAUAAAGUAACAAAUUAAUUAAUACUUGAGUGGAGGACAGGCUUGAGUGGAAGAAUUGAUUAAGGCUUGAGUGGAAGACCAACUUCAGUGGAGGAAAGUAUAGAUAAGGAAAGCAUGCCUCGUUUAACGGCUUUAUCUAAUAAAGAUUAGUUGUUGGCACUUGGAGUUUCUUAGGAAUGCUGGUUUUGUUUCCUUGGUGGACUUGAAAGGUGGUGCGUUGGCUCGGACAUCUCCCUAGUAAUUAAUCGAAGGUGGAAUCUUACAAGACAUACAGCUGCUCAUUAGCUGAAUAUCUCGCUCUCUUUAAAGAGAUCGAAGCAAACUGCAAUUUGCAAUUUGUGUGAUUCAAGCAUGAAUAUCUGAUAUAGUAACUAUACCAUUUGUUGGUUUGAUAAGAAAAGUUUGGUUAGCGAGGAUGAAACCAUAAAGUUCUCCAAAACACACAAAAAACACGAACAAUUGCUAAGUUUAUUCUUGAGUUCACACAUAUUUGUACAAAUGAGAUUACUCCAAGCAUGACUAUACCAUUUGUUGGUUUGAUAUGAAAAGUACGGGCAACGAGGAUAAAACCAUACAAACACACACAAAGAACGUGGACAAUAUACUAAGUUUAUCUUUGCGUUAUUGAUCCGACCUAACUGUAAAAUAAAAAAGAUAAAAAUAUAUAAUGUUCACUACUUAGAUCUAUGAGCACUAAAGUCCUCCUUUUGAAAUUGCACAAAACAUCACUUUUGGUCUUUGGUAAAUUUUUAAAAUAAAUGAAUUUUUUACUUAUUUGUGAACUGAAAUGCCUCUAAAAAAAUAAUGAUAGUUUGAAGAAUUUGAUAGAAAUAAAAAAAUAUCCUCAAAUUACUUGGAAUUGAAGACCACAUAGGCAAAAACACCAAAUUGCAACCUCACUUUAAUGAUAAAAAUGGUAAACUACAAAGACAAAAAUGACGUUUUGCCUUAUACAUAAUUGGAAUUUGCUGGUGAUAAUAGUCUACCAUCUUUUGUCGAUUUGCUGGUGAUAAUAGUCUAUCAUCUUUUGUCGGUCCGACCUAAAAAGAAGAAAAAGUUGAUGGCAUCUUGUACCAUUUUUGCCAAUGUGGGCCCAAACAAUUUGAAGAAGUCCACCGGCAAUUUCUCAAAAGCUAUUGUGUGAGUGUGAAGCUAAACCAAUAUUAUUUUGCAUAUACGACUCCACAUCCCCAUGUGAUGUGAGGCUACAAAAGUGUUUCCAAAACGAAAUAUGAUAUUUCAAAACGAAGCUAUGUAUAGAGUCAUUUGUAUUUGCUUUCACAAUAACAUUUGAUUUGUGAAAGCAUUUUAUAUUUAUACAUUCUGAUAUUCUAACAAAUAAAUUGACUAAAUUUGGCCAACAGGAUUUAGCCGAAUAGAAAAGUCCUUAUUUAUAGACUAGUGGUUUCAAAUUUAAAGUUUAGACUAUCGCAUGUAUUUAAAAAAAAAAAAACAAUUGGCUUAAUUUGAUAUAUUUCCUUUUUUUCCUUUUUCAUUUUAUACUGGGUGCCGUUAUUAAGUUUUAUCCUUAUUUUUUGUUGAAAAGAAAAUUGAAAAAAAAUAAUAAUUCCUACAGCUAGCAACUUCUCCACCUUCCCUUCUUCGCAACUAGGGAUGCCAUUGCAAGGUCACCAUCUCAGAUUAAGUCCUCCUUUUAAAAUUGUGUCGUUAUUCAGAAUUGGAAUAUAAUCCUGUACCACUUUGGCCACUUUUGAAGAUGUUCACCGACAAUUUCUCAAAAGCUAUUAAGCUGUACAUCCACAAUAUUAUUGCAUCCAUCCCCAUGUGAGGCUACAGAAAAAUUUUGAAAACGAAACUGGAUAUUUUAUCUCUAACAACAGCUUUCAUACUUCGUUUACCCUGUGUUUCCAAGUUGUGCUAGCUAUUUGCAAACCUUGGAAUAUUACUUCAUCCAAAUCCCUUGCAGAGAAGAGCAAGAUAUGGCUUUGAUCGGAGAAGCCCUCAUCUCCGCUACCAUCCAGACGUUUUGUGACAAAAUUGCUUCGCCUGAGUUCACCGACUUAUUUCGGCAGAAAAAGCUCGAUGAACAACUCCUCAACAAGCUGAAGACGACGCUGUUGACCUUGUCCGUAGUGCUUAAUGAUGCAGAGGAGAAGCAAAUUAAGGAACCUUUAGUGAGAGACUGGCUUGACAAUCUCAGACAUAAUGUCUUGGCUGCGGAGGACUUACUGGAUGAGAUCGACACUGAAGCUUUGCGAUGCAAGCUGGAAGAAGGUGAAGGUCAAACCCACAAUUUAACCAAGAAGGUACGUGAUUUUUAUCAACGCAUGAAUGUUGAGAUGAAAGAUUUAUUAGAAAGAUUAGAACAAUUUGUACAAGAGAAAAGUGCUCUUGGUUUGAGAGAAGGUGCUGGGAGGAAGGUUUCACAAAGAAGAACAACUUCCUUGGUUCAUGAACCUUGUGUCUAUGGUAGAGAUGAAGUCAAAGAAAAUCUGUUACAAAGAAGAGGAUUUGCCGUCAUCUCUUUCUCAUCUGAGUAUCUCGCGGUGUCCUGCCCUGGAGAAAAGGUAUAAGAAUAAGACGGGACAAGAUUGGGCAAAGAUAUCUCACAUUCCUUGCAUCAAGAUAGGAUACGAACUGAUCAUAUAAUAUGAGCUAUUCCAUAUUUCACUCUCAACCCUCAACUCUCAAAUCAAAGUCAGGUGAGGUAUGUGCCUUCUCUUACUUUAAAAAACUGCUUCUCUUCUUCUAAUUGAAUACAAAAACCAAAACACAUAUUCUCUUUCUCUUCCAAAAACCCAAAUACAUGUUGAACAUUGCCAAAUUUGAUCUCCAAAUUCCUAAUUAUUUCACGCUUUUUGUUAUUUUGUUGCUUAGUAAAUUAUGGUUGCUGGUCACAAAUUAUAGUCUGUUAAUAGGUUCAUGCCAUGAAUUAAUCUUUGGACUUUCCCAGGUACUGCAGGUUUGUUAUUAAUGUUGUGGCCUGAUAUUCGUCGUAUCAAUAGGUUGUCUUACGUUGAGGAGAGAGAUCGAUCAGCAAUUACAAAAUUGUUAGUGAAUUUAGCUUGUUUAUCAUCUCUCUCCUUUUGUUUGUUAAGUUUGGUUGUUCUAGGUUAAACCCUUGUCCCCGCAUUUCACAGCAACUCUAUGUUAUUCCACUCUGUUUAGUUUCAUUUAUGUUGUGAUUCGACUGCUGCUGUAUUUUAGAUUUCGUUCAUGUAAUGCUAGGAUGUUUAAUCUCUUAUCUGUGGUGGUAGUUGAGUAGUCUAGCUAAUCCAAUGAUAACUUGUCCCCUGUUUUGUAUUGUUUUUAUUUCUCUGGUAAUGAAAGCACGUUUCUUAUAAAUAAAUAAAAAAUAUUUCAUUGAUAUUCAUUGCUUAUUUUGAACUGCAGAAGCCUACUUUUGUCAGAGUCAGUAGAUGCCAGAAUGAAGUCAUUGCCUAAACACAUUGGCACCCUCACAGCCUUCGACAUUUUGGGAUAUAUGAUCUUCAAAAUCUUGUGUCAUUUGCCUCCCAACCUGCAAUAUUUUCAUAUUUUAAAUUGUGACAGACUGAGCCCUUUGGUGGGAGAUUACUGGGGUUUGCAAGGACUUGGUGGCAAUAUCUUGUAGACGUUUCUCAAGGAACAGCUGCUCAAUACCACUCUUCACACUCUAUAUAUUAUGGCCUGUCAGUCUAUAAUUCCUGCCAGGAGAGGAACUUGAACGCCUCUCUUCGCUGCAAAGGCUACAUAUUUGUGGGUGUGACAAUAUCCAAUUCCUGCCAGAAGAGUGUUUGCUGCCAUCUCUUUCUUAUCUGUGCAUCAACCAUUGUUUUGCCAUGUAGAAAAGGUAUCUCACAUUCCUUGCGUCAAGAUAGGCGAAGAAGUGAUCAUAAGAUAUGAGCUCUCUCUCCCUCUCGCUCACAUACAAUGUACUUAACACAAACACUCAAUCUGAUUUCUAUUAUUAUUUUGCUCAGUAAAUUUUGUUUAAAUUUGCUUUAUUUCUCAUUGCACUUGUUCUGCUGAUCACAACUUAUAUCCUAUUUAAAUCUCAAAUGCUGAAUAAUGAGCAGUCUUUUCGCAGGACAACAUAUCUUCUCUUGGAGAGCUAUUCAUUUGCAAGGUUUCUUUAUGGGUCAUUUCCAGAGGAGGGUUUACUAUUUAAUAGAAAGGUUCACCUGGAAUAUCUCAACUGACACAUUCCCAAAUACAGGCAUUGAAUGCACAACAUUUUGAGGUACUAUUUUUGUAAUAAAAAUGUACUUGAGUCUCAUUUGAGCUAGUUUAAAUUGUAUUCAAUGUCUAUGGAUAACCUGUGAGCUUAAGUUGUAAGAUAAAACUCACAGUAUAUUAUUAGGGUUUAGGGUUCAACUGUUCAACAGGUGAGCUUAAGUUGUACUUUCCUAGGUACUGCAUGUAUAUAAUCUUAGUAUCAACACUUGGUCUUAUGUGGACAAGAGAGAACAUUUGAGGAAUUACAAAAUCUUCUUAGUGAAUUAAUGUUGUUUCAGCUCUGUUUGUCAUCCCUCACAUUUUCUUUGUUAAGCCUUGAUUUUUUAUUAGACAUAAGAAAAAAUGCUUUUAUAAGACAGGAGAUGAAUGCUUUUAUAUGUUGAUGUCGUAGUCAGUCUUCAACCACACUCUGUUUUUAGAAUUCAUUUAUGUUACUAGUUGAGUGCUGCUGUAUUUUAUAUUUCGUUCCUGUAAUGUUUGGAUGUUUAGCUUGAGCAGUCUAGCUUAUCCAGUAGAUAACUUGUUCCCUGUUUUGUAAUGUUUUUGUUUCCUCUAAUGAAAGCAGGUUUUACUUAUCUUGAACUGCAGAAGCCUACUUUUUGACAUAGGUGGCAUGGCACAAACUCGCAUCCGCAUUUCCUUCCCCAUUGGCAUGCUGUCUCAUCUUUUGUAUUCUGUUACCAGCUUGAAGCUUGUGUAGACAUGUUAUGCUCUUGUAAUUCUGAUCACAAACAUCACUUGACAAAUGGAAAGUCACAAUCAGAUCUUUCAGGUGAUCGGGAGGUUUACUUUCUAACAUUUGUUUUCAUUGGGGGGAGGACAACAAUACAGAAUUUAAAAUUUCUGAUAAUCAAUAGUAGUUUGCAUAUAUCAGCUGGGACCUGUAUGACUGUAUUAUGUAAUUAAUUAUUUCUCUUAUUGUUUUGGUACUGUUAAAAGGAGUUAGCCACAAAAUAAAAAAGGAGGCCUCUUAUUUCAUACAAUUUUUCAAAAGUGAUCAUUCAUCCGUUUCUUUUUCAACAAUAGAGGAAUGUAUACUAAUCGUCUGGUCCAUCUGCUGCUUCACUCCCUAGUAGCUUCAUCUCCUGUCCUUUGCUUUAUUUCUGUUGAUGAAUGUUUUGUCUGGGUUAUUUAUUUUCAUUUCAUGUCCAUUGCUUCAUUUCUGUUUGGAUUCUGUCCUGGACUUGAACAAGGGUUAGGUUAGCUGUAUAAUUUGCGGUUUUAUAUACACAACUGUCUACAUUGAUUAAAACCAGCAUUAUUCUAAGGUUCAUUUAGAAUGUAUUAUCACCAAAAUUAUAAAGUAUACUUCUAUUACAAUUAAUUUGUUGAUUCUAAUUUGGACUUGUAGGAACAGACCAAACAUGUUCAUACGUGGCAUUGCUCAAGUCAUCAUCAUUCGGGACAGAGAAUAAGCCUUCAAAUGUCUGCUGAGUCAAUGAACCUUUCUAGAUAUCUCAAGUGUAGUGGAAAUUGAUGAGUUACAAAGGAUUUUUAAACAUUUUCUACUGGAGGCUAGAAAUGCUUCAAAUAAAUGACUGUGUUGCAAUUAUUUUGUAGGAUCAAAGACUCUGCAAAGAGGUAAGAAAGUCAUCAUCAAGUAACUUUGCUCUUCAAACUUUUUAAUUUUAUUUUUAAAUAUCAGUAAUAACUGGGAAAGUUUGCAUUUCCUUAAAUUGCUCAUUCUUACAUCUUUUAUAGUUUGUUGAUCUUGGGCAAGUGGAGAGAGAGGCGUCAAGUGAUACACAACAACCAUUUUCUGUGAGCUGAUUUGAUAAAGAGAAAUGGUAUGCUUUCUUGUCUUAAGCGGUGUGUUCUGCAAUUAUUUGAAACAAAGGAUGCCGCACUUCAAGUUCGAGAAAAUCAGGUAUUUUAGUAUUUUAUUCUGGAGAAAUUUGAUUUAUGUAGAAACUUGAACAUGUAAAUGAGAGAAAAAAAAAUUUAUAUAUAUAUAUAUUAUAUUGUAUAUGCUCUUAAUGAGUUAAUAUGGUGCUUGCUCCUGGUUGGAAAUUUAUGUAGUCAUCUACCUAUGAUCAAAUAAAGAUGAAAAAUAAAAUAAAAUUGAGAGCAUCUUCCUCUCCCCUGCUUUGCUCAUCCCUUGUUCUUCCACUUCAGCCCCACUAUUACACCAUUUUUUCAGCCACAAUUAUAAUAGCUCCAUGAGCAUUAAGUCCUUUUCAAAUUCUGCUGACAUUCAAAAUUGGAAUUGCUGGUGAUAUAUGAUAGCAUCCUUGUCCGACCAAAAAGAAAAAAAAAAAAAGUUGAUAGCAUAUUGUACCAUUUUGGCCAGUGUACGCAAUAUUAUUGCAUCCAACUUUGCAUAUUAACAUCAGUGGCCACAGUUCCAUGAUUUGAGUGCACAGAAAGGUUUCAAAAGUUGUCCCACAAAGAACAGUCGUUCAAAGUGAAAGAGAGUUUUCAAAGCUUAGUUACAAGUUCAUGUUAUUUACAAUAUCAAAAAGCUUUCAUACUUGCUUACAAACCUGUAUUUCCAAGUUCUGCAAACCUUGGAAUAUCACUUCAUCCAAAUCCCCUUCCAAAGCAGGAAAAAUGGCAGCAGCUUUGAUUGGAGAGGCUCUCAUCUCUGCUUCUAUCGAGUUGUUGUGUGACAGAGUUACUUCAGCCGAGUUCAUAGACUUAUUUCAGCAGAAGAAACUUGAUGAAACACUCCUCAUGAACCUGAAGACGACACUGUUGAUUUUGUUUGCGGUGCUCAAUGAUUCAGAGGAGAAGCAAAUUGUGAACCCUGCUGUGAGAGAGUGGCUUAACAGCUCAAGCAUGCUGUCUUUGAUGCAGAGGACUUACUUGAUGAGAUUGACACUGAAGCUUUGCGAUGCAAGCUGGAAGGUGAGGAUGAAACCCACAAUAAUUAACCAAAAAGGAUCUUUUUGAUUGUUUGAAAGGAGGGUCUUGAUGAUUUGAAAGGAGAGGGUUGCUUUAUUUCUGUUGGAUGCUUAAUUAAAUCUUAUUUGGAGUUGAACAAGGAUUAGGUUAGCUGUAUAAUUAGUGGUAAACGCCUUUUUCUAAGGGUCAUUUAGACUCAUAUUACGAUUAAUUUGUUGUUUCUAAUUUGGACUUGUAGGAACAGACCAAAUAUGUUCACACGUGGCAUCGCUCAAGUCAUCAUCAUUUCAGACUGAAAAUCAGCCUUCAAGUGUCUGUUGAGUCAAUAAAACUUUCUAGAUAUAUCAAGUGCAAUGGAAAUUCAUGAGUUACAUAGAGAUUUGUAAACAUUUUGAAGAUUGCAACACCUGCAAGUGAGAUAGGCGGUGACGAAAUCAGAGAUGAAGCCUCUGAUGCCCCUGUUGUUGCAAGUUGCACCUGAGAACAUGUUUUUUUUUCUUCUUUGGGGUAAAAAACUGGCAACAUGUUCGGAGCUGACAAUUCAAUCCCUGAUGAACUAGAGAAGCAAAGCUCCGGUAAGGAAAUUGGUCAAGGUUGUGACAGGGAUGAUUGAUGGUGAAAUGGAUGCUAUUUCUUAUUGCAGCCUGUUCUUAAAGUUCUUGUUGGCAAAUGCAAGAGAUGGAGUAUUUUGAUUGGGAGGAGAGAUAAUGACAUGGCUUGACAAUUCUAGAACAGCCCAUCAUUAAUCCCAGAAAAAAUCCAGUUUCUGCUAAACAAUCACUUAUGGCAAGGCCAACUCUGUAAAUGGAAUUUGUGAUCCCUUCAAAUUGUACACAUUUUUUCUUUUUGAGGAAUUUAAUCAAACAGUAUUCUAAUGCAUUAUGAUGGCACUACACGCUUUUGUUGUAACAAAUUACAAGGAGGAAUUUGGAUUGAGUUUCUUGUAUAAGCACACCUUACACAAAUUUCGUAUAUUUUCUUCCAGCAAGUCUGUCUAUUAAACCCCUUAUUUGAAAUUAAUUGUUAUAAGUUUUGAUUCAUCUUUAAUCAGUGUCUUCCCCUUGUUGAAUAACACUCCUCUUUCUAAUUUAUAUUUGAAGUUUGAGGUUUCAAUUUCAAUUGUGGGUUUUGAUUUUACAGAUUUUGUUUGUCAAUUUCAGUUUGGACAAAGCAUAUGCAAUCAAAGUAAGCAUUUUAUGUUAUACUUUUGAACUAGGUGUUGAUUUGAUUUAAUCAUAAGUUUUGCUGGUGCAUUUACUAGGCUAAUCAUUCAAUACUUUUGAUCAUAGAACUUCUUUGGUUGAUAUUAUCUUUGUUAAGUUUAACCAUAACUUUAGAGAGGGGACUUAACAGAUUUAUAAUCUCAUCAUUAUAGUAUUAAAAAUUAGAGAUUAUUUAAGGCAUUGUCUAUUAUCUGAAUUCUGCUUACUUUUAGUUCAUAUGUUUACAUCUUAGCAUAUUCAUGUGAUUAGUGCGGCUCAUACCACAAAGGCAAUUUUAGGCUCAUCAAGUGCUAAGCAAUGUCAAGCUUCCAAGUGACAAGUUCUCUACAUAGUUUGAGACCUACACUUACUAGAUAUUAGAUCAUUUGGAUCAUUUCCAUAUGUGUAUAUGUAAUUGACAUGUUAUAACAUUUUUGUAGCGUUAUAUAAUUAUUUAGCAAUUUAAUUAUUUCUUUGCAACUUUAUUUUUUUUGUCAGUCAUACUAUUGUUGACUGCUAAAAACCAUCAAGAAAUAGUUCUUAAGUUAUAAAAAAAAAUUAUAAAAAAAAAGAUUUGUUGAUGCUUAAAAAGCAUCAAGAACAGAUAGUUUCUUGACGGUUUUGUGACGUUUCAUAACUGUAAGGGGCUUUUUCUUUCGACAGCUGUAAAUGGGCUGGGCUGCCGUAAAGGUCAAGACUGAUGAAAUUGUCCCUUUUUGUCUGAGCUCGAAAAUUAUGCCCCAAAAUACUUUGAAAGGGCAGCAGAGCCUUAGGAAGUAUUUUGGUUACCCUCACCAACUAAAACAACAACAACUUACAGGUAAUUUCUUAAUGCUUACAGAUGAACUCUUGUGCUUGGCAUGAGUGACAUGUGGCAUGGAAGCAAAAUCAACAUGAGUUUAGCACUGAGGCGAAAUUUAGGCUCUCUUGGGGGAAAAAGGGAAGUGUUAAGGUGAGAGAGGAGAAGUUUGUAGGAGAUUUAGCUAAGAAAGGAGAAAUAUAGAACAAUGCUCUUCUGGCAACUUGACAGAUGCUCUGUCUGCCAAAAAAGGAAGAUGGAGAAGAAAUGUGAAUAGUGCACGAAUUUGCUAGAUUUUUGCAGGUAAGAGAGGAAGCUUGCCCUAUGGGUCUGAGUUGAGUUUUGUUGGGUGGAAGAGACCUCAUUUUAUAGCCCCUGGAAACCAUCACUUCCCAAGAAACCCUAAUGGCUUCUACCUAUUUUGGCCAAGCUUUUCCCUUCCUUUCUCAUUUCCUUCCUUGAGUUUACCCCUUUUGAUGAAAUCCCAUCUGCCUAUUUGCACCAGAUCAAAGUUUUUUGAAGCUCAAGGCCCCCAUUUUCUUGCAGUUGUCUCAAUGGGAGACUUCCAUUCCCAGUCAUUCUCCUUUAUUGCUUUCCUUUCUUUUUUUCAUGGCCUAGUCUGGUGGGGAAAGGAGUUGGGAUAUAUAUGCUGGUUUGAAGGGUGCUUCUCUUCCUGACAUCUUACACACUAAUACCCCUUGGUUCCUUGAAUGUUUUGGCUUUGAAACUUGCUCCCCCCCUCCCCCCAUGUACUGGAACCUCCCAGCAGCUCUGUUCAAUGAAUUUUCAGACCUUUUCUUCAUGGCUUUUAUUUUUUUAUUAACUGGCUGGAGCUUUUGUGGCUCAUUGUGGCAAUUGUAUGGGCUAAGGUGGUUCAUUAAGUAAGUGAGCUAUUUUUAUUAAACAUUGGGCUUUUUGGUUGAGUCACUAGGCUAUUUUGAUUGGGCUAUUGGGCUAUUUUUUCCUUUCUUGUACUCACCCACAUGUUUGGACCAAAGAAAUGAGCUUGAGUCCUGAGGCUCCCAAGCGACCCGAGACUUUCCAUUUCUCGGCCCAUCAAUGGGCCUCAUGUUGAUUUAUUACCAUCCAUACCACAACCCACUCAAGCAAGCCCCGGGCAUUUGAGUGGCUUGGGCCCACUUAGGCUUGUAGUGUGGUUGGGUGCGAAAUGACGAUUUCGUGCUUGGCAUGUUUUAAUUUUAUCAUCCUUGGGAAAGGCUGCGAUGUUUGAUUUCGGCAUGGGCUUGUAGAGCUGGUAUGCUUUAUUUCAACUCUAGCAUGACGAAUUAUUUAUUUAGCAUGGCACGUGAAUUACAACUCGCAUGGGGUGGGUUUUUGUGUACUACACCUUACGCCUCUUCUUAAUAGAACAUCGUUUUGGGCUGAUAAUUUAUUCGGGCCCAACUGUGAAUUUUUUGGGUCUCAAUAAUAACCAUCAUAAAAUAUUACAUUUUGACUGACGUCAAGAAAUGGGGUAUCCCUUUCCUGAUAGUGGCAUCCAUGAUGCCUUCCAAGCCGUCAAUUAAGGGCUAUCGUGAUGCAUUUUAGUUGUCAGCAAAAGGUGUUUUUCUUGUAUUGUAUUCACUCAAAAUCAUGUUUCAUUUAAGACUAGUAGUAUGGUUGAAUACCAUUUGUUUUGUUAAAGAAUAUUAUACAUUAGGGAUUUUUGUAGAAAUGUCAUUUGAACUUAUACCUUAGUUUCAAUUUGUUACCUUGAAGAAAAAUUUAAGAGAAAUGUCACCUUAAUUUUUAAAAAUCCAUGAUUUGUUAUAUGACUUUAAGAUCAUCCAAUUUUCCAUCCAUUUUAAGGGGAUUUUAGUCUUUUCAUUUUCAAGGAAAAAAAAGAGAUGAAAAAAGAGACAUCUCUCUUACUUUGUUGCCCAACCCAACCCAACCCCACCCGCCCCCCAAAACCACAUAGGAUUGCCUCCCCUUUCCCCACUUUUCUUUUUUCUUUUUGUCCUACUUUUCCACUGUGUUUAUGUUGAAGGAUCUAAAGUUUGCUUGGUCACCAUCUGUUACGUAGGCUUCCCAAUUGUUGGUUUGGGUGGGUUGUGGGAAUUUGUGUGUGGAGGGCAAGACCCUAUCUGACAGGACCUGCCUCGAAUUCCUCGAAACCCGAGACGAAUCUUGUGGAAUUCCCGACAUUACACCGAUGUCGGGCCCACUUAUGAACUAAAUCCUCCUUUCCAAAAUUAAGGAAAAAGAGUACGAGGCUUUCUGCCGAAAUUGCGGCAGUGUCUUCCUUAUAAAUUUAACAUUUCAGCUUUGGUGGCCAUUCUCUCAUUUUAGCUUUGGUGGCCGGAUGAGAGAACGGCCGGCUAAAACGUGGCCAACUGGCAUUGCCGUCGCGAGAGAGGAGAGAGAGAGAGAGAUUUUUAUCAAACCAUUUUUGCCAAAAUUACGAUUAUGCAACUGAGGGUAUUUUGAUCGUAUCUUUUUUGUUAUAACUCCGAUUCAAGCUCACUACAUGCCUAUGGAUUCAUCUCGCCGUGCUUUAUGCAAUUGUAUAGUUGAAAUUCCCAAAUUCCAUCCCAGUCAAAAGUCAACUUUAAACCCUAUAAAAUAUUCUAGGGGAAGAAUGGUCUUUUAUCUAAUUAAAUUAAUAAUUGAAAAUUUAUUUAGGAUCGGGUCGUUACACUGUCGUUGAUGGACUGUGCGAUGACACUCACACAAAGUCCUUGAGAAUAAAACACACACACACCGUGAAGAGAGUAAAACAAAUACACAAGUACACAAAGAUUUAUAAAGGUUUGGCCUCCUGCCUACGUCCUUUUGGUGAUCCACCCGAGAAAUUCACUAGUAUGUAAGAACAACUUUGGUUACAACUAAACCCCCUUAGCUUUCAUAAGAACCCUAGAUCUCUUUUCUCCCACCCUUGCUCCAACCCUUUGAUGCCCUUGUAAACACUCAAGAAUUCACCCUUGAAUUCUGUCAUGUGUUACAUCUUCUCUUCUCCCCUUUGUUAACCUAACCCUAAAAGUUAUAUUUAUAAUUCAUAGGACUUUAAGUACAAGUUAACUAGGAAUAGGAAACAUAAAAGACCCCCAAAAUUGGAGAAAAUAUGUCUAGAUCUCGUUAGGAAAUUGCACAACACGUGCGAUCCGCUCGAGCGCCUGCAAAAUCAUCCCUUUGCCGCUCGAUCUGCCGAUAGCUCAUGGGAUGGGGGAAUUAGAGAUUUUUUUUUUUUCAAUUUUAAUUGUUUAAAAGAUAUACAAUUUUUUAAUAAUAAUUUUUCCAUUUUUAAAAUACCCUUGAAAAUAGAAAGAUUAAAAUGCCCUUAAAAAUGGAUGGAAAAUUGGAUGGUGUUAAGAUCAGAUGACAAAUCAUGGAUUUUGAAAAAUUAAGGUAACAUUUCUCUUAAAUUUUUCUUUAAAGUGACAAAUUGAAAUUGAGGUAUAAGUUCAAGUUACAUUUCUGCAAAAAUCCUUAUACAUUAUGAUAUUCUAACAAUAAAAUUGGCUAAAAUUGAUAUGUUCCCUCUUUUAUUUUCUUUUUCUCUUUUCCUUUUCAUUUUAUGAUCCAAUCCUUUUCAUAUAUUUUUGUUCAAGACUUUGUUUUAGAAUGCUCUAUUACUAAUUUGGUACAGGUCCCUAAAAUCUCAGAGCCGCCUUAGUACAUUCAUAACGUACAUGUUCAGAGUUCAAGAAUAAUGUAUAGAAUGUGAAAUUGACGAUGCCGGCCUUUAUGAGGCAACGUCUUUAUUUCUUUGGUUAUUCCAGUUUAGAAUAUUUGCACAAAUGAGAUGACUCCAAGCAUAAAGUCACAUUCGACCAAAAAGCAUGAAGUCACACACAAAAAGAACACGGACAAUUGCUAAGUUUAUCCUUGUACCCUUAUUAUCCGACCCAAUUGAAAAAUAAAAAAAGAUGAUAAAAAAUAUUGUUCACUGCUUUAAAAUCUAUGAGUAGAGUCCUCCAUUUGAAAUUUCGUCAUUAUACAAAAUUGGAAUGAAAAAAGAAAAUCCUACAGCUAAAUUUGAUAUAUUUCCUUUUCAUUUUAUGCUGGGUGUUAGGGCUCGUCAAUGGGCCGGGCCAGGCUAGCCCGGCCCAAAUUUAAUGGGCUUGGGCCAGGCUGGGCCAGGCUUUAAAGAGGAGAGAGAAAAUAUCAGGCCGAGUUUUUUAAGAAAAUUCAAAGCCCAAGCCCGACCCAUGAGCCCGGCUUGAGAAAGCCCAUCGGGCCGGCCCGGGCCUAAACAGGCCCUACUUCGUUAAAAAAAAAUCAUAAACUUAAUCAUAAGGUCAUUUUAGUCCAAAUUUGAGAUUAAACUCACUUAAUUCCAAUAUUUUCACUUCAAACCAAAUUCAUAAAACACCCAAUAAAGUCACACAGCUUGUAAGAUUUUCCACAAAAAUAAUAAAACCAAGUACUAUUUUUGAGGUUAUUACAUAAUUAGAUCGUAAUAUGUUUUAAGAAAUAAUUUUAAAAAAUAAUAUUAAUAAGUAUCAAAAAAAUAAUUUUUUAAAGGAUGGUAUGAAUAAAUAUGCAAAUAUUUGGUGAUGUGUUCAAGAAAAGGAUGAUUAUAUUUGGUGGUACGAUUAUGUUUCGUGAUAUGAUUAUAAUUAGUGAUGUGAUAUGUUGUUCAUCUUAUAUAUAUAUAUAAUUGUUGAAUUAAUAAUUGACACAAAUUAAUGUGUUAAUCAUCCAAUUAUAAACUAGGAAUGAAUAAAGAAAAGUAAAUGAAAUGAAACAAAUUAUAUAUGUGAUUUAAGUGAUAUAAUCCUAAACCUAAACUCUUAUUUAUACAUAAUUAUAUAUGUAUGCGGGCCUAACGAGCCGGACUUUUGUGGGCGGGUAGGGCCGGGCUUUAUUGGGCUUAAUCGGGCUUUAUUGGACUUAAUCGGGCUGGGCCUAUAGGUCGGACCGAGCUUCAGACAUCCAAGCCCACGCCUAGCCUCGCCCGCCUUGGGCCGGGCCAUUCUUUUUUUGGGGUUCUAUUUCUCUUUGAAUUAACUGCUGAGUUUCAUGAACAUGUCCUCCUUUUGAAAUUGUGUAUUAUUCAAAAUUGGAAUUUGCUGGACAUACUUGAUAUUUUCGUGAGUAAAUUCUGAUUUGGUGGUUGUGCUCGUCACAAAUCAAUGAAAUGACAGCAGUGAUUUUGCAAGACAGCGUACCUUCUCUUGGGGUGCUUUUCAUUUUGCAACAUUUCUUUACGUGUAAUUUCCAGAGGAGGGUUUAUCAUUGUAUACAGCUCUUCGGGUGGUUUUUCUACAAAACAAAUGUCACAAAGAAGGAGGAGAAGCGGAAAAGAUUUACUUGGAAUGUCUCAAGUCUCCUUUGAGAUAAAGGCAUCGAAUGCACAACAUUGUUUUUGUGCUAUUUCAUAAUUAAAGUGUGCUUCCCAAGUCUCCUUUGUGUUUUGUAACUUGUAAUGUUUGUUUUUUUGUUUCCCAUGUUUUGUCUCUUAUAAAAGAAAGGCUUUUUAUCACAAAUGGUCCUUCAGGUUUACAAAAUUAUCACAAAUCGUCCUUCAAGUUUUUUUGUGACACUAAUAGUCCUUCAGGUUAUCAUUUACCCAUCAAAAUGGUCCUUCUGUCAGUUUCUGUCAAAACUGACGUUAAAUUCCUGUGCUCAGCCUGCUUUUGAAAUGAUAAUCUCAUCUUUUCCACUCAACCUUCAACCAAACUCAACUGUCAGAACCCUUUCCCUCCAUUUCCUCAUGGUCCUUCCAGUUUGGCGCCCCUGUAAUAUAUAACCAAUCUUAAAAAUUAAACUUCUGAAGAAAUUGAAACAAUCCAAGCUCAAGAGAAAGACCAACAAUUGAGAACUGCAGAGAAAGAUCAAACUCAUGGAUCAAUAUGGUAAAGCCAAAUUGAAAAACAUAAUUUGCUAAAGAUAAAGCCAAACUGAAAAACCAAACUGAAAAACAUAAAGAUAUCAUUGACAAAUAUAAAAAGUUAAAAAAUAUUGCACAAUCAAAAUACAACCACAUGUUUCACAAAACAAAACAAAACAACCACAUUUGCAGACAAGCUGUAGUUUACACUUUAACAAAGAUUAAAAAACUAACCUGUAUACUUUGGUUGUUUCCCCCCCUUUCGAAAGAACUCCUCGGACUCAUCCAUCUAGUCACUUUUGUAAGAAGAAUAAUGCGUAUUUGACUCUUACGAACCCAGAUAUUCCUUUUGCAGACCAGCUUUAUCAAUUAAAAACCCAAAAAACCUUAAUUGUGCAGGGCCCGAGGAUGAAAUGGAGGGAAAAGGUUAUAUAUGCGGUUUAGAGCGCCAAAAUGGAAGGCCCGAUGAAGAAAUGGAGGGAAAGGGUUAUUUCAGUUGGGUUUGGUCGAAGGUUGAGUGGAAUGAUGCGAUUAUCAUUUCAAAAGGCAGGCUGAGCACGCGACUUUAACGUCAGUUUUGACAGAAACUAACAGAAGGACUAUUUUGAUGGAUAGAUGUUAAACUAAAGGACUAUUAGUGACACAAAAAAACCUAAAGGAUGAUUUGUGAUAAUUUUGUAAACCUGAAGGACCAUUUGUGAUAAAAAGCCUAAAAGAAAUACAGGUCCAAACCACACGGAUCUACUUGCAUAAUAAUGGACCAAAUUUAUGAUUUUUAGAAAGAACCUUCUACUGGUGGAAUCUUGGGCUACUGUUGUGGCUCUCCUCUGUGUGCCUCCUUUUUAGAACGAUAAAAUAUUCAAAAUACCAGAAAAUGUUCAUGAUUAAUGCAAAUAUUAAGAAUUGAAAUUAUUAAUUAAAUGAAGAUAAUAUGGUAAAUUCACACUUUUUCAUAUUAAAAAAAUUAAAAUUAAAAGAAAUAUCAGAUAAUUACUCUUAUUUUUAUGGAACACAGCUACCCAUUAUCUUUUUUAAUUAUAAAAUAAAUUUAAAUUAAAAAAAAAAUCUCUCUCACAGACACGGAAGCGCGUGCUCAGAGGCUAGUUAAAAAUAAUGAACUUUGCUUUUGAAGACGUCUAUACCAGACCCACUCAACCUGCUUUAUGAUUAUGCAAAGAACAAACUCGUCCUUAGACUCAUUUGGUUAAACUUAGAAAAUAAUGAAACAAAAAUAUACACACCCACAAGUAACACAGCCAGGAUUGAAAACAACUGGAAAAAGAAAGGCAUGUCAAAACAAAAUUUUCAACAACUCAUCACCAUUAGACAAGAAAAAGAAAAAUCAAUACAGAAACAGAAAGAACAGAGAAUAAAUGUGGUGGAAGAAAAACGUUGAAGCCAUUUGUGAAUCCAACAACACUACCACUCUGUUUCUCUCCUUUUGUUCAGGCGGAUCUGCAUAUAUCCUAAGGCGUAUUACGGAAACAACUUCUUGCGGUUAUACUUGAAUGUUGUGGAUGCUUCAACGUUGCCAUCUGGGUGGAGUGGAUUUGUCCAAUUCACCUUCACUAUGGUUAAUCAACUAGACAGACAUAAGUCAGAAACAAUAGGUAUAUACGUCCAAAUUGUUGUUAUUUGAAAGGUUCUAAAUUUUAACAUUUUGUUGUAAAUGUGGAGAGAAAAAGUAGAGAAUUGGAAUAGAGAGGAGAGACUGAUUUUCUCAUUCAUAUGUUCAGAUGAAUGUCUUCAGUGUAUAUUUUACAAGUAGGGGGAGGUAUCUAUUUAUAGGCUAAGGUUUUGGUAAAAUACAGGGAAGGAAAGUUCCUGGAAGAUGCAAGGAAACUUCCUCUGUGGGCUCCACCUUCAAACUUUUACAACACUCCCCCUUGGAGACCACAAAUGAUAUGGAAUAUGCCUCGUUAAAAACCUUGCCAGUAAAAACCCAGUGGGACAAAAACUGGUCAAAGGGAAAAAGAGUACAUAAUGAUGUGUAACAUAAAAUUCUGUGUAUAUUGACGCGCGUGCGACACUGCCUCGUUAAAACCUUGCCAGGAAAAACCCAGUGGGAUGAAAACCUGGACGAAGGAAAAAGAGUACAGUGUUUGAAGAUCUUUAUUGAUAGCAUGCUCCCCCUGAUGCUUGGUAAAAUAUCUUUAAGUCAUACUGUUGAUCACCUUUCUGAAUAUCGUAGUUGACACUGCUGCUGUGAGUCAAUCUUGAGCGACACUGCCUCGUUAAAACCUUACCAGGAAAAACCCAGUGGGAUAAAAACCUGGAUGAAGGAAAAAGAGUACAGUGUAUGGAGGUCUUUAUGAAAAACCACGCUCCCCCUGAAAAAUAUCUCCCCCUAAAAAAUUUCAUGACUAGCUUUUCCAGUAUGCGACCAUAGAAAUUUUCAUAGUAUACUCUAAACCCUUGAGCGACACUGCCUCGUUAAAACCUUACCAGGUAAAACCCAAUGGGAUAAAAACCUGGAUGAAGGAAAAAGAGUACAGUGUGGAGCUGACCUCUAUCUGGUCUAGUAUACUUCCGGAAAAACAUUUAAGGUGUCCAACGGAUAAUCCUCAUAAAAAUGCUUCAAUACUUUCUUAGUAUAAGCAAGAAUCUCGUUGGCAUAAUGCUCGAUCUUUAAGUCGAGACAAAUAUUUCGUGACUUCUGCAGAAGCUUUAAUGUGUUGCAAACACAUUAUAAACAAUGUACUCACUGAGGUAAUUUAUGCAUAUUAAUAUUGAGUACAAAUUUUGUGCUUCAAGCACAUGUCCUUUAGGGACUUGCUUUAUGCAAUGUCAAUCCUCUCAACGGAUUUUGUUUAAAAGGGGAUUAAACUUUAUGACACAUUAUAUAGCUUUAACCCAGCUAUUUAUACAUCUUUAGGGAAUCACUUCAAGUGAUAUGCUCUGUGCAUUUAAUAACCCUUAAAGAUAACAUGUUGGUCUCCGUAAUUGUGCAGUAAGGGGGGAGGCACAAUUGAAUCUGUAAAUAUGGAAAAGACCCAACAUUCAUUGUUUCUGCCAGAAACAUUGUGUCAUACAAAGUAGGUAUAUUCCCUUUUAUUCCGAACACCCAAGUAUAAGUUUCAAUAUUAACAUCUUUUGGGGUUCGUACUGUGGGUUUGUUCUUUCACGUUCAUUCUCAUCUAUAAUGGAAUUACCUCUUUCCAUUUUGGCCAAUGAUAUUGUCGACAUCUAAUAAUUGAACGUGGUUCCAAUCAACACAGCCCAUUGAUGAUUUGAGUAGCUACUCCAAAACCAAAAAUUGUCAUUCAUCAAUUCAUUAUCCCACCAUUCUCAUGUGCAUGCGCAUGCAUCAAUUAUAAGCAUUUCUUUGCUUUUGGGUACCCAAGCCACUUCAGGGGGCUUUUAUUAUGUGAGAAUGUGGAUUAUAACCUCCAAUGGAGCGUUAUUUUGCAGUAGGGCGUGGAUAAUCUCCAUUUAGGGAGUUGGAACAUUUAGAACCCAUAUAUCUGUCAUGCUGCAGGCAUGCCACAGAUUAAUACAUACAUGUCAAUUAGUUUAUGGGACUUUAACCCAUAUGAUGGGACUUUAACCCAUGUAAUUUGCUACGCAUUCGGCGUGCAUAAUCUCAAUAUUGACAUGUCAAAGGAUUGUCCAUUCGGGACUUCAAUCCACAUCAUUUGCUACGCAAUAGGCGUGCAUCAUAUUGAUCACUGCUAUACCCAUAUUCUGUUCUUAUGGGACUUUAAUCUGUGCAAUGUAUUAUCAAUGUAUCCAACUUGCAAUCUGUAAAAUUUGCAUUAAUAAUACAUGGAUACAUACAAGCCAUUCUUUUGGGACGGACUUAUCUCCCCAUUUGGUUACCUUUCAAUAUAAAAUAUCAAAUAGGUAUAUAAGCAUAAAAUAACACAAGUAUUGCUUACAUCCUUAGGUGGGAGAAACUUUUCUCAAGUAUCGCUUGAUGAUCUUGUUAUAUCCUGCAAGAGCAAAAAUCACAAUUCCUUUCUCUGUCAAAAACAAAUAAGAGGAAUAGGUAGAACCGGUGAAUUUCAAAUUAACCAUAGGAAAAUUGCGAGAUUCUCGGGAUGCUUUUGAAAAAGUAGCUCCGUGAAAUCCGUAAAGCAAGAUUGGCUUUGAAAAUAAUACUUGAAAACGCCGAAAGUGCCGACAGGCAUUAUUAGAGGCCACGUGAAGUUUUGGACUUCUAGGAAAGAAAAAGAUAAUAUGGGGAUUCGAGAAGAUAUUGGGGUCUUGAAAAACAGUAGCCAUAUUUCCUCCUAUAGAUAUGGCCUUUGCAACAAUUGCGCACCUUCUUAAACUUGCACCUGUGGUUUUUACGCCUUUUCAAAAUGACGGUUUGGAACCUUGUGCCUUAUAGGUUCAAAUAACCACAUUGUUUCUCCCAAAUUUCAUAUUUUAUCGCAUGGUAGCCCGAAACUUUUGGCCUGGGCACAAAUUCAGAAUUUAUUUGCCCUUUUCAAAUGGACAUGAAAUAUGAAUUGAGUAAAAGCCAUGAUAAUAUCGCAAUAUAGUAGUGAAGAGCAUUAACUACUAUAUACCCACAACUUCAAGUUCAGGAUCUCUCAUAUAUUUGGAUCCAUGGGUUUCCGGCCCAGAUAUAACAAAAUAUGUGGGGAGCCUCAAUUCAUCAUUUGAGGUUCAUACUGAUAUUAUCCAUUUCACGGUGUAUUCUUGACAACCGGAAUUCACAAAAUAUAUUUCUUCCUUGAAGUGUCGAUUAUAACAAAAUCGAACUUUAAAUUCAUCAUCUUCUUAUGCCAAAGAAAUAUGUGGCAUACCACAAUUUGCAAUAAUACCUCAAGGGUUGUCCAUUUAAUUGUUGGAACUUCAGGUUCUCAACACUGUUAGAUUUUGAACUUCUGGCCAAAAUCACAUAUUCUCAUGGUAUGGACAUUCAAUCCCCUUAGAUUUUGAACUUCGGGCCAAAAUCACAUAUUCUCAUGGUAUGGACAUUUUUACAAUUUUCUGUACAUAUUUCUGGACUUCAAGCCCUUACAUAAUUGUCCAUAUUUUGAGGAACUUCUGGCAUCUCAUUUAAUUGCUCAUCCAUGAGUUUAAGGAACUGCAGGUUCCCUUUUGAAUGGUGAUGGUUUACCCAAAAUGGUAAAUACUUAUGCAUACAUCACUAUUCAUGUAUACGGCACUAUUUAUGUAUACAGUACAUUUGCCAGUACAGUUAUCAUCCAUGUGUACGGCAUUAUGAACAAAUACGGUACUGUUACAUCAUUAAGGAACCCCAUGUCCUUAUUUACAUGUCAGGGAUCAAGGACCCUCAAGUCCGAUCACAUGUUUACAAAUAUAGUACCGGAGAGACUGCCAGCUCUCAUAUUAACAUCAUCAUCAAGGAUCUUCAAGUCCUGAUGUAAUUGUAUGAUGAGGAUCAAAGAACUUCUGGUCCUGAUCUGUAUACUGUAAAAACUCAUCAUACAGCACAUUUAAUCCAUAGAAUAAAUUGCUGGUAAAUAAAUUACUGGUAUGGACGAUAAACUCGCACCAUACUUUAAAUAAAUAUUGCCUUACAUACACUUACAGCAUCAAUAAUUGAUAUCCAUCCAUGAUCCACCUGUAUAAAUGUAUAUAUAUAUAUGUAUAUAUAUAUAUAUUAUUUUUAUUUGGACUUAAACAGAAACAGGCAUUUUCUAUAGCUGUAAGUAUAAUUGUACCUGCCUACGCUGAAGAUUCCUUUCAUUGUUGCAGGAUGGUGGGCAUUCAGUUUAAAUAAAGCAAACACACACAUUUCAAAUUUUAAUUGAAUUUCAAAUUAGCAGUUUACUUACAUGCCCAUCCAUGACGUAAAAAGCAGAGACAAGUGAUUGUCUUUCGACAAUGACAUGAUAUCACAGUAGUGGGGAUAACGCUAUGAUAUUGGCCGAUCGGCUUCGCUGUAUCCCUGCACACCUUUAAUAAUUAUAUAAUAUUAAAAUAAUAUAAUUAUGUACCUGCACUAUAGACCUGCAUCUUAAGCUUCUUCCCUUUAUGGGGUCUGCCGCUUUGCCUUUUGUUUCCUUUGCUUUGCUUUCCACUGAAGCAAGUUGGCCAGCACCAAUAAUGCCGCCCACAAUGCAAAAAUCAAGUUGGCCAGCACCAAUAAUGCCGCCCACAAUGCAAAAAUCAAGUUGGCUACUUUUGCCUGUUGCUUUCUCAAUUUCCUCCACCCUUUCAUUGUCUUUUCUUCUUUCACUACUUCUCAUCUUCUGCCUCUCUCUUGCCUUUUUUUUUUCUUUUUUUUUUUUUGUAUUCGAUUUUCUGGCAAGCCUCCAAAGACAGCAACGACCAAGUUGCCUUGUCAUGGCUGGCGGCCAUUGCAAAAGCCUUUUCCAUGAAGAAAUGGACUUGGACACGAGGCUGGUUGAUUAUGUAGUUGGAGAUGAAGAAAGCAGCUGACAGUCUAGGGAGGGAGCGAACCAGAGAGUUUGUUACUCCACUGGUGUGGUUGGGAGGUAGGGAUCGUCUGUGGUUGGUACAGAGUUUUCUUCCUCAGCUCAAGCAAGGCAAUAGAGGUAGGUUUGUUUGCUCAGCUCAGCUCAACCUGUGCUCUCUGUGUUUGUUUGCUGGGUUAUCUGGGAGAGUAAUUUUCUUCGGGUUCGGUUCUGGUAUGCUUUUGCAUAUAGAAAACAGAGAACCCAGAAAGGAAAUCCAAGAGAGAGACUUUGGUUGAGAAAAUGGCAAUUUUUGAGAAAAAUGGAGAUGCUGAGGUUGGUUGGACAACACCGAAUGGAAGUUGUUGGGCUCGGAGCAGAGAAUUGGUUCUCUAGAUCGGAGGUUUUGUGUGAAAUUUUACUGGCAAGCAAUCCGUGUGGCUCUGUACAAAACUGGGUUGGUUUUGGGUGGGCAAUCUGGGCUUGGUUUCGAACUGGGUGUCUUGAUCAAUUUCUGGGAUCAAGAAAUCAGAGAUUUCAGCCGGUUAAAGACUCGUGCUGAUAUCGUGUUGUAAAUGUGGAGAGAAAAAGUAGAGAAUUGGAAUAGAGAGGAGAGACUGAUUUUCUCAUUCAUAUGUUCUGAUGAAUGUCUUCAGUGUAUAUUUUACAAGUAGGGGGAGGUAUCUAUUUAUAGGCUAAGGUUUUGGUAAAAUACAGGGAAGGAAAGUUCCUGGAAGAUGCAAGGAAACUUCCUCUGUGGGCUCCACCUUCAAACUUUUACAACACAUUUUGAUUUUUAAAUUUUGUUUUAAUAUUUCGGCCCACUUAGUUCUUCUCAAAAUAUGUCAUCAAUAUCGUUGAAAGGUUGAACUUAGUGAAUUAUUAUAGUGCAGUACGGUAGAAUAAGCACAUGAUAUAAUUUGUCCACAUGUUAUAAUAUAAGUGAAUAUUUAUUGAUAUUAUUUCCAAAAAUAAGAAAUAUCAACAAUUAUAUCCUCCUAUAUUAUAAUACAUAUACAAAUUAUACCACAUUAUCAUACUCUAAUACCAUUUUAUAAUUUCUCGUACUUAGGAGGUAUAGAGCGAGUCAAUGACAUUACAUAAUAUAUAAUUGUUCAUAUAAUGGGGCAACUAACGUGAUCAACAAGUUGUGGUGAUUAAUUUAACAUAAUAAAAAAUAUACCAUUUACUUGAGUGAUGUAACAAUUUGUUCUUUUAAAUUGGAUUGCCAUCACUUUAAUAUGUUAUGUUUCUUAUUAUAGUCUCCCAUGUUAAGUGCUUCAGCAUUGUUUGUGGUGUGUACACAAAUUUUCUUAUAAAAUGUUUUAAUGCUUCUCACAUGUAUAUCAGAUAUAGACAGUUGAUGUGACUUAGAAAUCAAAUUGUCAAUAAAACAAAAAAAUAUAAUUGGUGAUCGAGGUCCAAUUUAAUAGAAAAUAGUCUUAACUUGCAUAUUAAAGGUCUUAUAUUCGAAUCCUCACUGCAUUAUUGUUGUAUGCGUACACAAGAAAUUCUCUUCCCCAAUAAUUUAGACUAUCACUUAUACUAAAAAUAUAUAUAUAUAAUGACUUUUACGAAUGCAAACAUAAAAUUACAUCAAACAAUAAUCACUACUACAAAAAAGCAAAAAGACGACGGUAAAUCACCGUCGUGUAUUGGGGUUUUCAAUGGUCGUGGAAUCCACCGUCAUCUUUUCCCUCAUAAACCACGACGCUAAAUAACCGUCGUUGUUAAAAUAUACAACGUCAUCAACAAAUACAAAACGACGUCUUUGUACUGCAAAAAGAUCUAAAAAAAGCAAUCGAGGAUGAUAAUAGACGACCAACUCUCUAAAAAAACCGUCGUUAAAAAGAAAAAAUAUGACACAUAUUAAGAGAACAAGGCCGCAAGAUAGACAUACAACGACGAAAAUAAAAAUACGACGACGUUAAAUAUAAUUUUCACGACAAUAAAAAAUAUGACGUCUUUAAAUACAUUAGAAGACGACGUUAUUGAUACAUACUACGUCGCAUAUAUAAAAACAACCGUCGUAAAAUUAAUUUUCCACUUCGAUUUUUCGAUAAAAGAUGACGUGGAAAUAGUUGUCAGUGUCAUUAUUUACGACGUAUGUGUUUAUAGAUUAGACGUUGAAAAACUAAACAACGUCGGUUACAAAUAUAUGAGAGUCGUAUUACAAAAUUUAUACGUCCUAUUUUCAGAAACAAACAACGACGAUAAAUAUUAGACGUUGUUAAACAAAACAACGUCGGAAAAAUAAAAACAGACGUGUUUAGUCUGCUAAAGUUCUAGAAAAUAGUCGAGGAUGAGAAUAGACAACCAACUCAAAAAAAUCACCGUCGUUAAAAAGGAAAAAUCUGACACAUAUUAAAAGAACAAGGCCGCAAGAUAUACAUACAACGACGACAACUAAAAUACUACGCCGUUAAAUAUAAUUUACACGACAAGAAAAAAUAUGACGUCUUUAAAUACAUGAGAAGACGACGUUAUUGAAAUCUACUACGUCUCUUAUUUACAAAAAACCGUCGUGAAAUAAAUUUUCCACUUCGAUUUUUCUAAAAAAGAUGACGUGGAAAUAGUUGUCAGUGUCAUUAUUUACGACGUACACAUUUAUAUAGUCGACGUUGUAUUUAUAUGUAUUCAUUACUCACGACGCACUUAAUAAUAUAGACGACGUUGAACUUCUAAACAACGUCGGUUCCAAAUAAAUGAGAGCCGUAUUACAGAACAUAUAGACGGCGUAGAUUAUGAUGAGAGCCGUAUUACAAAUAACGUCGUUUAAUUGUUAUUAGACGGCGGUUAUAAUGAAUUUCCGUCGGAAUUCAUUUCGUUCCUCUUCGUUUAUAAAAGAACUUGCGACGUGGAAAAUGUAUGAUGACGUCGUAUUUUUUAACGUUCAGAUUAUAUAUCUCGUUUUUAGACGUCGGUAUUAUGGGAUUGGAGUCGUGUUAUUUUGAAUUACAUGGCGGUUCUUAAUCCUUCACCGACGUGAUAUCCUGAAUAAUUGCUUCACAAUAGCGUCGUGGUUCUUCAUUGUUACGUUGCUUUAAGACGUCGGUAAAUAUGCUGAAUAACUGAUUCACAAUAACGUCGUGUUUUAUUUGAACGUAGAAAGUGAAGAAAUCACAUUACAAUAUAUUACAAAAUUAAUGUCAUACACUGCCAAUUACAUAAGCAUCAUUCAAUCCAUAUAUCUUCACACCCAUCUCGAAUAUUUUGACCGCCUAACUCACCCACCAGUUCAUCAAAUGUGUCAACAUUUGGCAUCCCUCUAGUAAAUGGCUCACACUCAAUUAUCACAUCACCUAAGACUUCAUCACCAAUAACAUCAUUAUAUUCUCUAUUAGGCAUUGAUAACACUACCGACCAACCACGAUGCAUCGGGUCGUCAACAAAAAAUAUUUGUUUGACUUGAGAAGCCAAAACAAAUUGGUCAUUCCUAUGUCCAAUUUUACUCAAAUCUACAAGGGUAAAUCCAAGUUCGUCGACUACAAGACCAGAACUAUCUAUCCAAUCACACCUAAAGACUGGGAUUGUAAACUUUUGGUAGUCAAGGUCCCAAAUUUCUUGAAUGACACCAUAGAAACCCAUAUUUGAGAGAAUUGGGUUUUUAUCCUUGGCACUAGCAACUUGCAUGGUAUGUGCAAGUAAAUAAACUCCACUAUUUUGAGUUGUCCGCACAUCAUCUUGUGCCUUGAUAUUGAAUUUAAUACCUUUAAUAAGAUAGCUCCUAUAUAAUGGCACUGACAUGUUUGGACCAGCUGCUAGCCACCUUAAAUUUUCUGAUACGCCAUGAUUGUCUUCCUCAAGUUCACUUUGAACCUGCAAAUUAAUCAUAUCUUAAUUCAAUCUAACAUAUAAAUAAGAAGAAAAUUAAAAGAGAAAUAUGUUAUUCAACAACAUAUACCUUGAAGCGUAGCCAUUGAAUGAAAGUGCUAUUGUGCUUAUCCUGCAGCCACUUUGUUCUCUUUCUAAAUUUUGGAUAAGCAGUCUUGAUGUGGAUCAUAUGUUGCCCACAUGACACGAAAAAUUCAAGCAUUACGAUCCUAAAUAUAGAAGAUAAACAUAAGAAAUAAUUUAAAAUGGAAACUUAAAGAAUAAAGCUCAUACGUACUCGAUAUAAGGUAGGACUUCCUCCGUAUUCUCCAAGACAUAUAGAUGUGCUUGAUUCAACAGGUCCUGAUCAACUACGCUCACUGUGCAACCUGAUAAUGGCUUUGAAAGCCCCAUCUUUUGGCUUGAAGGCACUCCAACUGUACUAACAUCAGAUAAAUGCUGAGUACAACACUCUACCGCUUCUUCAGCUAUAUACCGCUCAGCAAUGCAACCUUCGGGACGAGUACGAUUCUGAACAUACCCCUUCAGCACUUUCAUAUAUCUUUCAAACGGAUACAUCCACCGAAAAUAUACUGGCCCACAUAGACGAACUUCUCUGACAAGAUGUACUACUAGAUGAACCAUGAUAUCAAAGAAUGAAGGGGGAAAGUACUUCUCAAGCAAACACAGAGUAACUACUACAUCUUCUUCCAACUUAUCUAGCUUGGAAACAUCAACAGUCUUUGCACAUAUAGCAUUGAAGAAGAAGCACAAACGAGUUAUUGCAUACCUUGCAGGCUUCUCCAAAACAGAACGAAUUGCCACAGGGAGCAAUUGUUGCAUUAAGGUAUGACAAUCAUGUGAUUUAAGGCCAAGAAGUCUUGAAUCUUGUAAAGAUACAAGAUUUUUAAUAUUUGAAGAAUAACCUUCAGGGACCUUCAUACCAUAGAAAGAAUUGCAAACCUCUCUCUUCUCUACUCUUGACAAAUUCCAAGGCCCAGGAGGCAAACGAGUACGUCUUUCUCCAUACUCGGGUUGCAAAUCAGUUUUGACCCCCAUGUUCAAUAAAUCUAAUCGAGCAGCAAUCCCAUCUUUAUUUUUUCCAGGGAUCUCCAGCAAUGUACCAAUGAUACUAUCACAAACAUUCUUCUCAAUGUGCAUAACAUCUAGGGCAUGCCUUACAGGAAGGUAUUUCCAAUACUCGAGAUCAAAGAAUAUUGAUUUCUUCUUCCAACAAACUCUGUCACCAUUUUCAACCAUAUGCAGCACUUCUUCUCCGGUUAAUGGCUCGGGAGGUAUGCCAUAUUCAGGUUUCCCAUUAAAAGCUGCACGUUGCCUCCUAUAUGGAUGAUUGAUUGGUAACCAUUUUCUAUGCCCAAUGUAACAAAUUUUGUGGCCAUUUUUCAACCUGUGACUAGGUGUAUCAUCGCCGCAUAUUGGACAAGCUUUAUAUCCUUUAACAACACAACCAGAUAAGUUUCCAUAGGCGGGGAAAUCAUUAAUUGUCCACAUUAAUGCAGCUCUGAGUGUAAAGUAUUCUCCAUUAUGUGCAUCAUACACUCCUCUAAUCCCAUCCCACAAAGAUUUUAAAUCAUCAAUCAAAGGCUCCAAGUAGACGUCUAUAUCAUUUCCGGGUUGUUUAGGACCGAAAAUCAAUAAGGUUAACAUCAUGAACUUUCGUUUCAUGCACAGCCAUGGAGGGAGAUUAUAUGUAACUAAGAUAACCGGCCAACAACUAUAUCUGCUACUUAGAGAACUGUGGGGAUUGAAUCCAUCAGAUGAAAGAGCCAAUCUCAAGUUUCUCGGCUCAUUACCAAACUCAGGCCAUUUAUCAUCAAGAAGUUUCCAAGACGGGGAAUCCGCCGGAUGAGACAUCUGACCGUCAAUUGAUUUUCUAGGAGCAUGCCAAGUCAAACUCUUAGCUGUCUCAUGUGAUUGAAACAUCCUUUUAAACCUUGGAAUUGGAGGAAAAUACCACACCACCUUCGCUGGCACACCCUCUUUCAAGAUUGAAUCUUUGCCUUCCUUCCACCUUGAGAUACCACAAGUAGGACAAUUAGUUGAAUCCUCAUACUCCUUCCUAUACAAGAUGCAAUCAUUGGGGCAUGCGUGCAUUUUCUCAUAACUCAGCCCCAAUGCACACAAAGUCUUUUUAGCCUCAUACAUAGAGGUUGGUAUUGUAUUUCCUUAUGGAAGCAAAUCGCCUUGAAGUAUCAAUAAUUCUGUAAAACAGACAUCACUCAUCCCAUGUUUUGCCUUCAAAUUAUACAACUUCACUAAUGCCGAUAACUUCGUGUACUUUCUACAACCAGGGUACACUGGUUGAUCUCCAUCCCCAAUCACAUUGGCAAACUCAUACGGAUCGGAACCAAAAUCAUUAUCAUCCAUAUCAAUUUCUUCAGACACAAAACUGUACCUACUAUGGCCAUCAUCUUCUUCAACAUUUCUACUAGCAUUAGUAGUUGCUUCCCAAGGUUCUCCGUGAAAUGUCCAAUUCUUAUAGCUUUGGUCAAUUCCAUUAAAGUAUAAGUGAUCCCUUAUAAUUCCAACCCCAAACAACUUCAAAUUAACACAUUUAACACAUGGACAACGGAUAUGUGUUGUAGUUAGAAGAUUUUCUACAGCAAAGUUCAAAAAUGCUUCCACCCCAAACUCAUAUGCCUUCGAUCUUCUAUCCGAGUGCAUCAUUGACUUAUCCAUCUCCGACACUAUAACCUAUUAUCUAUAAUAAAGUGAAAAUACAGGCAAUGACCAUCACUAUAGCAGAUUAUACAAAGAUCUAAUAGCAAGUAAUACACAACAAAGACGACGGGUUUUAAACAAAAACAGACGUAUUUGGCAUAUAUAGACGACGGAUUUUCAACAGACGUCGUCUAAUAUAAGUAAUACAAACGACGGUUUAUGAAAAAACCGUCGUGUAUAAGUAAUACAACGACGGUUUUUUCAUAAACCGUCGUGUAAUCGUCGGCGUAUGCCUAAAAAGGCGUCGUGUCUCAGUUUAUUUUCAAGAACCCAAAACCCAUUAAGAACACAACAUAUAUAUGAAACCAAGCAAGAAAACAACAUAUACAUGAAACCAAGCAUGAAAACAAUAAAUCCAUUCCCAAUUCAACAUAACAUAGGGUGAUUAAAAGAUCCGACAAAAUUAAAUCCAUUCCCAAUUCAACAUAACAGAUAAUGUAAUCCAUGAACCCAUUAAACAGAAAAUCCAUGAACCCAUACUUAUAAGCACAUUAUUAACAGAUCGCAAAGCAUAUACCUAAAACCCUUUAACAAAACAACCUAAUAUCAUUCAAUGAAUUUACAAGGGGAAGAUAGGGUUUGUACUUACAGGUUGGACGAGCUCACAGAUUCGACGGAGCAGAAGUGAGAGAGCAACUUUUAAUUAGAGCAGAAGUGAGAGAGCGAAAUGUUAUGUUGCGCGAAAUCUGAAAAUUUUAGGGUUCAGGGUUAGAAGAAUAAGAAUAAGAGCCAAAUAUAAAAAAAUUUAGGACGCGUGAAAAUUUUUAGAGCGCGCGCUCUUUAAAACUUCGAAAGAAAAACCAUGGCGAAAGUUCUACAAGAACCGACAUAAAUGUAAUAUUCCACGACGGAAACACUGAACGUAACGCCGUUUAUUUUGACGCUUCAUUUUUCGGAUUAAUUUUAAAUUUAUUUUCAAUAUUUUGAUAUAAAGACGACUGAAAAACCACGUCGGGGUUAAGAAAUUGAAAACGUUGUAAAUUAUAAUAGACGACUUACAUAUUAAAAUGACGUCGUUUAAAGUAGAAACUAUGUCGGAUAAUUUACUGCACGACGUAACAUAUGUAUUCCACGACUCAACCACCGUCGUUAACAAUUAAUACCCUAAACCCUUAAAACUAAAUUAUAUAAUUUUAAAAAUUAACUUUAUAAAAGGGUUUAUGGUUUUACAGCCUAAUAUAUACCCUAGACUACCCAAAAAUUAUACUUUAAAAAUAAACCCCAAUAAAUAACAACCCUAAUCUCUAAACCCUAGACUCUAAACCCUAAACCAUAAAACUAGAAGUGAUUUUAUGACUCAUCAAAACAAUUUUGUUUUGGAUGUUCAUUUUAAAUUUUUGUAAUUCAAAAUGAAUUUUUUCAAGGUUUAGGGGGAAGAAAAUAUAUCAAUGACUUCAUAGGAGUUGACUUUGCAUUUUUCUGAUUUAUUUUAAAUUUAUUUUGAAUAUUUUGAUAUAAAAAUAAUAAAAUAUUCUUAUCACAACAACAAACCACGUCGGUGUUGAUAAAUUGUAGACGUUGUAAAUUGUAAUAGACGACUAAGUUGUUAAAAUGACGUCGUUUAAAUGAGAAACGAUGGCGGAUAUUUAACUAUCCGACGUAAAAUAUAUAUUCCUCGACUUAACCACUGUCGUUACAAAGUACUACCCUGAACCCUUAAGAAAUUGAAGACGUUGUAAACCAUAAACGACUCCAUUGUUCAAAGAACGUCGUCUAAAUAUCCUUUUACGCCGGAUUUGUUUAAAACGAAACCACAAAAAACGACGGCUUUUGACUUUAUUACGUCGUUGGAAAAUUAUUACACGUCGGUUACGCAUUUUGUAUGUUUGUUUUUGUUUUUACUUUAAGAAAACCUCAACAAAUUUUUACAUUAUAUAUUAUAGACAAAAUUUGUACAUUAUACAUAAAUAUCAAGUGUUCAAUAAUUCCCCUAUUCCAGUUGAAUGCAAACAAACUCUGCCCAUUCAUUCCGGACUUCAUCAAUUGCUUCUUGGGGGUAUGGCUCUUCCUGUUUUCCCUUCGCAUACUGCAUAAAAACAAUGACUAUUAGGGUUUAUAAAUAAAAGGAAAUUCAAUCACAGACGACCAUAACCGACGUAGUAUAUCUAUUCAACGACGGUAAUUUUACAUGACCGUCGUUGAUAAUACAAAAAACGACGUAAAAUGUUUGAAGGUUAUUUCUUCUUACCUUCUUCUCAAACCCCAAGGAAGGAUCCAUGAUGAUGUCCUUCAUGAAGCGCAUCACGUAAUACCCGCAUUCGACAUUGCUGGGUUGCUUUGGUGUGCCUGACAGGGUUUUCCAAAUGACUGCCUUACGGCCUGAUCUGGCUAUGUGGGAAUUAUAAAUUUUUAUGGCACUGUUCACGAUGUCUUUGGCCUCUUCAUCGACCACACGAUUUCCUGGCAGAGGAUCCAGAAAAUAGACUGUUUCCCUCUUUGCUCUUACAAUCAGCAAGAUCCAAUGACGGCUGCACAAAAUUAAUAUAAAAACGACGGUUAUUUACAAAAACGACGUAUUAUAAUAUUUCACACGACGAAAUAAAGUAGCAAUCGACGACAUUAUAUAUUUAUAACGACGAUAAAUAACUACCGACGUGGUUAGUCGUUUCAAACGACUCAAUAAAAUAAAACACCGACGUGGUUAGUUUAUACGCUGUCAUUUAUUGAAAAUCAUAAAAACAAAAUCCUGUUAAGGAGACUAACCCUGGAUUGUAAGGCAUGAGGAAAAUCUGUUCACCGUCAGUCUUCUGAAGUCGUGAUGCUACAAGCCGUGAUCUGUCAGCUAUUGUGCCAGAGCUGGCACUAACUGUAGCAGGGUCGAUAAAGCCAACCAUUGUGCACAUAUUUGCUUGUUUUAAAACAUCGUGUAAGUACCUAAAUAUAUAAAAUAAUAUAAACAAGUCAGCGCAAAAAAAACACACGACGGUUAUGUAUAACAAAACGACGUAUUAUAAGGUUUCACACGACGUACUGAAAUAGACAACGACGUUAUAAUAAAUUUAUCACGACGGUACAUACUAACGACGUGGUUAGUUAGUUAAGACGACGCAAUAAAUAAACCAACGACGUAUUAUUUUAGAAUGACAAACCUCAUAUAUACAGCAAUGACUGUAGCUCCUAUUUCCUCCAUGCCUGCAAAUUGUGUAAUAUCUUCAGGCAGGAGGAAGGUAUCGCGCUCUAGACCAAACACCUCCUUAUCAAUUGUAAAGUGCAGGGUCUUAUCUUGAGUUACGAGUGUCGUUUCCACAUAACGACAAAGGGUUUGUAAAGAAGAUGGCGCCUCCAUAUUUGAAUAAUCAACAACUUUAGUAACCUGUUUAAAGAAAUAAAAAAAUGACGUGGUAAUUCAAUAAAAACGACGGUUUAAGGAAUAAAAUGUCGUUUGAAAACAAUUUAAACGACGGUGAAAAAACCGUCGUGGUGAAUUAUUUAUUACGUCUUAGAAAACAAUUCCGCCGUCUAAGUUGUAAACAAACGACGGUUUAAAGAAAAAUAUCGACGUCUGGAAUUUUGAAAACAAAUAAAAAAGGUAAAGUUAUGUGAACAUACCUGGUCGUCAUCUUCUUUCUCCUUUUCAUCUUGUUUUUCUUCCUUAUUCUCUUCAUAUAUGACGUCGGGAAUGAUUAACUCCGUCAUCUAAAAACCACAAAGUUUUAAAAAUAACGACGUUUAAUGGCGUGUAAAACAAGUAAACUAAAUACGACGUGGUAUUGAAAUACAAACGACGGUUUAUUUUUAAAAUCGUCGUGGUAUGUAUUUCAAACGACGGUUUUAUUAAAAAUAACGACGUCUAAUGGUUUUUAAAAAAACAGAGAAUUCAAAGUUCAGAUAUGUUACCUUUUCUUCCUGAUGUUUCCCAUUUUUGGCAGUAUCAUCCUCAAAAUGCUGGGAUCUCACAUCACCUCCAGAGCAGCUUGCUUUGUCAGACAUUGGAUUUUUGGGACUUUGGCUAAUUCUGGGUUUAAGCAUGCUUGGAUCAAAAUUGGGAAUUAAUUGGGAAAGCUGACUCAGGAAAUGCUCCCUCUCAGCCUCUACCAAUUGUUUCGUUCUAGCCUCCAUUCUUAAAGCCUCUUCCCUUGCCUUAGCCUCCAUCUUUUUAGUCUCUUCUUGAAGGAGAACUCUUAAACUGUCCUUCAAACGGUCGUCAAAGCUCACUCUCUGUGGUUUGGGUAAAUUGAAAUAUUGCUUUGGUGAGAUCCCAGCACCUACUCCUCUGACUCUGCCUGGAUGCUCGGGGCCCAAAGCCAUGGUCAGCACAUCAUUGCUGCCAGAGACGGUGACUUUGCCUUCCGAGACUUGUUUUUGCAAAUCAUCCUAAAACAAAGAUAUAUAAAAAAGUAAGAACAAAAACACACGACGGUUAUUUAUAUACAAACGACGUAUUAUAUAAUUUCACACGACUCAAUAACAUAUAAAUCGACGUUAUUAUAAUUUAUCACGACGGUAGUUAUACCGACGUGGUUAGUUCUUUAAAACGACGAAAUUAAUAAACCACCAACGUCUUAUGUAACAGAGGGAUGAUUCAAUAUUCACACCUUUAACGACGUUGUUUAAAACAUUUCGACGUAGUAAUUUAAUACAGACGACGCGAAAUUGAACCACCGACAUCUUAUGCUAUAAUUACAGAAAACAGAGUUCUGAUUCCUAUUUAGACCUUUAACGACGUGUUUUAAAAAAUGUCGACGUGGUAAUAUCAUUCACACGACGCAAAAUAUAACAUAAGACGUAAUAAGAAUUAUUCACAGUUUAAUAAAAAUUUAAAACAGAGUGAGUAGGCUUACAAUUAAUUUUGCUUUCUCUGCCACCUUUGGAUCAGGGAUGUUACCAUGUUUGUCAUGUCUAGCUCUCUUCCAUAAGGUAGAUCGAUCAAUUUCUACCCCAGGCAUGGUUUCCUCUAAUUGAUCCUCCAAACCGGCAUAUCCUUUUCGAGACAAUCGAUGAUUGUACUCGAGUUUCUCCCUAAUCUGUGCAUGUUGAGAAUGCACAGACUCAAAAUCUUUGGAUAGCCUUGAAGCUACAAAGGCAUCCCAUUGUGCUUUCUCUAUGAAUUUAUAUGUUUCAGGGGGUUGGCUUAAUCUCUCCCUGUCAUUGGUGUAUGGAAGGAUAUAAUGCCUCGUUAGUGUAGACUUGAAAUCCUUCCAUUUCUUGGCAGCAGAAGCUAAGACAGAGUUCUUGCCCCCUUGACCUACUACAAAAGCAAUGUCAACUGCUUCCCAAAUCUGCUCCUUUAUAUCCUUGGGGAUUUGAGCCCAUUUCAAGUCCACAAGUGGAACUCUGGAGCGUGCCAACACACCAAUAUAGGACUGCAUCUCACUAUGAGCUUGGCCAAUUCCUUUCCCCCUUUUAUUGUACUCAACAAUUGGCCUCAGUUUCUGCAGUUUUCUCUUCACAACACGAGGCAUUGUGCUCAUACCUCGACCAGCCUUUGAAUCAUCAGAUAUUGUUGUCCCGCUGGUUGGUUCUGUAUCAGCAGAUGAUGAAGCAAACUUCAUCUUCUUCGAAGACUUCAUUAUCUUCGAAGACUUCUCUUGAGGAGGUACUUGCUCCUCACCUCCAUUUUUCUUGGAGCCAGAAUCCUUACUUUAGUCUUGUUGAGAAACCAUUUUUACAGACAAAACUGCAAGUGAAAAUAUUUCAAGAAAAGAUUAAGAACACAAACGACGGUUAUUAAUAAAAUACGACGUAUGAUAUGAUUUUAAACGACGCAAUGAAAUAAUAUCAGACGUAAUAAAUUUUUAAAACGAAGGUAAUUAAACAACGACGAAAUAAUUGACUACAAACGACGAGAUAAUUAACUAUAAACGACGGAAUAUUUAUAUAACGUCGUGGUAUUGAUGUUCACACGACGUCAGUAGUAAUAUACCGUCGUCUAUAUAAGGAUCCAAAACCCUUCUUUCUUUCUCUGUGAAUGUUUGAUUGCAGAUUUGAUUUUUCUGAACCAUGGUUUUUGUUUUCUAAUUUGAUAAAAUACAAGGCCAAGAAAGAAAGUUUUGGAAUCUUAUAUAGACGACGGUAUUUUAAUAUGACGUCGUGGUAUUAACAUUCACACGACGUAAAACAAUAAGAUACUGUCGUCUAUAUUAGAUACCAACCCUAAUUUCUUUUUCUUUAUAUUUUAUCAAAUUAGGGAAAAACAAAAACCAUUGUUCAGAAAAAUCAAACCUGCAAUUAAACAAGCAAAUAAAAAAAAGACUAAAAUUUUAAAAACAACUUUGUCAAUUUUCAGACGACGCUAGAACGACUGACGAACCGUCGUGGUCUACAUAUUUAACCACGUAAAUAAGAAGCUACCGUCGUCUUAUUUAGUUAAGGUAGUUGUCUUCAAAGUUGGAAACUUUCCCUCUUUGUCUGUAUAUUUUAUCGAACUUGGAAAGAAGUAAAAUGAUUUUGGCCAGAAAAAAGGUAAAAAGAUUUUUCAAACAAAAAACGUAUGAGCAUGCAAAACAGCAACCAAAAUAGUGAAAAUGAAAGCUUACCUUUUGUGUGCAAUGAAAGCAAGAGGAAGACGAUCGAUGUUUAAAUUCAGAGACGACGAAGAAGACGAGAGGAAGACGAUGAGAUACUCUGAAAGUGCUCUGACAAGGAAAAAAGUCUAAAAGUUUUCUCUGGGAGAUUGAAAUUUUUAAUCGGGUUUGGAAAAAGUGCAUGUGUAAGUCAGGUAGACGAAAAGUUGCUUAUAUAUAAAACCAUUUCAAAAAAAUAAUACGGCGGUUACAUAUAACUACGACGUAUAAAUUACAAAAUACGACAGUACGUUUAACUUCGGACGUGGUAAAUAAUUACGACAGUAGUGUUAUAGGUACCGUCGUAGUAAACUCAAAAUUAAAGUACAUAAGUAAUAACUCGCGUCAUGGUAGAUCAUUUAACACGUCGGUUUUAUUAAUGUACCGACGUGGAUUUAUGUAAUAUACGUCGGUAAUACCGACGUUGAUUUUACAAUUUAAACGGCGGUUUUUUUGUAAGGACCGCCGUUGGUUUUAAAAAUUUAUUCUAUAAAUUUGUUGCUUUCAUUCAUUUUCGGUUUACAUUUAGGGUUCCAAGUUCUUCCUCUCUCAGAGACACUAUCUCUCACAUCUCAAAGACAGUAAUUUGGAUGUCUUUCUCAAAGAGAAAUUGAGCUUACUCGCAUCAAAUCUAUGUCCACAAGAAGAAGCUUGUCAACUAGCCUUCUCACUUCCUUGAUCAAGCCUGAUAGGACACUUAGUGCUUCUGAAUACUCCUUGCUUUCCAUCAAAAGAGAUGCAAGCCUGGCCUCCACUCGCUGUCGAAGGAAAGUUCGCUUCUCAGGGAAAUCUGAAGAUCAGAUGUGCCUGAUCCUCUGCUUGAUUUUCUUGGCUAAGAAGAUCCGUCAGAUUUGUGAUAGCCUCUUCCUUUAUCCGUAGAGCUUCAGAAGAAGAAGAUGGGUUUCAAGAAUGCGAUAAAGAAUAGAAAUGGCUUCAGAUGGCCUCUAAAGCAUGAGCAAUCGAAUCAGUGCUUUGAACUAUACUUUGAACUAUACAAGUCAAUGCUUUGAACUAUACAAGUCCUGCAGAAAGAUAAAGGACCAAACUAUUAAAGAAACCCCAAACUAACACGACGCAAUAUUUGUUUUGCGACGUGGAAUCUUUUCAUUUAACGUCGUUAGGUUUAAUAUAACCGACGUGGAUUUGAAUUUUUAAAUUAUGAAUAGCAUUUUUUUUCCCGUGACCUUUCAGUUUAUUUUUCAAUUACAGUGCGUUAUAAAUAGAGUUUUUUUUCCGGAGGAAAUUUAAAAUGAAGGAAAUUAAUGUUCUGGAAUAUGUAAAAUUUCUUUUUUGGAUGACAGAUUUAAAUAAAAUAAGAAUAUAAAAACAACGACUGUUUUUGUAUUACUGUCGUCGUUUUUCGUCGUCUUAAGUAAGACUAAGACAACGUAAUAUAUUUGUUGAGCGACGUUGAUUUGUGUUUUAAACGUCCUUAGGUAUAAUAUAACCGUCGUUGAAAAUUGUCUCUCUGAUUGCAAAUUUGCAACGACGUUAGGUAUAAUAUUUGUAGAUACACAAACGCACACACAUCAUCAACUUCCAAAAAAUUGUCUCUCUGAUUGCAAAUCUGUGUCAUCUGUUAAGAUUAUGAUGUGGAACAAAGUUCCAUUUGGUAAGAUUUCGUAACCCUUGGGAUCUCAGAAAAAUCUGAUUAUGUCGGCGAUUUUCUAUAUAAACCGUCGUGGUUAUUUCAAUUCUUGUCAUUAAGUAGAUCUACCGACGUAGGAUAAGAAAAUCAAAGAAAAAAAUUGUUAACAAAAAUUCUUAUUAAGACGACGGUUUAAAUUAAAGGUAAGACGUAUAAAAUGAAUAAAUACGACGUUAAAUUUUAUAGUACGAUUUAAAGAUAACGUCGUAGAACUAUACCAGAAUGACGUCGAUAUAUUUAUAUUUUUCGUCGUUGUACAUUAAUUUAAUACGGCGAUAUUUUGUAUUUUAAAGUCGUGGAUUUGUUUGUAAUUAUACAGCGUCUUAUACGAAAACCUCGUCGUGUUAUUUUAUGAGUAAAAACGGCGGCUUUUAUUGAAAUCGUCGUCUUUACUUUCUACGUCGGUUGAUUCAUAACUUCUGUCGUUCUUUGUUGGCUUUGAUUUUACACUGCGGAAAUCUGUUUCAAAUAGACGUCGGUUGUUUAAUUAAGUACGUCGUUGUUUUUGAACAGCCAUUUGAAUCUCCAUUUUUUAGUUGUCUAAGGUGGUAUUACACGACGGUGUUUUUAGAACCGUCGUCUUUUUAAAAACCACGACGGUUUUCACUGAGACCGUCGUUGUUUUCUGGUCGUCUUUUUCACUUUUUGUAGUAGUGAAUGGAAUAGAAUGAUGGAAGUUAUUUUUUUUUUUUCCUACGUCUAAAGUAUACUUUAUAUAUAUAUAUAUAUAUUUAUAUUUAUUAUGGAAGUUAUAACCGUUUAAUUUUCAGUUUUUAUUUUCUAUUUAUUGUUUUAAUUUUUAUAGUUUAAUGUGUAUGGAGAUUUCAAGUAUUGGAUGUUUAUAAAGGGUCACUCCUCCUUCACAUCUGAAACAAACCACCAUCUCAUUUCUGUAUUUUCAUACUUUCAUAUAUUUUCUACUUUCCAGAUUAUUAUUUUUGGGCAACGGUUCUGUGACUUGGAGAUUUCUAUCCGAUUAUUAACAUGCUCAUAGCGGACCUUGAGCUUGCGUAUUGAGGAUAGUAUCUUGGAGCCUUGUAGACCUUUAUUACCUGCAUGUAGGGAGGCUAUAAAUGCUUUAAGUCAGCGUCUUUGACGUGCUUUUGCUUUCUUUUUUUUACUUAUUUCUUCGUUACUUUAUUUUUACUUUACUUUUAAAUCUUUAUUUUAUGUAUUAUUUAUAUUUAAAAAUUUUGAAUAAGAGUUUUACAGAAAAGGAAAAACACAAUUUCAAAUAACACAAAUUUCUCGUUUUUUGUUCUUAAAAAAGAAGAAGCAUUGAUUGGGGAGUUAUGGUAAACUCAGUUUCAAUGGUUGCGAUGAGAGGCGGUGGCGGCGAGGAGAGGACGAAGGCUUUGCUGCCGACGGGGUGGUGUGGGUGGGUGGAGACCUCGGCUGGCUGCUUGGUCCUGGGUUCUCCUUUAAUUCUCUGUUUUCUUUUUUCAUAUUUUUCUUUUUCUCUUAGAGUUAUUGAUGUUAAGUGAAUGGACAGAUGCCAAGAGAAGAUGUGAACCCAAUUAUAUACAGCUGAUUACAUAAAGUAACAAAUUAAUUAAUACUUGAGUGGAGGACAGGCUCGAGUGGAAGAAUUGAUUAAGGCUUGAGUGGAAGACAAACUUCAGUGGAGGAAAGUACAGAUAAGGAAAGCAUGCCACGUUUAACGGCUUUAUCUCAACAAAUUAGGAAUGCUGGUUUUGUUUCCUCGGUGGUUGAAAGGUGGUGCCUUGGCUCGGACAUCUCCCUAGUAAUUAAUCGAAGGUGGAAUCUUACAAGACAUUCAGCUGCUCAUUAGCUGAAUAUCUCGCUCUCUUUAAAGAGAUCGAAGCAAACUGCAAUUUGCAAUUUGUGUGAUUCAAGCAUGAAUAUCUGACAUAGUAACUAUACCAUUUGUUGGUUUGAUGAGAAAAGUUUGGUUAGCGAGGAUGAAACCAUAAAGUUCCCCAAAACACACAAAGAGCACGGACAAUUGCUAAGUUUAUCUUUGAGUUCACGCAUAUUUGCACAAAUGAGAUUACUCCAAGUAUGACUAUACCAUUUGUUGGUUUGAUGUGAAAAAUAUGGGCAACGAGGGUAAAACUAUACAAACACACACAAAGAAAGUGGACAAUUACUAAGUUUAUCUUUGCGUUAUUCAUCCGACCUAACUGUAAAAUAAAAAAGAUGAAAAUAUAUAAUGUUCACUACUUAGAUCUAUGAGCACUAAAGUCCUCCUUUUGGAAUUGCACAAAACGUCACUUUUGGUCUUUGACAAAUUUUUAAAAUAAAUGAAUUUUUUACUUAUUUGUGGACUGAAAUGCCUCAAAAAAAAUAAUGAUAAUUUGAAGAAUUUGAUAGAAAUUAAAAAAUAUCCUCAAAUUACUUGGAAUUGAAGACCACAUAGGCAAAAACACCACUUUGGACAAAGGCUGGUGAUAAUAGUCGAUAUCAUCUUUUGUCGGUCCGACCUAAAAAGAAGAAAAAGUUGAAAGCAUCUUGUUACCAUUUUUGCCAAUGUGGGUCCAGACAAUUUGAAGAAGUCCACCGACAAUUUCUCAAAAGCUAUUGUGUGAGUGUUUUGAAGCUAAACCAAUAUUAUUUUGCACAUACGACCCCACAUCCCCAUGUGAGGCUACAGAAGUGUUUCCAAAACGAAACAUGAUAUUUCAAAACAAAGCUAUGUAUAGAAUAGAGUCAUUUGUAUUUGCUUUCACAAUAACAUUUUAUUUGUGAAAGCAUUUUAUAUUUUUACAUUAUGAUGUUCUAACAAAUAAAUUGACUAUAUUUGGCCAACAGGGUUUAACCGAGUAAAAAAGUCCUUAUUUAUAAACUACUGGUUUCAUAUUUGAACUCUAUGACAUUCUCUUUACCCUUAAAGUUUAGACUAUCGCAUGUAUUAUAAAUAAAAAAAAACAAUUGGCUUAAUUUGAUAUAUUUCAUUUUAUGCUGGGUGCCGUUAUUAAGUUUUAUCCUUGUUUCUUGUUGAAAAAAAAUUGAUAAAAAAUAAGAAUUCCUAUAGCUAGCAACUUCUCCACCUUCCCUUCUUCGCAACUAGGGAUGCCAUUGCAAGGUCACCAUCUCAGAUUAAGUCCUCCUUUUAAAAUUGUGUUGUUAUUCAAAAUUGGAAUAUGCUGGUCAUUCUUGAUAUAAUCUGUUCCACAAAAAGAAAAAGAAAAAAGUUGAUAGCAUCUUUUACCACUUUGGCCACUUUUGAAGAUAUUCACCGACAAUUUCUCAAAAGCUAUUAAGCUGUACGUCCACAAUAUUAUUGCAUCCAACUUUGCAUAUACGACCCCAUCCCCAUGUGAGGCUACAAUAUUGUUAAAAAAAUAUGCUAACAUUGUCAUUCAGUAUGCUAACAUUGUCACUAUGUUUGCGAAUUGCAUAUUAUCUAGAACAUAAAGGCUUUGGUGUUUUGUAGAUCCUCAGGGAGCCAAACCCGUCUUUAUAAAAAUGGUCCUUAUGAUACUACUUUAACAACAAUAAAGUAUAAUAAACUAGGCCUUUGUAGUCACUGAACGAAUGUUUUGUCAUAUAUAUGACUAUUUAAAUGUAAUUACGGGAUUAAAACAUUAUAAUAAAUUGGAGUGAACCAUAACAUUAUAUAUGAUCCAAUCCUUUGCAUAUAUUUUUGUUCAAGACUUUGUUUUAGAAUGCUCUAUUACUAAUUUGGUACAGGUCUCUAAAAUCUAUGCCUUUAUGAGGCAACGUCUUUAUUUCUUUGGUUAUUCCAGUUUAGAAUAUUUGCACAAAUGAGAUGACUCCCAGCAUAAAGUCACAUUCAACCAAAAAGCAUGAAGUCACACACAAAAAGAAUACGGACAAUUGCUAAGUUUAUCUUGUAUCCUUAUUUUAUUGAUCCAACCCAAUUGAAAAAUUAAAAAGAUGAUAUAAUAUACUGUUCACUGCUUACAUCCAUGAGUAAAGUCCUCCAUUUGAAAUUGCGUGAUGAUAUAAAAUUGGAAUGAAAAAAGAAAAUCCUACAGCUAAAUUUGAUAUAUUUCCUUUUCAUUUUAUGCUGGGUGUUAAGUUUUCUUAUUUCUUGUUGAAAAGAAAAAUGAAAAGAAAUAAAUAAAUUCCACAGCUAGCCACUUAUCCACCUUCCCUUCUUCCCAUGUAGUGACAACAAGGGAGGCCUUCAAUCCAAAAUAAAGACAAGGGAUGCCAGAUCAGCAUCUCAGAUAAGUAUCCCAACCAAAACCAAUCAAAUAAUGACAUAUGUAUCUCUUUUUGUGUUUUGUUCUAUUUCUCUUUGAAUUAACUGCAUAGUUUCAUAAGCGUGUCCUCCUUUUGAAAUUGUGUAUUAUUCAAAAUUGGAAUUUGCUGAUCAUACUUGAUAUCAGCUAAAAAAGUUUCCAACAUCUUGUACCAUUUUUUUCCAGUGUGGGUCAUAACUUGAAGAAGCCCACCGACAAUUUCUCAAAAGCUAUUACCAUCCAACUUUGAAAAAUAAAAGUUUUCAAAAGUUACCCCAAACAACAGUCCUUGAAAGAGAGAGUUUUCCAAGGCUAAAGAUUACAAGGAUGUUAUUUACAGUCUCGACAACGACAAGCUUCAUAUUUGUUUACAAACCUGUAUUUUCAAGUUGUGCUAGCCUAGCUACUUGCAAAAAAUAUCCAGUUGGCACAUGCAUUAACGUGUGACAAGAAGUUAGUUAUAUUUGUAAAGUAAAAGAACGAAGUACAUAGCAUGUAAGUUGAUGCUAAAUAUUUGAUCAACAGAGUUAAACAUAAAACCACUGACAAUAUAACGUUGUUCACCAAAAAUUGCAUUUCGUUGAGGGUCAGUAGUGUAGGUUUCAAGAUACGAUUUAUUUUGUUAAAGAAUAUUCUGAUAUUCUAACAAUAAAAUUGGCUCAAUUUGAUAUGUUUCUCUCUCUUUUUUUGUUUCUGUUUUCCCUUUCAUUUGAUGCUUUGUUGUGCUAUUGCUAAGUUUAUCUUAGAGACCAGGGAUGCUUAGCAAGUUUCUUCACCUGCCCUUCUUCCCAUGUACUAACUAGGGAUACCAUGUCAGAAUCUUAGAUAAGAAUCCCAUGCUUUGUUGUGCUAUUGCUAAGUUUAUCUUAGAGACCAGGGAUGCUUAGCAAGUUUCUUCACCUGCCCUUCUUCCCAUGUACUAACUAGGGAUACCAUGUCAGAAUCUUAGAUAAGAAUCCCAACCCAAUCAAACUAUGACAUCUGUAAGUAUUCAAAAUUGGAAUUUGCAUUGUGAUAGUUGAGUGGAAGAAUCGAUUAAGGCUUGAGUGGAAGACAAACUUCAGUGGAGGAAAGUAAUUAAUUAGACCAUUAUUUGUUGGUUUGAUGAGAAAAGUUUGCUGGUGAUAGUCCAUAAUCUUUGUCCGACCAGAAAAUAAGAAAAGUUGUCUUGUACCAUUUCUGCCAGUGUGGGUCCCACCCACCCCAUGCGAGUAAUUUGAAGAAGUCCACCGACAAUUUCCCAAAAGCUUUGGCGUCCAACUUUGCCGACCCCAUCCCCAUGUGAGGCCAUAGAAAAGUUUUCAGCCACAAUCAAAUAAGGAACAGUCCUUGAAAAGAGAGGGUUUUCCAAGGCCAAGAUUACAAGUUCAUGUUAUUUACAGUCUCAAAAAGCUUCCAUACUUGUUUACAAACCUGUAUUUUCAAGUUGUGCUAGCCUAGCUAUUUGCAAAUCUUGGAAUAUUUUACUUCAUCCAAAUCCCUUGAAGUCUGCAGAGAAGAUAAAAGACAUGGCUUUGAUUGGAGAGGCUCUUAUCUCUGCUUCCGUCCAGGUGUUGUGCGACAGAAUUACUUCACCCGAGUUCGUUGACUUAUUUCGGCACAAGAAACUCGAUGAGCCACUCCUCAGGAAGCUGAGGACGACACUGUUGGCCUUGAACUUGGUGCUCAAUGAUGCAGAGGAGAAGCAACUUGUGAACCGAGAUGUGAAAAAGUGGCUUGACGAGCUCAAACAUGCUGUCUUUGAUGCGGAGGACUUACUGGAUGAGAUUGACACUGAAGCUUUGAGAUGCAAGCUGGAAGAAGGUGAAGAUCAAACUCACAAAUUUACCAAUAAGGUGCGGAACUUGCUCUUUUCUUCUCGUAGUCAUUUUUAUCAGAGCAUGAAUGAUAAGAUAAAAGAGUUACUAGCAAGGUUAGAAAACUUUGUACAACUGAAAAGUGCUCUUGGUCUGGGAGAAGUUGCUGGGAGGAAGGUUUCGCAAAGAACUCAAACAACCUCCUUGGUUCUUGAACCUUAUGUAUAUGGUAGAGAUGAAGUCAAAGAAAAGUUAUCAAAAGUUUUGCUAUCUGAUGAAGCAGGCAAGGAUCCUGUGUCUUUCCUCACCAUUGUUGGAAUGGGUGGGGUUGGCAAGACAACCCUUGCUCGAAUGCUUUACAAUGACGAUAAGGUGAAAGGGCAUUUUAAACUUAAAGCUUGGGCUUGUGUUUCAGACUACGAUGAUUAUAUUAAAAUUACUAAAACUCUCCUUGAGGCAGUCACUUCAAAGCCUUGUAACACGGCAAAUCUGAAUUUGCUUCAAGAAGAUCUAAGAGAGCAAUUGAAGGGAAGGAAAUUUUUAUUUGUGUUGGAUGACCUAUGGAAUGAGAAUAAUGAGGAUUUGAACUACCUUAGAGCUCUUUUUAUUACUUUAGGAACAAUGGGAAGUAAAGUCAUUGUAACAACACGGAGCAAAAAUGCAGCAUCUGUCAUGCAAAAUGUUCAUAUUCAAUACUUAGAACCAUUGUCGCAGGAGGACUGCUGGUUAUUACUUGCAAAACAUGCAUUUGGAAAUGUAAAGUGUAGUGCACAUUCAAACUUGGAAGAUAUUGGAAACCAAAUUGCACGCAAGUGCAAAGGGUUGCCUUUAGCUGCACAAACACUUGGGAGUUUGUUACGUUGCAAUAUGAAUUUCGAGUACUGGAAUAGAAUACUAAAUGAUAGUUUUUGGGACCACCCCUAUGAUAAAACUAACAUUCUUCCGGCUCUAGGGUUGAGUUACCAUUAUCUUCCUACUCAGUUGAAACGAUGCUUUGCUUAUUGUUCAAUUUUUCCAAAGGAUUAUGAGUUUGAAAAGGAAGAUAUAGUUCAAUUAUGGAUUGCAGAAGGUAUAAUUCCACAAGCUGAGAAUGGAAAUAGGAUGGAAGCAUUGGCUAGAAUAUACUUUGAUGAGCUGUUAUCACGAUCGUUGUUUCAAAAGUCAAGUAAAUUCAGCUUCAUUAUGCAUGAUCUCAUUAAUGACUUGGCUAUGUUCAUGUCUCAGGGGUUUUGCCUUAGGCUCGAAUAUGGGGUAUCCCAUGAAGUUAAAAGAGCUCGUCAUUUGUCAUAUGCUAGGGGAGCAUUUGAUGCUGCUCCAAGAUUUGAACCAUUAUAUGAGGCUAAAUGUUUGCGGACCUUCCUACCUACCUCUUUAAAUCCAUAUAGAUUUUAUGAAAGAUUUUUUGUAAGUAAAAAAGUUCUACAAGAUUUGUUGCCAUCACUAAGAUGUUUACGGGUGUUAUCAUUGUCACGUUAUCAAAAUGUUACUGUGUUACCUGAUUCUAUUGCAAACCUCAUUCACUUGCACUACUUGGAUCUUUCCCAUACCGCAAUUAAAAGGUUACCUGGGGUACUUUGCAAUCUCUUCAACUUGCAGACAUUACUAUUGUCAAAUUGUUCCUCACUCCAUGAAUUGCCUGCAGACAUUAGAAAAUUGAUUAAUUUACAGAAAUUGACAUUGGGCGGUUGUAGUUCUCUUAAUAAAUUGCCUGCAGGCAUGAAGGAGUUGACUAAUUUGCAUCAUCUUGAUGUCAGUGGAACUGAAAUAGUAGAGAUGCCGGUGCAAAUGGGUAGACUGAAAAAUUUGAGAACAUUGACUGCAUUUGUUGUGGGCAAAUCUACUGGGUCAGGCAUAAGAGAACUGAGCGAGUUCCCGCAACUUCAAGGAAAACUAUCAAUUUUGAAGCUACAAAAUGUAGUUGAUGCGAGGGAUGCACUGCACGCCAAUAUGAAGCUCAAGACAGAUCUCAAGGAGUUAGAGUUUUCAUGGGGUGCGCAGGAUGCUGAUGAUUCCCAAAAGGAGAAAGAUGUACUUGACAAGCUCCAGCCUUGCGUGAAUUUGGAGAAAUUAACCAUUGGAUUCUAUGGUGGAACCAAUUUUCCGAAUUGGUUAGGAGACUCGUCUUUUUCUAACAUACAAGUCAUGCAUCUCAGUGACUGUAGUUAUUGUUGGUCGCUCCCACCAGUUGGACGGCUGUCGGCACUCAAAGAGCUCUGUAUAAAAAGAAUGAAGUCUUUGAGGACGAUUGGCGUUGAAUUCUAUGGCAGAGAUGGAGCUUAUCUGACUCAGCCAUUUCGAUCUCUGGAGAAGCUAGAGUUUAUAGAGAUGCCGGAGUGGGAGGAAUGGGUACCAAGUGGAAGUGCAAGUGGUAGUGAAUAUGGUCCAGACUUUCCUCAUCUCCAGGAGCUGAUUCUAAACGAGUGUCCGAAGCUAAGAGGAAGUUUGCCUUGUGAGUUGCCUUGCUUGAAGAAGCUUACGGUGUAUGGGUGUAAGGUUUUACAUGAUGGAAGGGCCGCUACCGCAACUACCAAUAGUCUUAACUAUAAAUCUCUGGAAGAAUUGGAUAUAAGGGGUGGAUGCCAAACUCUGUUAUCAUUAUUAGAGACAAAGCUCCUGUCCCGACUUAAGAUUGAAAAUGUUGACGUACAGUGCUUGCCCAACUGCAAUCGUCUUCAACGUUUGACUCUUUUGAAUUGUCCAACGCUGUCGUCAUUCCCUAAAGAUGGCCUACCCACUACAUUGACAUCACUUACUAUACUCAAUUGUAGGAGAUUAGAAUUCCUACCUCAUGAGAUGUUGGCCAAAUUAACAUCGCUUGACUAUUUGGGCAUACAAAGUAGCUGUGAUUCAAUGAGGUCCUUACCGUUGGGCAUUUUUCCCAAAUUGACGACGCUUCAAAUUCUUGGUUGUGAGAAUCUGGAAUCUUUUUCCUUGAUUGAAGAAGAAGGAGCUGUUGAGAAUCUCAGCCAUCUCAAUUCCUUGCAAGUCAUUAACUGUCCAAAAAUGGUGUGUUUUCACGAGGGAGAAUUGCCCUUUCCCAACCUGAGUCACUUUGUAGUCAUUGACUGCGAGAAUUUGAAGUCAUUGCCCGAACGCCUUCACACCCUCACUGCCCUUCGAUCUUUGAAUAUAUGGAAUCUUCCGAAUCUGGAGUCAUUUGCAGAAGAUGGGGGUUUGCCUCCCAACCUCCGAUCUUUUAUCAUUAGGAAUUGUAAGAGACUGAGGGCACUUGACUCAGUGGGUUUGCAAGCACUUGUCUACCUUCAGAUCGAUGGAAGUGACCAUGUCUUGGAGACGUUGCUGCUCCCUACCACUCUUCACACUCUCUGCAUCUCUGAUCUAUCAACUCUGAAAUCUUUGGACGGAAAGGGUCUUGGACACCUCACUUCUCUUCAAACUCUAAAAAUUUACAGCUGUCCAAGUCUUCAAUGCCUGCCAGAAGAGGGUUUGCCGCCAUCUCUUUCUCAUCUGAGUAUCCGCUGUUGUCCUACCCUGGAGGAAAGGUAUAAGAAUAAAACGGGACAAGAUUGGGCAAAGAUAUCUCACAUUCCUUGCAUCGAGAUAGGGGAAGAAGUGAUCAUAUAAUAUGAGCUAUUCCAUAUUUCACGCUCAACCCUCAACUCUCAAAUCAAAGUCAGGUGAGGUAUGUGCCUUCUCUUACUUUAAAAAACUGCUUCUCUUCUUCUAAUUGAAUACAAAAACCAAAACACAUAUUCUCUUUCUCUUCCAAAAACCCAAAUACAUGUUGGACAUAGCCCAACGCUGUACUUUCAUAGGUACUGCAUGUAUAUUAUCUUAGUAUCAACAGGUGGUCUUAUGUGGACGAGAGAGAACAUUGAGGAAUUACAAAAUCUUCUUAGUGAAUUAAGCUUGCUUCAGCUCUGUUUGUCAUCCCUCUCAUUUUCUUUGUUAAGCCUUGGUUUUUUAUUAGGAGAUGAAUGCUUUUAUAUAUUGAUGUCGUAGUCAGUCUUCAACCACACUCCGUUUUUAGAAUUCGUUUAUGUUACUAGUGGAGUGCUGCUGUAUUUUAUAUUUCGUUCCUGUAAUGUUUGAUGUUUAGUUUGAGUAGUCUAGCUUAUCCAGUAGAUAACUCGUCCCCUGUUUUGUAAUGUUUUUGUUUCCUCUAAUGAAAGCAGGUUUUACUUAUCUUAAACUUUUAUUUUUAUUUUUAAAUAUCAGUAAUAACUGGGAAAGCUUGCAUCUCCUUAAAUUGCUCAUUCUUACAUCUUUUAUAGUUUGUCGAUCUUGGGCAAGUGGAGAGAGAGGCGUCAAGUGAUACACAACAACCAUUUUCUGUGAGCUAAUUUGAUAAUGAUAAAUGGUAUGCUUUCUUGUCUUAAGCUGUGUGUUCUGCAAUUAUUUAAAACAAAGAGUGCCGCGCUUCAAGUUCGAGGAAAACAGGUAUUUUAGGUUAGCUGUAUAAUUCGUGGUAAAUGCCUUUUUCUAAGGUUCAUUUAGACUCCUAUUACGAUUAAUUUGUUGUUUCUAAUUUGGACUUGUAGGAACAGACCAAAUAUGUUCACACGUGGCAUCGCUCAAGUCAUCAUCAUUUCCGACAGAAAAUCAGCCUUCAAGUGUCUGCUGAGUCAAUGAACCUUUCUAGAUAUAUCAAGUGCAAUGGAAAUUCAUGAGUUACAUAGAGAUUUGUAAACAUUUUGAAGAUUGCAACACCUGCAAGUGAGAUAGGUGGUGACGAAAUCAGAGCUGAUCUUGAAGCCUCUGAUGCCCCGGUUGUUGCAAGUUGCACCUGAGAACAUGUUUUUUUGGGGUAAAAAACUGGCAACAUGUUCGGAGCUGGCAAUUCAGUCAGUGAUGAAGUUGAGAAGCAAAGCUCCAGUAAGGAAAUUGGUCGAGGUCGCCACAGGGAUGAUUGAUGGUGAAAUGGAUGCUAUUUCUUAUUGCAGCCUGUUCUCAAAGUUCUUGUUGGCAAAUGCAAGAAAUGGAGUAUUUUGAUUGGAAGGAGAGAUAAUGACAUGUCUUGACAAUUCUAGAACAGCCCAUCUGAGUUCUUUUGUCAGGCUGCAUCAUUCAAUCCCGGCAAAUAUCCAGUUUCUGCUAAACAAUCACUUAUGGCAAGGCCAACUCUGGUAAACAAUUACAUUUUUUCUUUUGAGGAAUUUCACUUUGUCAUCAAACAGUAUUCUAAUGCAUUAUGGUAGCACUACACGCUUUUGUUGUAACAAAUUACAAUGAGGAAUUUGGAUUGAGGAAUUUGGAUUGAGUUUCUUUUAUGCUUUGUUUAGAUUAAAAAUAUCAGUUUCCUGUGUUAAUAACAUUACAGUUUUAUGGAAUGGUUUAUCUUGUUUUUCUGGACAAAAAUAUUUAGAGAAAUUUUCAGUAUAGCUUGUCCUUUAGAUUAAUUUCUCCUGUAGGGUGUUAAAGUUUGAUCUUUUUUUUUGUUUUUUGUUUUUUGUUUUUUGUUUUUGUUUUUUUUUGGUAAAUAAGUUUGAUCUAUUUAAAUUGAAUAGGGUGUGCAUGAGACAUUUUUCUUGGAAUAAUUUUUUAAUUGCAGUGGCAAAAAAAGGAAAAUAGUAGUCUUCAAAACGAAUCUUAAAUCCAGUUUCCUCUUCUUGGUCGUCACUCUUAGAAAUUGCUAACCAUAUAUAGCCUGGAGUAAGCACUGCACAAAACGGCAUACCAUCACAAAUCCUAAUUCCAUACAAUCUGUUGAAGGAAAAUGUGAUCCUCCUAAUAUAAUUUCACCACCACUAAUUAAAUAACGGGGUUUUAUUAUUUUAGGUUCGACCCAUUCGAGACGCAAGUCUCUUAAUUACAAUCCCUUGCUUCAAGGGAACACCCUUUGAUUCCAUCAUAAAGAAACAGAACGUUUGUGUUUGAUUUUGCAACUGCUCCCAAGUCCAACCUCAGGAUGCCUACGUAUCCCUUGCGGGAAUCAAGCCACUCGUAGUUCAAAGAAUCGCAAUGAAUAAAUGACUCAUUGCGAGGGAAAUUUGAUUUGAAUUGUACUGAGAAGUGUUUGAGUGAAUUUAGCUGAAUAAACCAGGGAUUCGAUAUGGGAUUGCAUUUGGGAUGGUUGCAUCUAGAUUGAAUCUCUAGAUUGCCUACGUACCCUUUCAAAGGGAUCAAACCAACGUAGUUCGGAAUUUGGAAAUCAACGGGCAAGUGUGGCCCACUAAUUGAGAAUUUCUGUUUAAGAGACUUGGAUUUAAUCUCAUUAGAGUUUUCAUGGGUAGAUGACCCAUGGAAAAUUGGAUGGUUUUGUACCACUUUCGUUGUUGUCCAUGUCCAAGAAAAAUAAUGAGUAAUUUUAAUUAUCCCAUUAAUUUUUCCUAAACAUUGACAAUUGCGUUUGGGGAUUUCCAUAGGUAGAUGACCUAUGGGAAAAUUUGGAAAUUAAUGGAUAAGUGUGGCCCACUAAUUAAGAAUUUGUAUUUGAGAGAUUUAGAAUUAAUCUCAAUGAAAUUUUGCAUGGGUAGAUGACCCAUGGGAAAUAUUAGAAAUUAAUGGGUAAGUGUAGCCCACUAAUUGAGAACUUGAAUUUGAGAGAUUUGAAUUUAAUCUCAAUGAAAUUUGUAUGGGUAGAUGACCCAUGAAAAAUUGAAUGGUUUUGUACCAUUUUUCUGGUUGUCAAUGUCCAAGAAAAAUAAUGAGUAAUUUUGAUUAUCCCAUUAAUUUUCCCUAAAAAAUUGACAAUUGCACUUGGGAAAGUGUUUUUUUUUGGCGAAAUCUGGUUAAGAUAAGCCAGAGAUUUAUACUUGAUUGCGGUUGCGUCUAUUGGGAUGUUAGACUGCCUACGUACCCUUGACGGGAUCAAACCGACGUAGUUCCAAAUUUAGGAAGUUAAUGGGUAACUGUGGCCCACUAAUUGAGAAUUUGUGUCUUUGGGACAAUUUGGAGAUUUUCAUAGGUAGAUGACCUAUGGAAAAAAUUGGAAAUUAACGGGUAAGUGUAGCCCACUAAUUAAGAAUUUGUGUUUGAGAUAUUUGAAUUUAAUCUCAUUUGGAAUUUGCAUGGGUAGAUGACCCAUGGAGAAAAUUGGAUGGUUUUAUACCAUUUUUCUUUUUGUCAAUGUCCAAGGAAAAUAAUGAGCAAUUUUGAUGAACCCACUAAUUCUCUACAAUUGACAUUUGCAUUUGUAUCCAUGCAUGAUUUGGAGGAUUUGAGAUUAAUGGGCUUUUUUGAUCAACAAAACCCAUUAAUCCAUAUUGAUGCUCCUUUAAAAUCUUUUGGGAGUUGAGCUUAAUGCUCCGCGUGUGACAAAUAAUUUAUUUGGACUGGAGUCACCGUCACAGCAUGGUUGAGUCACUUGGCACUCUUUUCUGAAUCGCUUCUUUGCCACAAUGGUUGAUUCCCACAUUUCUUAGUGUGGCUUUUGAAGUGGUUUUGUACCCCUUGACAUCUGGUGUGGUUUUGUACUACUUGAGUCUUCACUUGACGUUGAGUCUUCACUUGACGAUUUGAGAAUUAAUGGGCAUUUUUGGAAUUUAAGCCCAUAAUCCAUCAUUUGCGGACUUCAGGAAUUGGAGACUCAAAGGAAAUCUCAAACAAAGUGGCUGACGCCAUUUGACUUUUCUUCCCUUAUUUCGGUGCGAGUCUUCCUCUUCGUUUAUUUGUUGUUGCCAUGUGCAGCACCAAGCCAAUCCCUCUUUCGUCUUUCUUUGGUUUUGACUUGUUUUUUUUUUCUUUGUUUUUGGUUUGCUGCACAACACCAAGCUGCCAACAAGACGUGGCUAUCCUUUUUUCUUCAUUUUGUUUGUUUGUUGUUGCUAUGUGCAACAACACCAAGUUGCCAAAACGUGGCUGUCUUCAAUAACUUUUUUUUUUUUAGUUCACGUGUCUGUAUGGCAACAUCAGUGGUUUGAACAAGUUGGUUGUCUUGAGCCUUUCCUCCACCCCAUAUGACGAGCAGCAUUUCUUGACUUCCACAAGUCUGCAAAGGGAACUAGCCUUUUUCUUGAUGGUGGAUCAUUGUUAUCACAAAAAAAAUGAUAUUUGUGUGCCUUAUCCAGCUGGUUCUUUUCGGCUUGGUGCCAAAAGUAAAUGUCUUUUAAUUUGAUCAAGACACCCAAGGGAUAGAAAUUCUUCUCCAAGUGAAGUAUGGAUUAAACUCCUUAUUGAUUUGGAGCUGGUGGAUCAUCCAGUGAAGUAAACUUCUUGUCCACAUAGGAUUGGGUUGUCUUCCUUAUAAAAAGGAAAACAUGUGUGCACCAGCAAACAGCCACAAAACGAAAGUCUUAACAUUAUUCUUCGUUUGCUUCUCCAGACCAGCCCAUAGCUUUGCUCAAGCCACCUGUUGCACCAUCAAACAGAAGAGGAUUUCACGUGGUAACCCACAUGCCAUUCCUUAGUUCUUCUCUUUUAUUUUAUUUAUUGAUUGAACUAACUAGGAUUUUUUUGGCAUGGGCAGCAAUAGCUGUAGCAAUUGAAGAGCCUCCAAUUAAUUGGAUGCUUCCAGGCUGACUUGGAACCAAAAGAGACAAUUUCUCUUAUUGUCCUUUGUGUGCUGUAACCUUCCCAAGGUCAAUAACCCAAGACAAAGGGAAAGAGAAAUCAUCUUGCGUUUCACGUGGUAACCCACCCCUUGACAAAUGUCUUUUUUCUUUUGUCUGUUUCCAUGUUUCUGACCUCUUGUCUUCUCUUUUGUAUGUAGAGGCUGUGCUGCCAGCUUGAAGGCUUUGGAGUUUGGUGGAGGAAACCAUCUGUCAUUUUGCUUCAGAAACCCAAGAAAGAACUUGUGGUACUUGCUUUGCCAGCUCCUCUUUUUUUUUGUUUGCUAUUGCUGUACUUUUACCACUGCUCAUAUCCAUUUCUUUUACUCAAUUUCCAGUCAAAGAAACAUUCAAGAGGGGGAGGAGGGGCUGUGCGAUACAGCCCCCCUUUUUUUUUUAUUCCAUCACCUUUUUUUAUGUCCCUUGUUUUGUCUCUUUGCAUACAAAACACAAGAACAAAGUCAGCCACCAUUUUUUUACUCCAUUAUUUCUUCUUCCUUACUCCUUUUUUUCAAUCAAAGCAGACCAAUGGAACUAAUCUUUUUACCUUGAAAUGGCUCUUUCCUUUCUCAAGGCUGCUUGCUAAUUUUUCUUCUUGCUAUGACUGUUCUCCUUUCUGCUCUUUUUCUGUCCUCCUGCUGUUCUCCUCCCUUUCUUCCUUCUUUUUUUUUUCUCCUGCUGUUCUCCUCCCUGCGUUUUUUCUUUUUUUUUUUUUGUCCUCCCCUCGUGUCAUGCCUCUUAUAGAGGCUAUCUUAUGAUGAGUUUUAAUUCCAGCUGAUGACCACUUCUCAACUGAGAUACUUAUCUCUUGUUGUUUCAAAACCACUGAAAUACAUCUAUUUUAUUUUUAACUGUUUUUCUUGAUAAGAUUGCAGGGACAAAACAAAUUCAAUCCUAAACCAAGUCAAACUCUUGGCUAAUUAUUUUUUGUGAAAAUUUUCCGUUCAACAGAUGCCUUCUCAAGCGUUGUGCAUGAAAUGACUUUUUAUGUGCAACGCUUGAUAGCUUUUCCUUUGAACUGCGCAUCCCCUGACUUUUCUUGUAUUAAUUAAUUUUUUUUUUGGUUGAAAAAUUCAGGAAAUGGACGCGCAAGGUCGAUUCGGGUUUGAGCGAGUCUUUGAUUCGCAUGGUAGGGAAUUUGUCUCUGGCCCCCAAUAUGCGAGAUCACUGCCUUUGAGAUCUGUGAAGCUUAAUGUACCCCCUGAAGGCCGUGCAACCUGGUAUACCACCGCCUCCGUAAAUUCGGGGUAUCUUGAAUUCAAACCCCACGCAGAAGAUAAGGUGAUUUCAGUAUGCCAAACGCAUCGUGCUGUGUUUACCGCCCAUUGUUUGGAGGAUGUGAAUAAUGAAGUGGAUGGAGACAUGAAAUUCCAAAUCAAAGAUCUUCCCACACGUGAUGAUUUUUACCCCGCUUUGCAUAGAAUGAUCAAGAGUAAGUUGGAGUGGGGGCCCCAGUAUCAGUUCUAUGGCCGAGCCACUUUUGAAAUUGGCGUUGCGGAGUGGACAAAAUGCGUUAUGAGUGACUUUGGAGACAUAUUGCAUAAGGCAAAAAUAUAUUGUGCCGUAGCAAUUUCCCGAUAUCCUUACGAGUGUUGCCCAAAUAUAUGGAGAGCAUUUUGUGAAUUAUGGGGGCCCUUGUGCAACACCUUUCAUCAUGGCAAUGGUGAGAUGGGGAUUUCUCUCUAUGACAUGAAAGUCAUUUGUGGGUUGCCAAUCUUGGGAGAUGUCCAGUAUGAGGAAUUUAUUCCCCAAAAUAAAGACUUGCAACAAAAUGGAGCAUAUCCUCCGACUAUCACUGAACUUUUGAAGAUCCACUCCCAAUUAUGUAUUUAUCAUAAUCAGUCUACCGUCAGCUGGGCCCAAUGGAUUGGGCACUUUUAUCGGGCGAAGAUUAUUUAUAAGGCCUUUGGGAAUGGCAAGAGGAAACCUCAAGAUCAACUUUUAAGGGCUCCCGAAAUCACUUUACGUAUUUCAAAGGAAGGGGGGUUGGCUGCAUUCUUGGCACUUUGGUUGAGUAGAUUUGUGUUACCUUCCGUGGAUCGCAACGUCAGACCUGAAACUUUUCAUAUGGCAUGUUUGAUGGCACAAGGGGUCAGAGUUUCACUUGCACCACCUGUUUUGGGGUAUAUUUACCAUGGUCUUGGAGAAAUUGCCACUCACCCAGAAGGUCCCAGCUUGUCAAGUGCUUCCUUCCCAAUUCAUUAUGUUAUCGGUUGGUUAGGCGAACAUAUUCCAGGAUUGUACCUACCACAAACUGACAAGGAAUUUGUCAAAGACUACCCUUUUUUGGUGAGGUACGCGGGUGUUAAGCCAAAAGGUUUUAGGCUUAAUCAUGCCAGAAUUAUAUUCCGUAGUGACAAAGAAUUAAUCUAUCGCCCAACCACGUUUACUGAAGAUGAAGGCCGUUCCUUUGUUGACAAGAAGGCUCUAUCAGACAGAAAAUUUGAAUUUCUAGUUUGCACACGUUAUGCGCUUUUGCCGGUGAGGGUGAACAACAAUCUUUGGUUGGAACCAUACUACCCGAAUAGAUUCGCGCGUCAAUUUGGUUUUGACCAAGGUGUCCCUUCGAACAAGCUUUCCUUUAGCGUUCGUGACAGGUGCAAGUGUGGCAUGGAGGAUUUGGCCAUAGCACAAAUCACUUUACUUAGAAGAGAUACCACAGCUGGAUUUUAUAUCCCACGCUAUACUCGUGUUGGAGUUUGCACUUGGUGGUAUUGCAAAUGGUGGAUGGGGUCAUCAGCACCAUAUAUGGGAUUAUCUGUAGCUAGAAUUUUCUUGCCUUCUAGAAAACACCUCGAAAGGCACGAUAAUAUUUUUAUUGUUAGGCCGGAGAAUCAAGGCCCCACAAGUUGUCAAAAAGAGGUCUCCAACAAACGUCAUUCUUCGCGUAGUGACAACAACAAGAGUCCAAAACGAAUUCGAAGCCAGAAUCUUGACCAUCCAGUUGAUGAGGGAGUCAGUUCCUCCCAUGCCGAUGCUGCUACUCUUAUCAGAGACUUGGUUUUCCCCAUGAAUGACGGGCCAUCCGAACAAGGUAGUACCACGAACUUCCCAAGUGAAGCAGAUGAUGCUCAAGAAGUGAGCAAUGAACUGAAUGCUACAGUCGUUGCUCCUGAUGUGAGUAAUGAUCCAAAUGAGACAGACGAUAUUGUUGAAGAUGACUGCCCCUUGCCAUUGGUAGAAUACUUGCCCUCCUCACCUUAUGUGAAGAAUUUCAUUCACCGCAUUCUUGGUCCAAGUGUGGCUCCACGUAGGCGAAGGUUCAUUGCUGAGGAAAUGCAAGACAUCUUUGAUAGAAUUUCUUCUUCCAAAUCACCUAUAGACCUACUAGCUCACCGUGAUCAUAUUUUGGGGGCACUUGGUCUCUUGCGACCUAUGAUUAAUACCCUUGAAUCAGGCCAGGAUGAGUUUCAGGAAUUUGAAACGACUAUCCAACACAUUUUCGAGUUGGUCACUUCAUUUUCCAAGAACGUUGCCUUUGUGGGAGAACAUGCCCAUCUAGAUGUUGACCGCAUCAAUGCUUUGAUCACCCAAUAUGAGCAGUGCUUCGCUGCCAUAAAAACCAUGAGCGUGCAUCUAAUAGAACUUAAUAGUGAGCUUGCUGAUGUGAAUGCCACAGUGGUUGAUGUUGAAAAGGCAGAGAAGGAAGCUGAAGAGGCAGCAAGACGAGCUCAUGAAAUGCGACAACAGUUUGAAUCGAAGACAAGUGCCCUUAAAGAACGUGCAAACGAUUUGCAGCAAUCUUUAGACCAACAAUUCGAAAAGGAAAUUGGGCUUCGACAAGCUAGAAUUGAUGCCAAUGAAGCAAUGCUCCCAAAACUCAUAGAGGCACGGAACUUAGGCUUCACGCAAGAGAAAGAAAUUCGCCAGUUAGUUAGCUCAUUGAUUUCCCUUUGCAGUAGAGUGGAGUAGACUCCUUUUUCCAUUUUCUUUUCUUCUUCUUUUUUCCUUACCUCUUAGUUAUUGUAAACUCAUUCGUCCACCUUAACUAGUAUUGAAUGAAAAUUUUUUUAUUUUUUUAUUUUUUUAUUUUUUUAUUUUUUUAUUUUUUGUAUACAUACUCAUGCUAAUUUUUUGAGCACUUACAUCAUUUAGCAAAUUUGCCGCAUACAAAACUUGACUGGAUGAUAGGGUUUUUUUGGUGGUUUACGACUGCACUCAGCUUUUUUUACUUUUAAAAAAAAAGCUAAGUUGCCUACGUACCCUAUAAAGGGAUCAAGCCAUACGUAGUUCACCCCUUGAUUCUCAGGGGAAGAAAGGGACAAAUGGAUUUUGUGGCCGCAUCUAGUGGCAAGACUAGACUGCCUACGUACCCCUUUUGAGGGAUCAAGCCGCCGUAGUUCCUUUCCUUGGACUGCCCUCUCGGGUUUUCAGCCCACGAAGGUUUUUUUUUUUUUUUUUUUUUUUAGCUCUAACUUUUGCUUGGACCGCCCUUUUGGGUUUUCAGUCCAACGAGCCUUUUUUUUUUUUUUCUCCAUCAGGCAUAAAACUUCUUGACGAAUUUCCCAUUCACACAAGGGUAUACGCACUUGCCUUCGGCGUUUGACAACUCAUAGGCACCCCUGGAGAAAACCUUAGUAAUGACGUAGGGCCCCUCCCACUUGGGUUCAAACUUACCGUGCAUUUUCCUGGUAAUGACAAAUGGUCUUCGGACAGUUAAAACUAAAUCUCCAAUUGAGAAAGAUCUGAACUUAACUUUUCUAUUGAAUGCCCCUGCAACCUGAGCUUGAUAUAUUUCGAGCUUUUGUUGAGCUGCCAGUCUUUUCUCAUCGAGGGCUUCCAGCUCUGCCAGUCUCACAUAUGCGUUUUCGUCAGGUGUACAUCCUUAACGAUGGCAAUUGGACUUCUAACGGUAGAACAGCCUCGGAGCCAAACACCAAAUUGUAGGGUGUACAUCCUGUUGAAUUGCGUAUGGUCGUCCUAUAAGCCCAUAAUGCUUCAGGGAGGCGCUCAUGCCAGUCUCUUUUAUUUCCUGAGACCGCCUUCUUUAGGAUGUUGCACAGUACCUUAUUGAAAGCUUCAGCUUGACCGUUUGACGACGGAUUGUAACUCGCGGAAAACGAGUGUUGAAAUCUAUACUUCUCGCACAACUUGGUCAUGGACUUGCACUUGAAAUAUAAUGCAUUGUCGGAUAUUAUCUUCGAUGGAACCCCAUAACGGUAGAUGAUAUGAUUUCUUAUGAAGUUUGUGACAUCGUCUGCUCGUACCUCCUUUAAAGGAAUCGCUUCAGCCCAUUUAGAGAAGUAAUCGGUCGCGGCCAAGAUGUACUGAUGUUGACGUGAUGACUUAGGCUUUAUCAUGCCAAUAACAUCUAAUCCCCAAGCUUCAAAUGGCCAAGACAAAGUAGUCGGAUGUAAUUGUUGGGGUGGCUGGUGAAUAAAGUCUCCAUGUAACUGGCAAUCUUUGCAUGUGGUUGCAAAUUUUAUUGAGUCUUGGACCAUUGUUGGCCAGUAAUAACCCAAUCUCUUCAGUUGGUUUGAGAGUUUUGGACCAGCUUGAUGAGCACCGCAAGUGCCAGCAUGAGUAUCAUGAAAGGCCUUAGUUGAGUCUUGUUUCGACAGACACCUUAACAACAUACCAUCAAAUGAUCUUUUGUACAAGGUGUCAUUUAGGUACAGAAAUUGAGUGGCUCUGCGUCGGACUUCAGCCUUUUUCCUUGAGUCAUUUGGCAACUUGCCUUGUCGGAGAUACUCGAUUAUGGGAUGGCGCCAAUCAAGAUCAUCUGGUUCCCCCUCACAUUCGGAAGCCGUAAUGACGUUUGAAUCAACAACUUCCUCAAUUCUCUCUAUAGCUGGGAGUAGUAAGUGACGUUCCCCAACAGUGAUUUGGAUAUCCCUUUCAUCAGGUAGUGUUAACGAUGCAGCCAAAUUAGCUAGUGCAUCAGCUUUAUCAUUUUCCGACCUCGGGAUGUGACUAACAUGGAUGUCUUGGAACUGCGACAUGAGAUACUUUGCCCUUUCAUGGUAUGGGACGAGAGUAGUAUUCCUGACAGCGUAUUGGCCAUUCAACUGUCUAACGACUAACUGUGAAUCACCGUAUGCUUGCAAAUAAUCAAUAUGCAUCUCGAGAGCAAUUUCAAGGCCAAUGAUGAGUGCCUCGUAUUCUGCCACAUUAUUUGAACAUAAAGCUAGUAAAGAGAAUGAGUAUGGGAUUAAGCCCCCAGACGGCGUGAUGAAUACUACUCCUGCCCCAGCUCCUUUUCCUCUUGCUGCCCCAUCAAAAUAUAACUGCCAUAUAAGUGCUUCUGUCGUGAACACCUCUUCGUCGGGCAAAUCAUUAGAUAACUCCAUGUUGUCAGGAGUAGGAUGAGCAGCCAAGAAAUCAGCAAGAGCCUGCCCUUUGAUUGCCUUUUGUGGCACAAACUUUAUCUCGAACUCGGAGAGAAGGAGAGACCACUUGGCUAUUCGCCCAGAGAGCACAGGCUUGGACAUUAAAUAUCGGAGUGGAUCUGCCUUGGAAAUCAAAAUGACUCUAUGAGAGAGGAUGUAGUGUCGUAGUUUCUGUACAGCGAACACCAAAGCGAGGCAGACCUUUUCGAUCGGGGUGUAAUUUUGUUCUGCCCCUACGAGAGUUCUACUCAAGUAAUAUAACGCAUUUUCCUUUCCAUCCUCGUUGUGUUGGGCGAGCAAUGCACCUAAUGAGCGUUCUAAUGCCGCAAUGUAUAGGAUUAAAGGCUUCCCUUUGAUUGGCGCCAUUAGAACUGGCGGAUUUAACAGGUAUUGUUUAAUGCUUUCCAAAGCAUUUUGGCAUGCUUGAUCCCAUAUAAACGGAACAUCCUUCUUCAUUAGCCUUGAGAAUGGUUGACACCUUCCAGAGAGAUUUGAGAUGAAUCAUCGUAUGUAAGCUAGUCUUCCUUGCAGCCCCCGCAGCUCCCUUAAAUUUCGAGGGGGAGGCAUCUCACGGAUUGCCUUGAUUUUUGAGGGAUCAAUUUCAAUUCCACGAUGUCGGACGAUAAAGCCAAGGAAUCUACCAGAACUUACCCCAAAUGCACAUUUUAAGGGGUUCAUUUUCAACUGGUGCUUUCGGAGUCUAUCAAAAACUCGUUUUAAGUCCCUCAAAUGAUGUUCUCUUUUUCUGGUUUUGACAACCAAAUCAUCAACGUAGCAUUCAAUGGUAUUGUGAAGCAUGUCAUUGAAAAUUACCGUCAUGGCUCUUUGGUAAGUCGCCCCUGCAUUUUUCAACCCAAAAGGCAUCACAGUGUAGCAAUAUAUUCCUUUUGGAGUGCGGAAGGCAGUUUUCUCUUGAUCCUCUGGAGCCAUUUUUAUUUGGUUGUAACCUGAGAAUCCAUCCAUAAAUGAUAGAGCACCGAAACCGGUUGUUGCGUCUACCAAUAAUUCUGUAAUUGGGAGUGGAAACUCAUCUUUUGGGCAUGCAUCAUUGACGUCUCUAUAGUCCACACAUAUGCGUAGUGCCCCAGUUUUUUUGAGGACUGGGACGAUAUUGGACAACCAGGUGGGAUAUUGGACCUCUCUGAUAAAACCCGCGGCAAUAAGCUUGUCAAUCUCGAUUUCUAUUUGGAUUGUUAGCUCUGGCCGAAAACGGCGUGGAGCUUGCUUCACCCAUCGAGCCUCAUCCGGUAUCCCAAGUUUGUGAACUGCAACGUUUGGGUCUAAACCUGGCAUGUCUUGAUAACCCCAUGCAAAUACAUCUCGGUACUCUUGUAACAGUUGUGUGUAUUCUUCUAACUCUUGCGGUGUUAACAAAGCACUGACAAAGAUAGGCUUUGGGUUGUCAACCGUACCGAGAUUAAUUUCUUGCAGAUCAUCAAUUGUGGCUUGACCUCCCUCCUCCAUUUGUGGUGGAGCUGGUUGGACUAUGUCGAUGAAUUCCUCAAUAUCUUGAGGACUAUCAUCUUGGUCCACUGUUUCUUCGCAAGAGGUGCAAUUGACCUGGACAAGGUCAUCCUUUAUUUUCACCCUUUUGAUCGUUUCGAUCACAGCUUUCUCUUGACUCUUAACUUUCCAUUUCCUUUUAUUAUGGACCUUUCCUUGUUGAGAACUGGAAGGGUUCUCCAAGCGUUGAAAGACUGAGAUGCGGGGUGGUUGUCUGCCCCCUAGGCGUUUGAACACGGAGAUGCGAAUCGGCUUUAUAUUCACCUCAUCUUCUCUAAACAUGGCUUGUUCCAUAUUAGUGAGUAUCUCAGGCUCGGAGGCUUCUAGAUGUGGCCUUCGAAGAGCCACUUUGAGUCCACUACUCUCAUUUUGAACUGUGAGGCCAACAUUGCUUUUCUUUGCUUUUCGGCCUUUAAGUUCUAUCUUUAAUGGAGCAGAUGUUGUUUCUGACAAUGAUGCCUUUUUGUGAAAAACUACACGUUUACUUGGGCCAUCGUUUUUGCCAAAAGUAGUCUAAAUGACCAAACUGCCCCCAGGGAUAGACUGAUUGAUCUUACGAAGAGGACGAGUGUAACUUGCUGUUAUCAGUGACUCCAUUGUUUGUUUCAAUGAGCUUGUUUCCUUUUCACUAGGCUCCUUUUUUGAAGUCUUCACAAUUAUCUUUGGCUUGGGAGCCCUUGCAGUCGGGACUUCUCCCACUUUUGAGGAUGACGCACCACGAGGUUUUAGCUUCACUCGGAUUACUUUUGAAGGUUUAGAUACUUCUACAUUUUGGGCUUUUCCUGUUUCAACAGUCGCUCUUUUCUCUUUAUCAACCUUUGAUGGCUGUGUAAAUGAGAGACCAAGUGGGCUGUAAAACUUCGCAUCAGAGUAAUUUACCUCUUCCCCUUUGAACGGGUCCAUGUCAGCUGAAACACUCUUGACUUCCCCAUCCACCAAGUAUUUAAAGCACUGGUGAAGUGUAGAAGGGACUACGCCAUAUGUAUGGAGCCAUGGACGUCCUAGCAGGACGUUGUAUGAAGUAUCAGCCUCGAUCACAUGGAAUAGGGCGUCUGAAUAUAAGUCUCCUAUUUCCAUUUGCAAUGCGAUAGAGCCCAUGGCCUUUUGCCCAAGUUGAUUGAACCCUUGAAUAGUCAACAUAGAGGGAGACAACUGUCGGGCACUCAUCCCUAUAGCAUGGAGCGUCUUUAAUGGGAUAAUAUUCACGGCCGAACCACAAUCUAACAAGAUUCGAUUAAUGGUUGUGCCUCCAACUUCGCCAGUGACAUACAGAGGUCGAUUAUGGAAUUUGGACCCAAGUAAAAAGUCAUCUUCACCAAAGGUAAUUGCUGCCAGACAUGAUGCACAAAACUUCGAUGUUUCAGUUGUGUGGACAUCUGCUGAUUUGAAACAUGACUUAUACAAAUCUGGGUUCAUUAAAGCCAUUACAAGUGCCUCCCUAAGUUCCCUCGACAUUUGUAAAGCGUCGUAGACACUUAGAGGAGCGGGGAUGCGCUUAAGAUGAGCUAGAAUAUCAUACUUAACUAUAUGUGAUUGUGAUGGCUCCUUUGCUUUACUAGUAUCGGGCUUAGAAUCCUUUGCUUUUGGAGAGGAAGGUGGAACUUCCCCUGCAACAGUUUUUCCUGACAAGAAGACCUUAAUCUCUUUCGCCUUUGGCUUCUUCUCGGUUUUAGAGGGAUCAACUUCCUCAUUUUGUUGUGCUUUAUCAGCAGAUGGGAUGCUUCGACCGGAGCGGAGAUUAACCUCAUCAACUUCUGUGUCGACCUCAUAUUCCUCCAAAGAAACCAUGUUGCAUUGAAUGAUUUCUUCCUCACCUUCAGAUUCACUCGAGAAAAACUCAACUGGCAAAAACUCAGUGAGUGUGACAGGGACCCUUGCGGGUUGCUCAUAUUCAUCUUCUUGGGUGAUUUGAACUUUCUUUUGCACUCUCUUCUUCCUCCUCUUAUUUUUCAAGGGUGGCAUGCCUCGAAUCUUGACACCCGGACGAGUCGUAAAUCUGUGAUUGGGUGGGAGAUAUUUAGCCAUGUGCUUGGCCCUUUUAACAAAUGUCGUCCACCCCUCAGCAAAUUCGUCGGUUGAAGAAUCUUCCCAUAUUUCUAGACUAGGGGCAGCCACGAGCUCAUGAAGAGUAGGAAUUUGAAGAUCAUUAGACCAUGGUGCCUUCGGACAAGUAUGUACGAUUGUACCCCGAUGGUCGGUACUAAUACCUGCAAUUUUCGCUCCAUCUAGUAAUGCAGUGAUGGGUGUGAGCUUUUCUUCUAUCAUAUUUGCCGUAGCUGAAUGAUGUCGGGAAGAGGAGUCUAUCUCCAAGCCGCCAUUGUUGAGGAGCUCUUGGAUUUUAUCCUUCAGGAUAUAACAAUCCUUGAGCGUAUGACUGACAAGGCGAUGAUAUCGACAAUACCUAGGGUCAUCUGUCUUGUUGGCCUCAGCAGGACGUUUUGAUUCUGGCAGAGCAAUAGCAUUGGAGGCCAGAAGUUGGUCAAAGAUUGCUUCUACAUCAUCAUCAUCAAAAGAAUAUUUGACCUCUUUGCGUUCUUUAAGAGUUAGCCUUUUAGGUGGGUCUUUGUUUUGGCCUUUGUCAUUUUUCUUUUCAGUUUUGACGAAAGUGGCCAACGACUCUCCUUUCAUGGACUUCUUGUCAUUUUUCUUUUCCCCAAAUUGAAUUUUUUGGGACGCGGACUUUUGGCGAGCAAUUUGUCUUUCAACAUUGCUCGCCUUUGACACCAAAGCGUCAAAUGAUUAGGGUUCAGCAGUGGCGACAAAAGUCGCAAUGUCUGGCAUGAGGUUAUUGUAGCACAUUUGCACUGCUGAUAGCUCAGUAAUUUUCUCAGGGCAUUGAAGAUUGAGACUCCUCCAUCUCAUAAUAAAGUCAUUAGCACUUUCCCCUGGCUUUUGGGCAGUUUGAGCUAGGUCCAUGAUCGAGACCUUCUUUUUAGAACUGACAAAUUGUGCCAAAAAUGCUUUUUGCAUGUCGUCCCACGUCAAGAUAGAGCCUGGCGGUAGCUGUGUAUACCAAGUGAAAGCUGAUCCUUUUAGGGAUUGGACAAAUUGACGCACCAGGAGAGCGUCUGACUGAGAUGUCUCGCCACAUGCUAAGUAAAAAUGUGCCAGAUGUUCAUGGGGUGAGCUAUUUAUGCCAUCAAAUUUAUCAAAUAUGGGCCGUUGAUAACCCUUCGGGAAUGGUAUGGCGUCAUAGUGAGAAGGGAAGGGUUUUCGGUACCCUUGAACAGGAAGCGCUAUGGACAAUUGGAACUCACGAAUCCCCUCAGCAAUUAAUGCCUUCAUGUCGUUUGGGGAAAUUGUGCUUGUAGAGCUCUCUGCUUUUUCCUCUUUUGUUUGUUGUUCAUGGGUCAUCGAUUCAUUUGUUUUGCCCCUGUCUUGCUCUCCUAUGACGGCUUUCCCUUUCAACUUAGCUGAUAGUAACGCUAUUUCCGCGUCUUUCUCUGCUAACUUCUGCUGCAUUUCCUUUCGCAAGUCUUGCAUCAUCUCUUGGAUUAAGGGCAACUGGUCCUCAGUAUUAGAAGUACCAGUCAUCAUGACUUGCAUGCUUUCCACCCCGUCAUGAAGUUUGGCCCCUUGGGAUACUACACAAUCAUUCUCUUGAUUUUGAGAUACAGGAUCAUCAUAAAGAGGAUUCCAUUGCAAAUAAUCGUCCAAACGGGUUGAGUUUGGAGCGGAUAACUCGGGAAUAGUCAUCCCCAUCAUGUCUCGGGAUUUGGAACGAGUCAAUGGACCCAUGUAGGGCCUUGACAGCUCUUGAGAUUUCGGGACUCCCCCUUGUGAUACGGGAUUUUGAUCCCUUGAAGCAUCAGUUGUCGUCACCUUUUGCAUACGCCUUCUUUGUGGAUGAGGUAUAUUCACCACCUUCUUCUCCAUGAUGAUGGCUUUGUUUUUACCCUUAGAAGAGCACGGGUAAACCUCUUGUGAUAUGGAUUCCACAGCGUGGGUUUUUGGACUUGACGGAGGUUCGGCCCCCUGGGCCUCAGCGUUCUCCACAGAGUCGUCCUUUUGACCUUUCUCACUAGUUUCAUUGGUGGAAGUCAUCAGAACAGAAUCUGUAGGAUAUAGGUCGACCGGGAUUGAUCCAAUCAUGAUUUGGACCAAUUGGGUAGCAUUUGUCCUCUUGGAAGUCGGCACAGCCAGGGUGCUCGAGGUGUUCUUGCCUUCAGUCACAAACGGGCUUGUCCCCGAAAGCUCAACCAAAACUGCCUCAAUAGACUCCCUCUUUGCUUCUUUCUUUCCUAAAGCACGCGCAGCCCUCUUUCUUGCAUUUCGGAGAGCGUUCUUGGAAGGUGCUUUCUUCAAUUGGGUCUUGACAACCUUAGGAGUGACCUGAGGCUUGACCCUCUGAAUGGGCUUUGGAACGGCGCACUUGAUGAGGCUCUCACCAACAAUGAAAGUCUUUUUGAACCCCACUCGUUUGGUGCACGCAUUCCAGGUAGCUUCGAUCUUGUGGAAGAAAAUUGUAACUUGUGGUGCCAUCGAAUAUGGUUUUGUUAACCUGUGGCAUACACAAAAAUAAAAACAUUAGUCACUUUAUGAUUGGAGAUGAAAAGGUAAAUGGAUCCCACCGGGCGUGCCAAAAAUUAUGUUGAAGGAAAAUGUGAUCCUCCUAAUAUAAUUUCACCACCACUAAUUAAAUAACGGGGUUUUAUUAUUUUAGGUUCGACCCAUUCGAGACGCAAGUCUCUUAAUUACAAUCCCUUGCUUCAAGGGAACACCCUUUGAUUCCAUCAUAAAGAAACAGAACGUUUGUGUUUGAUUUUGCAACUGCUCCCAAGUCCAACCUCAGGAUGCCUACGUAUCCCUUGCGGGAAUCAAGCCACUCGUAGUUCAAAGAAUCGCAAUGAAUAAAUGACUCAUUGCGAGGGAAAUUUGAUUUGAAUUGUACUGAGAAGUGUUUGAGUGAAUUUAGCUGAAUAAACCAGGGAUUCGAUAUGGGAUUGCAUUUGGGAUGGUUGCAUCUAGAUUGAAUCUCUAGAUUGCCUACGUACCCUUUCAAAGGGAUCAAACCAACGUAGUUCGGAAUUUGGAAAUCAACGGGCAAGUGUGGCCCACUAAUUGAGAAUUUCUGUUUAAGAGACUUGGAUUUAAUCUCAUUAGAGUUUUCAUGGGUAGAUGACCCAUGGAAAAUUGGAUGGUUUUGUACCACUUUCGUUGUUGUCCAUGUCCAAGAAAAAUAAUGAGUAAUUUUAAUUAUCCCAUUAAUUUUUCCUAAACAUUGACAAUUGCGUUUGGGGAUUUCCAUAGGUAGAUGACCUAUGGGAAAAUUUGGAAAUUAAUGGAUAAGUGUGGCCCACUAAUUAAGAAUUUGUAUUUGAGAGAUUUAGAAUUACUCUCAAUGAAAUUUUGCAUGGGUAGAUGACCCAUGGGAAAUAUUAGAAAUUAAUGGGUAAGUGUAGCCCACUAAUUGAGAACUUGAAUUUGAGAGAUUUGAAUUUAAUCUCAAUGAAAUUUGUAUGGGUAGAUGACCCAUGAAAAAUUGAAUGGUUUUGUACCAUUUUUCUGGUUGUCAAUGUCCAAGAAAAAUAAUGAGUAAUUUUGAUUAUCCCAUUAAUUUUCCCUAAAAAAUUGACAAUUGCACUUGGGAAAGUGUUUUUUUUUGGCGAAAUCUGGUUAAGAUAAGCCAGAGAUUUAUACUUGAUUGCGGUUGCGUCUAUUGGGAUGUUAGACUGCCUACGUACCCUUGACGGGAUCAAACCGACGUAGUUCCAAAUUUAGGAAGUUAAUGGGUAACUGUGGCCCACUAAUUGAGAAUUUGUGUCUUUGGGACAAUUUGGAGAUUUUCAUAGGUAGAUGACCUAUGGAAAAAAUUGGAAAUUAACGGGUAAGUGUAGCCCACUAAUUAAGAAUUUGUGUUUGAGAUAUUUGAAUUUAAUCUCAUUUGGAAUUUGCAUGGGUAGAUGACCCAUGGAGAAAAUUGGAUGGUUUUAUACCAUUUUUCUUUUUGUCAAUGUCCAAGGAAAAUAAUGAGCAAUUUUGAUGAACCCACUAAUUCUCUACAAUUGACAUUUGCAUUUGUAUCCAUGCAUGAUUUGGAGGAUUUGAGAUUAAUGGGCUUUUUUGAUCAACAAAACCCAUUAAUCCAUAUUGAUGCUCCUUUAAAAUCUUUUGGGAGUUGAGCUUAAUGCUCCGCGUGUGACAAAUAAUUUAUUUGGACUGGAGUCACCGUCACAGCAUGGUUGAGUCACUUGGCACUCUUUUCUGAAUCGCUUCUUUGCCACAAUGGUUGAUUCCCACAUUUCUUAGUGUGGCUUUUGAAGUGGUUUUGUACCCCUUGACAUCUGGUGUGGUUUUGUACUACUUGAGUCUUCACUUGACGUUGAGUCUUCACUUGACGAUUUGAGAAUUAAUGGGCAUUUUUGGAAUUUAAGCCCAUAAUCCAUCAUUUGCGGACUUCAGGAAUUGGAGACUCAAAGGAAAUCUCAAACAAAGUGGCUGACGCCAUUUGACUUUUCUUCCCUUAUUUCGGUGCGAGUCUUCCUCUUCGUUUAUUUGUUGUUGCCAUGUGCAGCACCAAGCCAAUCCCUCUUUCGUCUUUCUUUGGUUUUGACUUGUUUUUUUUUUCUUUGUUUUUGGUUUGCUGCACAACACCAAGCUGCCAACAAGACGUGGCUAUCCUUUUUUCUUCAUUUUGUUUGUUUGUUGUUGCUAUGUGCAACAACACCAAGUUGCCAAAACGUGGCUGUCUUCAAUAACUUUUUUUUUUUUAGUUCACGUGUCUGUAUGGCAACAUCAGUGGUUUGAACAAGUUGGUUGUCUUGAGCCUUUCCUCCACCCCAUAUGACGAGCAGCAUUUCUUGACUUCCACAAGUCUGCAAAGGGAACUAGCCUUUUUCUUGAUGGUGGAUCAUUGUUAUCACAAAAAAAAUGAUAUUUGUGUGCCUUAUCCAGCUGGUUCUUUUCGGCUUGGUGCCAAAAGUAAAUGUCUUUUAAUUUGAUCAAGACACCCAAGGGAUAGAAAUUCUUCUCCAAGUGAAGUAUGGAUUAAACUCCUUAUUGAUUUGGAGCUGGUGGAUCAUCCAGUGAAGUAAACUUCUUGUCCACAUAGGAUUGGGUUGUCUUCCUUAUAAAAAGGAAAACAUGUGUGCACCAGCAAACAGCCACAAAACGAAAGUCUUAACAUUAUUCUUCGUUUGCUUCUCCAGACCAGCCCAUAGCUUUGCUCAAGCCACUUGUUGCACCAUCAAACAGAAGAGGAUUUCACGUGGUAACCCACAUGCCAUUCCUUAGUUCUUCUCUUUUAUUUUAUUUAUUGAUUGAACUAACUAGGAUUUUUUUGGCAUGGGCAGCAAUAGCUGUAGCAAUUGAAGAGCCUCCAAUUAAUUGGAUGCUUCCGGGCUGACUUGGAACCAAAAGAGACAAUUUCUCUUAUUGUCCUUUGUGUGCUGUAACCUUCCCAAGGUCAAUAACCCAAGACAAAGGGAAAGAGAAAUCAUCUUGCCUUUCACGUGGUAACCCACCCCUUGACAAAUGUCUUUUUUCUUUUGUCUGUUUCCAUGUUUCUGACCUCUUGUCUUCUCUUUUGUAUGUAGAGGCUGUGCUGCCAGCUUGAAGGCUUUGGAGUUUGGUGGAGGAAACCAUCUGUCAUUUUGCUUCAGAAACCCAAGAAAGAACUUGUGGUACUUGCUUUGCCAGCUCCUCUUUUUUUUUGUUUGCUAUUGCUGUACUUUUACCACUGCUCAUAUCCAUUUCUUUUACUCAAUUUCCAGUCAAAGAAACAUUCAAGAGGGGGAGGAGGGGCUGUGCGAUACAGCCCCCCUUUUUUUUUAUUCCAUCACCUUUUUUUAUGUCCCUUGUUUUGUCUCUUUGCAAACAAAACACAAGAACAAAGUCAGCCACCAUUUUUUUACUCCAUUAUUUCUUCUUCCUUACUCCUUUUUUUCAAUCAAAGCAGACCAACAGAGGGAGGGAGGGCUGUGCGUCACAGCCCCCCUUUUAUUUAUUUUUUUUUUCAACUCCUCUUUGCAGCAAAACACAAGAAGCAAACCCACCAUUUUCUUUUGCUCCAUUACCUCUCCCUCCGCUGGCUCUCUUCUCCUUCUCUUUUUGUCUUUUUUUCCUUCUUUGUUGACUUGCUGGCGGCAGCUGCCCAUAGGGAGGCAAUUCAAUUGCCGUGCGCCCCUUUUGGUUUCGGAUGCUUCAUACAAGCCUUCUCUCUUUUGAUUUUGAUCCCAUGGUGGGUUCAUCUCUACAUCCAUGAUUUGAGGGAUUCUUUGCUCCUGGAAGAGCUUAUUUGAUGGUGCAUGAUGGAAUAGACUAUGCCAUAAAACAUGAUGAUUGAAAUCAUCAUGUAAGGCAAACUUGAAAACACUGCUGGAGUUCUUUGAGCGGAGCCAAGCCUCGGAGAGAUUCUUCCUUGGUUAUGAUGAUUUCAAUCAUCAUAGCCAAGAAUUUAUGUGGACCUUUUUAUGAUGAUAGAAAUCAUCAUGGUCAGGAACCCUUGAGUUGAAUGGAACCUGAAAUCUUGAGCAAAAAAUCAGAACAUGGUGCCAUGGAACUAAUCUUUUUACCUUGAAAUGGCUCUUUCCUUUCUCAAGGCUGCUUGCUAAUUUUUCUUCUUGCUAUGACUGUUCUCCUUUCUGCUCUUUUUCUGUCCUCCUGCUGUUCUCCUCCCUUUCUUCCUUCUUUUUUUUUUCUCCUGCUGUUCUCCUCCCUGCGUUUUUUCUUUUUUUUUUUUUGUCCUCCCCUCGUGUCAUGCCUCUUAUAGAGGCUAUCUUAUGAUGAGUUUUAAUUCCAGCUGAUGACCACUUCUCAACUGAGAUACUUAUCUCUUGUUGUUUCAAAACCACUGAAAUACAUCUAUUUUAUUUUUAAAUGUUUUUCUUGAUAAGAUUGCAGGGACAAAACAAAUUCAAUCCUAAACCAAGUCAAACUCUUGGCUAAUUGUUUUUUGUGAAAAUUUUCCGUUCAACAGAUGCCUUCUCAAGCGUUGUGCAUGAAAUGACUUUUUAUGUGCAACGCUUGAUAGCUUUUCCUUUGAACUGCGCAUCCCCUGACUUUUCUUGUAUUAAUUAAUUUUUUUUUUGGUUGAAAAAUUCAGGAAAUGGACGCGCAAGGUCGAUUCGGGUUUGAGCGAGUCUUUGAUUCGCAUGGUAGGGAAUUUGUCUCUGGCCCCCAAUAUGCGAGAUCACUGCCUUUGAGAUCUGUGAAGCUUAAUGUACCCCCUGAAGGCCGUGCAACCUGGUAUACCACCGCCUCCGUAAAUUCGGGGUAUCUUGAAUUCAAACCCCACGCAGAAGAUAAGGUGAUUUCAGUAUGCCAAACGCAUCGUGCUGUGUUUACCGCCCAUUGUUUGGAGGAUGUGAAUAAUGAAGUGGAUGGAGACAUGAAAUUCCAAAUCAAAGAUCUUCCCACACGUGAUGAUUUUUACCCCGCUUUGCAUAGAAUGAUCAAGAGUAAGUUGGAGUGGGGGCCCCAGUAUCAGUUCUAUGGCCGAGCCACUUUUGAAAUUGGCGUUGCGGAGUGGACAAAAUGCGUUAUGAGUGACUUUGGAGACAUAUUGCAUAAGGCAAAAAUAUAUUGUGCCGUAGCAAUUUCCCGAUAUCCUUACGAGUGUUGCCCAAAUAUAUGGAGAGCAUUUUGUGAAUUAUGGGGGCCCUUGUGCAACACCUUUCAUCAUGGCAAUGGUGAGAUGGGGAUUUCUCUCUAUGACAUGAAAGUCAUUUGUGGGUUGCCAAUCUUGGGAGAUGUCCAGUAUGAGGAAUUUAUUCCCCAAAAUAAAGACUUGCAACAAAAUGGAGCAUAUCCUCCGACUAUCACUGAACUUUUGAAGAUCCACUCCCAAUUAUGUAUUUAUCAUAAUCAGUCUACCGUCAGCUGGGCCCAAUGGAUUGGGCACUUUUAUCGGGCGAAGAUUAUUUAUAAGGCCUUUGGGAAUGGCAAGAGGAAACCUCAAGAUCAACUUUUAAGGGCUCCCGAAAUCACUUUACGUAUUUCAAAGGAAGGGGGGUUGGCUGCAUUCUUGGCACUUUGGUUGAGUAGAUUUGUGUUACCUUCCGUGGAUCGCAACGUCAGACCUGAAACUUUUCAUAUGGCAUGUUUGAUGGCACAAGGGGUCAGAGUUUCACUUGCACCACCUGUUUUGGGGUAUAUUUACCAUGGUCUUGGAGAAAUUGCCACUCACCCAGAAGGUCCCAGCUUGUCAAGUGCUUCCUUCCCAAUUCAUUAUGUUAUCGGUUGGUUAGGCGAACAUAUUCCAGGAUUGUACCUACCACAAACUGACAAGGAAUUUGUCAAAGACUACCCUUUUUUGGUGAGGUACGCGGGUGUUAAGCCAAAAGGUUUUAGGCUUAAUCAUGCCAGAAUUAUAUUCCGUAGUGACAAAGAAUUAAUCUAUCGCCCAACCACGUUUACUGAAGAUGAAGGCCGUUCCUUUGUUGACAAGAAGGCUCUAUCAGACAGAAAAUUUGAAUUUCUAGUUUGCACACGUUAUGCGCUUUUGCCGGUGAGGGUGAACAACAAUCUUUGGUUGGAACCAUACUACCCGAAUAGAUUCGCGCGUCAAUUUGGUUUUGACCAAGGUGUCCCUUCGAACAAGCUUUCCUUUAGCGUUCGUGACAGGUGCAAGUGUGGCAUGGAGGAUUUGGCCAUAGCACAAAUCACUUUACUUAGAAGAGAUACCACAGCUGGAUUUUAUAUCCCACGCUAUACUCGUGUUGGAGUUUGCACUUGGUGGUAUUGCAAAUGGUGGAUGGGGUCAUCAGCACUAUAUAUGGGAUUAUCUGUAGCUAGAAUUUUCUUGCCUUCUAGAAAACACCUCGAAAGGCACGAUAAUAUUUUUAUUGUUAGGCCGGAGAAUCAAGGCCCCACAAGUUGUCAAAAAGAGGUCUCCAACAAACGUCAUUCUUCGCGUAGUGACAACAACAAGAGUCCAAAACGAAUUCGAAGCCAGAAUCUUGACCAUCCAGUUGAUGAGGGAGUCAGUUCCUCCCAUGCCGAUGCUGCUACUCUUAUCAGAGACUUGGUUUUCCCCAUGAAUGACGGGCCAUCCGAACAAGGUAGUACCACGAACUUCCCAAGUGAAGCAGAUGAUGCUCAAGAAGUGAGCAAUGAACUGAAUGCUACAGUCGUUGCUCCUGAUGUGAGUAAUGAUCCAAAUGAGACAGACGAUAUUGUUGAAGAUGACUGCCCCUUGCCAUUGGUAGAAUACUUGCCCUCCUCACCUUAUGUGAAGAAUUUCAUUCACCGCAUUCUUGGUCCAAGUGUGGCUCCACGUAGGCGAAGGUUCAUUGCUGAGGAAAUGCAAGACAUCUUUGAUAGAAUUUCUUCUUCCAAAUCACCUAUAGACCUACUAGCUCACCGUGAUCAUAUUUUGGGGGCACUUGGUCUCUUGCGACCUAUGAUUAAUACCCUUGAAUCAGGCCAGGAUGAGUUUCAGGAAUUUGAAACGACUAUCCAACACAUUUUCGAGUUGGUCACUUCAUUUUCCAAGAACGUUGCCUUUGUGGGAGAACAUGCCCAUCUAGAUGUUGACCGCAUCAAUGCUUUGAUCACCCAAUAUGAGCAGUGCUUCGCUGCCAUAAAAACCAUGAGCGUGCAUCUAAUAGAACUUAAUAGUGAGCUUGCUGAUGUGAAUGCCACAGUGGUUGAUGUUGAAAAGGCAGAGAAGGAAGCUGAAGAGGCAGCAAGACGAGCUCAUGAAAUGCGACAACAGUUUGAAUCGAAGACAAGUGCCCUUAAAGAACGUGCAAACGAUUUGCAGCAAUCUUUAGACCAACAAUUCGAAAAGGAAAUUGGGCUUCGACAAUAGUCGCAUUUUCUUAGAAUCCAAACGGAGCCAAAAUUAAAAGAAAAUCAAACAAAAACAAAAAUUAGGAGGAUGAUGACUGACUUGUUGAGGAGGCGCAUACUCGGACUGGUACUCUUCCUCGUUUCUGAGGAUUCUGAGGAUGUUAGCUUCCAUGGGCGACUUGGGAAGUGUCUCAGACGCGUAAGGUCUGUUUUGGAAGAAAAAGGCUGAGAUUGCUUUCCGCAGUUGCAGCGGAGGAUUUCGGUGGUGUUGAAUGCCAUUGGUUUCCUUUAACAAAUGGGUAAGUUUCUGAUUUUGUGCAGAGUUUGGUUCCCUAUCACCAAAAGAUCAACAUUCAAAGUCAAUCUCCCACCAUCUGCCACUGUCAUCCUUCCCUAAAUUAUCAUUCACUCCACCACCAACAAUGCCUUCAAUUUCCUCCUCUUCGCUUUCACCAUCAAUCUCAUCAUCCCAGUUAUGCACACUUUGGUCCUCAUCUGGCUUGUACGUCUACUCCAAUCUCUUCAACACAUCACGGUCUUUCCAUUUCCCCACAACCGACACUGCCUCCUUCUUCGCCUUCCCAAUUAGAAUUUCGUUCCAAGAAAACCCCGAAUCCGCAACCUUCUUCAGAGCCCCGUCGCCAAAUCCCCCAUAACCACCGUCUUGAGGCAUCUCAGCUUGGCCUCCAUCACAACAUCCACGAAAUCCAAAUCAUCCGACACAAGCAUCAAACACUCAGCUCUCCUGUGAUCCAUCAUAUCCACAAUGUGAUUCCUCAAUGCAGCAUCCGCCCUCUGAGGUUUAUCCACCACGCUCCGAACCCAAAACCAGCCCGCUUCACCUCAUCCGCCAAACCCCUCCCUGCCUUGGGUGUCAAAACAUCCCUUGCAGCAUUCUUAUACUUUUCCAUCUUCAUUGAAUACUUACCAACCAGCUUCACCCUCCUGCUCCCUCUAGCAGACUCAAUCUGGCUCAACCUCUUCAUAUGCUCUUUUUCAUGAAUCUUAAAGUGGUUCAAAAGCUUCUCAUUAGUAUAAAAUCUCCUCCCGCAAACCCUACAAACGUUCAGUUCACCAUCCCUAAUCACAACCCUGUUCCUCUCUUUCCUUUCCCUAACAACCUGUGGAACAUAAUCAAGUGCAUGGCGGUUUGCAUAUGCUAUCAUAUGCCGAACAAGCCUGAAAGACGAAGCUGCCGUCUUGAGCUUAACGGCAGCUUCGUAGGGCGAGACUGAUUUGGGUGGUUUGGUAUCCAAAUCCCAGAAAAUCGCAAUUUCUGGAAUUUUUUCGGGUGGCAAACACGAUGUUGGGCUCGAAGAAUUAAAACCCGGUUCUGAUUGGAAAUGGCAAUAUCUAAUCAACAGGGUAAAUGGGUUUAGGGUUUCUGACCUUUUGGAUUGAACUGUACAGAAAAUGUGGUGAAAUUUGAGAUGUUUAAGCAUUUCCACGGGUUUCAAGGUCGGUGUUUUUUAUUUUCGAUGAACUGCAAAAAGAAACAAGAGACCAAUAAACGAUAAUAGAGAAACCAGAGGAAACAGAGAGCCUUGUGAACUUGAAGCUUACGAGUAAGCAUUGAGUUUUCGCCGAGUUCGGCUCGUAUGAAUGUGACUUGGUUUUUUAGCGGGUUUUUCCUUUUUCUCGUAAAUUCGUUUUAAAACCCGAUUUUACAAAUUCGCUAAUUUUUCCUUCCUCUAUAAACUCAAAAUGGAAAAACAAUUUCACUAAACUCAACCAAAAAAAAAAAGAAGAAUUUAUCUUGCCUAUCCUCUCUCUAGAAUGCUAGGUAUGAUGAAUAUGGCUUUUUUUAUCUUUUUAAUUCUUUAAGUUUUAGUAACGAUUGUGAUGAAAAUUAUACUUAAAAAAUAGUAAAAGAUAACAGUGAACAAAGCCAAACAAUCCAAAUAGUAAUAUAAACCCAAAUAUUAAAUUGCACUGAAAUUUCGUACCUGGAGGCAACUGAGGAAUGGGAUCAGGCAGAGAGAAAGGUUCAGGCUCUGGAUCAGGCAAAAAUCAAAGCUUUUUACUCUGAAGGCGCUCACGAAGGCCAGAUACGCCGUGAGAGAAGGAGACUUGGGGCAAUUCCUUCAAAUUGUACACAUGUUUUCUUUGAGAAGCAAAGCUCUAGUAAUAAGGAAGUUGGUCGAGGUCGUGACAGGGAUGAUUGAUGGUGUGAAAUGGAUGCUAUUUCUUAUGGCAAGGCCAACUCUAUAAAUGAAAUUUGCUAUCCCUUCAAAUUGUACACAUGUUUUCUCUUUGAGGAAUCAAACAGUAUUCUGAUGACAUUAUUUACAAUGAGGAAUUUGGAAUUAGUUUCUAGAAUAAAUUGUUUGGUUGGUCAUUAAAAAUAUUAAUUUCUUGUGUUAAGAAAAUUACACUUUAUAUGUAAUGGUGGGGUUGGGGAAAAGAAAGAAAUCUGCAAAUAAUAACACACAUAACACAAGUCAUGUAGAUAUUAUGUUGAAGUUUUGAAGAAGCUCAUCUAUAUACUGAUUAUAAUAUAAAAAAAGUUAAACAUUCAAAAUUCCACAAAUUGUCGUAGUUAAUGAAAAUGUUAAAGGAGAAUGCAAUUCAUUAAUUAAGAUAAAAUAAUACAUUCACAAUGUGUUUAAAUUGAAAUAAAUAAAUAAAGAACACAAGAAAAGUUGCUCAUAAAACUAAGAGAUAAUCACUUUCAAAACUUUACACUAUUUUGGAUAAAUUUUAUUUAAAAAGUUAUAAACUCAAUUUUUAACAAUUAAAAAAACAAAAUAAUAAAAAUAAAAAAUAUCCAAUUGGCACACACUAAUGCGUGUGGCAAGGAGCUAGUUAUAUUUAUACGAUGAAACAACGAAGUACAUAACAUGUUGAUGUCAAAAUUUGAUCAACGAGACUAAAACCAUAAAGCCAUAAAAACACACGAAAAAACACUCACAAUAUAACGUUGUUCACUCAAAUUCAUGUUUCGUUUAGGAUCACUAGUGUAGGUUUCACCAUACAGUUUAUUUUGUUAAGGAAUAUUAUAGGUUCUUAUAUUCUUACAAUAAAAAAGAAUAUUAGGUUCUGAUAUUCUUACCAUAAAAUUGGCUCAAAUUGAUAUGUUCCCUCUUUUUUUUGUUUCUCUCUUUUCCUUUUCAUUUUAUGCUUUGCUGUGCUAUUGCUAAGUUGAUCCGACAGCUAGCAAUAACUUCCCCACCUUUCAUUUUAUGCUUUAUUGGUGACCAGGGAUGCUUAGCAACUUUCUUCAUCCGCCCUUCUUCCCAUGUACUAACCGGUGAUAGGUCAGCAUCUUAGAUAAGAAUCCCAACCCAAUCAAACAGUGACAUCUGUAAAUAUUCAAAAUUGGAAUUUGCUGGUGAUAGUUGAUGAUUGCAUCUUUGUCCGACCAAAAAUAAAAAGAAAAAAAAAAUUGGAAUUUUGCUGGAGUUGCUUCCUUGACUUUUCCACCUUUGUAUGCAGUCCAUUUUACACAAGGAGCCACGUUUGAGAGAUAGCAAUAAACAUGUAGAGAUGGAUAAAUAGAGAGGGAGAAAGAGAGGGAGCGAGCUUUCUGUAUUUACACCGUUCAGGGGAAAAGAAAAAAAACUAUUUCAUGCCAAACUAACUACGGAUUCUUUAAUUGAAAAAAUAACCACAUAUUAAUCAUCCUUUGGAACAUAAAUGCCCCGGUAAUUGGCACUAAAGUAUCUAAAGUUUACGAAAUUAAGGAUUUUGAUGCAAACCUAAAUUUGGAAAAGAGGGCACCAAUUCAUGUAAAAUAUGGUGUACUUAGUAUUAGGGUAUUGUGUGAUAGAGUGCAUUAAGGUAUUUUUUGUAUACCAUAAGGUGUACUUAGUUAAUUUUACAUUUUGAUUUAAAUAUUAGGGUGUAUCUAUAUCAUAAGGUGUACUUAGUUAAUUUUAGAUUUCGUUUAACAACAACAACCACUACUACAUUUUAGUAUUUGCGCGACGAAUCCAAUUUCGUCGCGUAGACUAACUUCUAGUCGCACGAAUGCAAGCGCGACAUAAAAAUCGUCGCGCGUUAUCUGUCGCGCAAAGAUCGUGAAGAAAGACUUUGAGCGACCGAUUCUACGACUCGUCGCGCAAUUUUGUGCGACGGUUAUCCUUCGUUACACAAAAGGUUCAGAGACGACGAAAACGUUCGUCGCACAAAAUUACGCGCGACGAAAGUAGAUUCGUCGCCACAACAAUGCACGGCGAAUAAUUUUCAUCGCGCAAUACGUCUCGUAGACAUUUGCGGCACCAAGAGUUCAUCGUCGCGCAAUUCGGUACACGUAUUGCGCGACGAAACAAUCACUACAAGGAAAAUCCCUUUUAGCGACGAAACAGGAUGGUCGCUAUAACACCAAAUUUCGUCGCCAAAGAAAAAUAGCGACGAAUAUUUUUGGUUGCCAAGGUCGUCGUGGAAAGCUCGUGGCUAAAAGAUACAAUGCGACGAAAUAGGAUUUCGUCGCUAAAAGAUUUUGGCGACCAAAUGUGUCGUCGCUAAACAGCUCUAAGUUGGUCGCCUAUAGAAAGGGAGUUGCCACCAAUACCAAAAAUUCCCGCGAACAUGGAAUUAUUUGGCGACGAAAUAAAUAUUUGGUCGCCUGAAUAUUUCAGCGACGAAUUUUUUGGUCGUGAAAGAUGUAGUUUAUUUGUAGCAUAUGUUAGUUGGUUUGGUUAUUUUCAUAAUGAGCGACGAAACUGAUUGGUCGCCAAAACUAUAGGUAUUGGUAUUAUCAGAUGGAGCGACGAAAACUAAUUCGUCGCCAAGAUGUGUAUUUAUUUAUUUAUUCUAUAUAAUUAUUUAUAUUUCAAUCUUUGUAACAGAAUAUUAAUUAGUCCAUAAAGAUUUUGAAAAACAGUAAAUAGAUGAAAUUAAUAGAAAUAGGAUAAUUACUAUUCAAAAAGAUACUAGUUGUUUAAGCACACAUCAGUGUAUUCUAGAUACAAAAGUCCCCAAGGUAUGUAUGCUAGAUACAAAAACCAUCAAGUAGCUGGAUACAGAAGCCCCAUAGAACCCCCAAGGAAGGCUAGAUACAAAAACCAUCAAGUAUGUAGAUGUACACACAACCUAAUGACUAUUUCCAAUAUCAUCAAGAUCUUCAUAAACAUUACGUGAACCACCACUAUUACCUUGAUCAUCAUGACAAGGAUAAUCACCAACAUGCUGGGACGGAACUAAAUGUGAGGGUAGAGGACCAUCAUGGGUUCGCAUCCACUCAAUGACAUCCAAAAGUUUACCCACUGUGCCCUGAAGCUCACUUACUGUGCCUUUCAACUCACCAACUGUGCUUUGAAGUUCCUCAACCUUUUGCUCUGUAGCACAAGAAGAGGCAAAUCCACCACUAUGCGAACUCUCCACUCGGAGACUAGAACCCAAGCCUCGAAUCCUCUUGCCCUUUGCAACCCCAAGUUCUACAGUCAUGAUCUCUAACUGUUGUGGGAUAGGGAGUAUGACUUGAUCUAGUGGAGUUCCUGAACUCUCUGCCACUUGUUGCUUGGCUUUCUCAUACUCUUCAUUCAUCUUCUUCUACAAAAAGAAGCAAAAUAUAGAUAUGUCAAUAUAUAUAAAUGCAUAAAAAGAAUGAAGUAAAUGGGAUGCCAGUAUGAUCAAUUGUGUUCAUAAACUAGCAAUGCCAAUUAUCCUAAUCAAACAGUCACAAUUAAAAAAAAAAAAUUCAACUUGAAGCAAAUAAUAAAAGGAAAAGGCACAUAAAAAAUGGAAUAGAUCUCUUCGGAUAUGCAGAUUACAGAAAGUUUGAAAAUACUCACAGAUCUUAUAAGAUCUUUUUGAGCAUCUCCUGAAAGCAACAACAAUACAAACAAGAAAAUUCCAAAAACAGGGAUUAUAAAUAUUUGCCCAGCAACAUGGCCCCCUUAUAAUUGGGUCUAUUUUAACUUCUAAGAGCACAACGGGUUAUUAGAACUGAAUAUGUUUAAUAGGUGUUUGGAAUUGGGCCUCCAAAGAGGAAGAGAAGUACAACUGCAGCAGCUCUGUUUCAAAACGAUCUUAGCAUGCACUUUUUUUGGUUGUCAAUAUAUAAGAUCAUGAAAAAUUUAGAAAACUCAAGACACAUAUCUUCAUUGUGUUUCUAAUUAAUUAGUUCUAUUUGCAAUGGAUAAAGCCUUUAUAUGAUGCUAAAACCAAAGUACACAAUUAGCAUCUAAAAUAAUGGGCCGUCAAAAACUUGCAUGACCAGUUGGCUGAUCUUUUGGAUUGCAGAUUAUGCAAGUCAAUAGUUAAUUGUUAGCAGGUUUAUGUAUGCCUUACCCCUUUAAUUUCAGCAGCCUCGUUGAUCCACAUGCUCUUACCCUUAAGCAUAUGCAUGUUGUUCCAAUUGCUAAUGUAUGUAGGAUUUUCACCCUUCUACAUUUUCCCAACAAAAAGAAAAUUAGAAAUACUUGAAAUUAUUACAAUAUAAUAAAUAAAGAAAGAUUUAAAGUGACCAAAAAUUAUAAACCUCUCUAGCAGCUUCCAUAUGUUUUAGGAAAGGACGUGACCCCCCUGUAUGAUCGAACUCUUUCUUUUUUCUGUUCUCAGCAUUGGUCUUGCAGCGUUGCUGUUUUGAUUAAAUACAUGAAUUGUUUUUUUUUUCUUUUUUCUAUUUGAUACUUAGAAUAAGUUCCCAAUCAAAAAAAAUGAAAACAGCAGAUGUUAUGAUACAUUAAAUACCUGAUAUUGCUCAUUUGUGUACAACGUAUCAACCAAAUAAUGCCACUCUUCUAGAGUCCUUCGAGUACCAAAGAUCUUUUCAGGGGGAGGUGUUUCUCGUGCAAGAGCAGGGUCAGAAGCAUAUUGCUUAUAGUGUCUGUGGAGCUUUGCUUUCCAUUCUUUAUAAGUUGAGUGCAUAUGGUCAUUAAUAAAUUUCCAUAUAUCCGGAUCCAUUAAGUCCACAUCAAACAUGAACUAAUAUCAAUUAACCAUAAACAAAACAAGUAUUAGUUAUAAUUUUGCAAUGCAAAUAGAAACAUUGAAGGACAAAUUUUUCAGUUCCCCCUAGAAUACAAUGAAGAAUUGAAAUAAAAAGAGAGCUAAAUGAACAAAAUUAAAUUAUAAUCAACGAAGAAUUAGAUAAGAUUACCUGCAAUCCCAGUGCCAUAUCUUUCUUCAUCUCCAAGCUCACUUUUUUCAUCCCUAAAACAUUCAAUGGAGCUUUAUUGCGAGUGAUUAACCCAAUCUCAGAGACGAACAGUUUCUGAGCCUCAAUAGUCGCCACCAAUUUCUGGGAUGGAUCCAUCCGUAUUGGAAUCAAACUCUUCCUUUUUUUCACAACAUCACAAGUGCCAGCCCCCACAGUUCGGCCACGAGUGUUCUUCCUCUGUGGAGAAGUUUGAGUAUGCGUUCCCUCAUCUAGAGACCCAAAAAAAAAAAACAAAAAACAGUAACUAGAGUGCACCAAAUAAAGGUAUAAAAAUUAAAUGCACAAAAUAUGGUAUCAGUUACCCUGUUGGUGGGAACCCCCUCCUGAGGCUGAUGAAGUACCUUGUUGUGGCUGAGUUGAUUGUUGUUGUGGCAGCUGACAUGGUUGCUCAAGUGGUUGUGGUGGUAGUAGAGUUGAAGUUUUCUUCCUAUUGUUAUUGUUGCUUAAGGUAGCAGCCCUCGUAAGUGUCAUUCUACAAUUACAGACACAUAAACAAAGAGAGAAUACAACAAUAUACUACCAGAUCAUUCCUUGAAAAAAUAAACAUAAAUUAUUGAACAUCAUACUUCAGCUGUAAUGAAUUGAUUCUCAUCACAAACAUGCUUGAGAUAAAUGAAUUAUUCAUCUAAAAAUAAUUGAACAUAAUAUUUUAUCAAUAGGAAAGAAAAAUAACAUGCACAUGCAUUUCAUUACAUGGGGGAGGACACAUGCAAACCUUAUCCGAAGAUAUUUCUUCAAUAUACAGACCUUACCCCUUAAAACAGAUUAAGAAAAACAUAUAGUAACUUGAAGAUAAUUAAGAAACAUAUAGUGCCUAAACAAAAGACAGCCUAACACUUCAAUCCCAAAUCACUAUAAUCAUCACUGUGAACACUGCCUUCAUCAUCACCCGAAUGUAUUUCUUCAAUAUCAUCAUCAUCAAUAAAAUCUUCAUCCUCCAUAUCAGUUGGGACAUGUUCAAAAUUAAUAUCUUCGACAACAAUUUCAGGUUCAACAUACUCUCUACGAAGUGAUGGACUGAGUAGAACAUUAUCUUCUGGUGCAUGUCUGACACUAAUAUGUGCAAUUUGGUCCACAUCAUCGUUGUAUAGUGUUUCUGCCUCGUGAGCCACCUCAUUCUCAAGAACAUCCCACACAUGUCUAUGUGGAAUUUUUUGAAUUACCUUCCAACCAUGACCCAAGGAUGGGUCAUCAAGGAAAAAGAUUUGCUGUGCUUGUUUUGCUAGCACAUAAGGAUCAUCUUUGUACCAUAAAUUCAUUGAGUUCACUGACGUGAGAUGGUAAUCAUGAACAAGCCUAACAAUCUUUUUCUUUCGCUUCACAUCUGUACUUGUAUUGUACCACUCACACUUAAAAAGGAUAACAUGAUAGCCAUAUGUGAAUCCUAUUUUAACAACACUAACUAAUCUACCAUAAAAAUUACUUUCCUGAUCAGCAUGAGUUCCUGGUACCAUGACCCCACUAUUUUGAGUUGUGCGAGUUUCUUCUAUAUCUUUGACAUGCCACCGAAUUCCGUUCACAACACAUCCUGUAUACGUACAAACUCUUUCAUCAGGACCAUAUGAUAAUGCAUACACUUCUUUAGUCACCAAUGUUGAUUCCUCACUAUACAAUGCUUUGACAUGAUGCUUGAACCAUUGGGGAAACGACUGCCUAUGUCUAUGUUCUAUGUUAAACAAGCUUUCACGCUCUAAUAUUUGACGAUGCUCACUGAAAAAAUAAAUAGAAAGUUAAAUCAAAGCAAUAAGAAAACAGAGUGAUAAAAAUAGAAUUAAUUACAUUUACAUACUUUCUAAAUGGUUCAAUUUCCUCGCAAUUGUCCAAGAUAUACCAAUAAAUUGGUUCCAUUUCUCCUUCAGACAAUUGAAGAAAUUUAUAGCCAUUAAAGGGCCGUGCAUUUUGAGAAAAUACUGAGAGCUUAACAUUGGCUUCGCCACCAUCAUCAUUUCGUUCAGGACGAGAGAAAACAGUCUCCACAUUACGAAAAUACAUUGAACAAAAAGUUAAUGCUUCAUUUGCAAUGUAUCCCUCAACAAUUGAACCUUCUGGUCUAGCUCUAUUACGUACAUAGCCCUUUAACUUUCCUAGCAUCCUGUUAAUCAUUGUAUAUUAAUAUUUUAAAUACAAAUGAAAGAGAAUCUAAUCAAAAUAAAUAUAAAAAGAUGAUGACUGAGUAUUACCUCUCUAUCGGGUACAUCCAACGAUAUCCUACAGGUCCCCCAAGCUUGGCCUCACGUGGUAAAUGAAAGGCCAAAUGAACCAUGACAUCAAAAAAGGCGGGUGGAAAUAUUUUCUCAAGUUUGCAUAAAAUGACCACAAUGUCAACCUCUAAUCUGUCCAAAUCUGCAACAUUCAACGUCUUUGCACAAAUUUGUUGGAAGAAACAUGCCAAUUCUACAAGUGGCGCGCACACUUCUUUUAUCAAGUAUGGCCGAAUUCCAAUAGGUAAAAUUCGUUGUAACAAAACAUGACAAUCAUGAGUCUUCAAACCUGAGAUCUUCCCAUCUUUGACAUUUCGUGAUAUAUUAGCAGCAUAACCAUCCGGAAAUUUUAUAGAUUUCAAAAAUUCACAAAAUGCUCGACGAUCAGCCGGUUCUAAUGUAUAUUCUGCAGCAUACUUCUUUAUCUUGCCAUUUUCAUCUUUAUCUAAAUGCAGAUUUCUUCGUAUAUUCAUGUCUUUCAAAUCCAAACGAGCAUUGGGUGUGUCUUUUGUUUUUCCUUCUAUGCUCAACAACGUUCCAACAAUGUUGUCGCAUAUAUUCUUCUCAAUAUGCAUUACGUCCAAGUUAUGUCUUAUUUUCAACUUGGACCAAUACUCCAAUUCGAAAAAAAUACUCUUAUUUGUCCAAUUUAACUCCAUAGGUGUCCGCUUUCUCUUUCUGUCCAAAUUAUCAGGAUGUUUACCAAGUUUACGAUGCACAAGGUGAUUAAACUGAAGUAAUAUGUCAUCACCAGAGAAUUCUCUUGGGGGAUCCCUCAUCUCAAUAGUUCCAUCAAAAUUUUCAGAAUCCUUACGCCAAGGGUGAUUCUUUUUCAAGUAGCGACGGUGCCCCAUAUAACAAAUUUUAUUUCUCAGCUUGGUAGAUGUUGUAUCCUCAAGACAUACGGGACAUGCCUUGUAACCUUUUGUACUCCAACCGGAUAAAUUCCCAUAAGCAGGAAAGUCAUUGAUUGUCCAUAUUACAGCUGCCCUCAUGUUAAACCUUGUAUCAGUAAACUUAUCAUAAGUUUCAAUACCUUGUUCCCAUAACUCUUUUAGCUCAUCAAUUAAAGGACGCAAAUACACAUCCAACUCCUUGCCUGGUGCCUUUGGGCCUGGAAUAAGCAAAGUCAUUAUUGAAUACUGUUGUUUCAUACACAUCCAAGGAGGUAGAUUGUAAGGAACCACCAUCACUGGCCACAUACUAUAAGAUGUGCUCAUAUUCCCGAAUGGGUUAAACCCAUCUGUUGCAAGGCCUAACCUUAUAUUUCGUGGCUCUUCUGCAAACUCAGGGUACAUCUUAUCAAACUCUUUCCAAGCAAUAGAAUCUGCUGGAUGCCUCAUAACACCUUCAUCAUCAACUCGUUUAUUCUUAUGCCACCGCAUGUGACCUGCUGUAUGUUCAGACAUAAACAACCUCUGUAAUCUUGGCUUUAAAGGAAUAUAUCGCAACACUUUUUGGGGCACCAUUUUUUUCUUUUUACUAGUACUAGGUUUAUACCUAGGCUCAUCACACACUGGACAUUUAUCUUUACUUUUAUGCUCUUUGUAAAACAAAGCACAGUCGUAAAUACAUGCAUCAAUUUUUUCAUGCCCCAAACCCAAAUCUUUCAACAUCUUAUUAGCGGCAUAGAAUGAUGGAGGAAUGCUAUGAGGCUGUGGACAAAUAGCACUGAGUAUUUGUAACAUUUGAUCAAAUGACUUGUUGCUCCAAUGAUGAAGUACCUUCGUAUGCAUGAAUUGUACCAUUGCUGUCAAAACUGAUGCAUUGCUACCGGGAAACAAUUGUCGUUGAGAUUCAGCAAUCAACUUCUCAUACUUAUCCAUCUCAACCCUAUGUACAUCGGUAUCAUCCCCCACAUCUUCAUUGUCCCCCAAUGUAUCAUCUACAACUCCCAAGUCUGGUGGGAAUGCAUCAUUCAAAAUAUUAUGCGUAUAAUCAUCAAGACGAGGUGCCUCUUGAGCAGUUGCAGGAGGUGAAGCUUGUCUUGUUAUCUCGAAUUGUUCCCCAUGGUAUAUCCAUGUGUGAUACACCACUGACAUCCCAUACUGCCAUAAAUGUGCUUGGACAACCGGAAGAGAAUGGCAAUUCAUAUUCUGGCACUUCAUACACGGACAUGGAGUCUCAUUCUUCUCAUCCACAUGUUGGCUUGCAACUUCCAUAAAUGACUGAAUUCCAGCACGAUAUUGAUUACUCAACCUGUUUUUAUUAUGUAUCCAAUCCCUGUUCAUCUCUAACACACCUUGUCUCUGUCUUCUUAUACCUCCUAUAAUGGGCCUUAUCCAAUUCAAUCGGUGAUGACUUGAAGCAGUUCCAAAAUUUCAUAACAUGAUUAGAUCGAACACAUUUAUAGAUAUAAGCAAAUAACUCUUUCACAGAAUGACAAGCUAAUAACUCUUUCACAUGAAAAUUAUAAAAAGAGAGAUUCCAUAUUAAUUAUGCUUUUCAAGGGUAAGUAUCAUGGUGACAAAUUUUUUUUACAAUUAUUUCAACAUUAUUUUGCAUAAUUUAGUUGAACCCAUGAAAACAGUUUAAAAAAAAAUGAAGGCAGGCACAAGAUUUGUAGCUAUUCAUACCUCUAAAGCAAAUAUAGCCUCUUAAGCAAGUAUUCCAAACAACCUAUUGGAAAAAAAUAUAUAUAUUCAGUUAGACACAGUAAACCCAUGACACAAGUCAAAAAAAAGAAAAAAAGGCAGAUGCCAGAUUUUUAGCUAUCCACACCUCUUAAGCAAGUAAUUCAAACACCCUACUGCAAAAAAGAAAAAGAAAAAGAAAAUCUGUUAGACAAUGUAUCUUUGGAGGGCUUGAGUCCAAAUUAGUCUUCAAACUCAAAAUAGUAUAUGCCUUCGCCUCUAAGUUUAACCACUCAUCAUUAAACAAACAAAAACAUUAUUUUUCUGAGUUAACUCAAAACAGUAACGUAAUAAGACAUCACAGGAAGCACCAAAUAUCCAAGAUAAAAGUCUCAACAAAAAACCAAAUGGUUCAAAAUAAUAUUGUAAUCAACGCAUCCACUUUAUACAGUUAUAACAUGUACAAUGAAUAAAGUCAGGCUUAAGGUCACAUGUCUCUCAUGUAGUAUAUGAAUUAUCUGAAAUUAGUAAUUAGGCUCUUCAUCUCAAUUCCAUAACAAAUUAUAAUUCAUUACAGUUCUUAAUUAUUAUGCCUUAUAAAUUAUUAUAAAAACCAUUUCAAAUUAACAAAAAUUUACCCUUGAAGCUAAUUGAAUGACCUUCCAUAAUAUUCAAGCUACCAAUGAUCAUCAUAUAAAGCCAAAAUGGUUUGUUAAAAAAGAAAAAAAAAACGUAGCUGGAAGAGCUUGAAAAGGAUUUCCAAAACAAUCAAACCAACAUUGAAGGAUGAUACUCCAUCAGUUAAACUCUAUUGUCCAAUUAAGUGGUACUACACUCAGACACCAAUACUAAGGGAAAGAAAAAUAAUUCCUAAACUGACCAGUUAAUCUAUGGGACGAUGGCCCUGCAGCUAUAGCUUAUAUAUAAAAUAUAGAGACAACUUUGCAGCUAGUUUAUACCUAAACUAUAAAGAGAACUCAAUAAGCUACAUUGGCAAAAAAAUCAAUAACAAUAACAAAAAUAAAAAAAACAUAAGCUCACAGACAAAGGCAAACGAACCUUGAAACGAAUACACCCACAGACCAACUUCCAACUUCUAACUUUUUACUUCAAUUAUAUAAAUGAAUUGUUAUAUUCUUUCUUCCAAUAGAUAGUAAAGAAAUUCAGAAUUAAUCCAGAAGUAUCAAGCAAACAUUCAAGACUUGGAAAACAACCAAUCAGACUCAAAGCAUUAAAACAUAAAAAAAAUGAAAUAAUUAUUGGGUACGUGUGCAAGUGAAACAUCUCAAAUUUGAACAGAACCCACAUCAAAUGCAAAACAGGGCAUUCAUAUCAGACACAGAACCCUACUCAAAUUUGACAUAGAACCCACAAUAAUUAACUACUUGAAAAAGAAAAGUCAUUUUAUUCAGAAAACUUGGACUGUUGAAUGUUCAAGCAUUUAAGAUAUCAAAAAGGAAAAAUCAAGCACUGAAAUUCAGUUUCGAUUUAAAUUCCUGGGUAUCUAUUUUCGAUUUUCCUUGAUUAUUUUCUCAACAACCAAAUGGAAUCCACAACUGAAAAUCAGAGCUCAAAAGAAAAUGAAGGUAAGAGAGACAAGAUAGACUCACCAUAAGCUUUCCGUUGAAACACGUAGUGAGGAGGACUUCGGAGAUGGAGUUUUCAGAUGGCCGUCGAUUCCUGACCGUGGUAGGGAAAGGCGUGCGAGAUGGAGUAUCGCUUGCUGACGUUGGUGGAGGAUUGCUCUGCCGACGUCGGUGGAGGAUUCCUUUGCCGAUGUAAAACAGUGAAGAGUGGGUCUGAGAGGAAAUAACCAAUCGGGAACUUUUUAGUUCAUAUUUUUGUAUUUAAACUCUCCAGAUUAGCCCCAAAAACUAUUUGGUCGCCCAUAUGCUAAUAUACAUAAAACUACGUCGUUUUAUGGCUUACAUUUUUAAAAGCACAAUGAUCUGCGACGAAAACCAAAUAGUCGCUGGCCCCACGAAAUUUUUACGCGCCAAUUCUAACUUAGCGACAACACAUUAAAACUCAGCGACCCAAUAUUUUCGUCGCCAAAACUUUUGAAGUUUCGCGCGCACUCAAUUCCGCAAAUCGCGACCAAAUAUACGUUUGGUCGCCAAGUCCUUGCCUAACCACCAAAAACUUUCGUCGCCCUUAGUUGAUAAAUUAGUCGCUAUUUAGUUGACUCAAGUCAUCACGGAUGUCUAAAAAUCACAAAUCUUUUGGCGACCAACUGGAAAAAUUUUGUCACCGAUUCUCUUUUUGGCGACGCAAAUAUGGUGCGUCGCUAAAAAUUUCGUCGCAAAAGAGGUUUUUCCUUGUAGUGAAUGUUGUCGCGCAUAACCUUUUGCUCGACGGCAAAUUGGGUCGCGCGAUACGUGCCCACAAAAUUUGUGCGACGCAAUACUGUUGUCGCAGAAAUCCAUUUUAGCGACGAAAACGUUCAUCGCGCAAAAAUAAUUAUAUGUAUUUAAAAAAAAUGAAACAUUAUUUUUUCGGAAUAUAUAAAUUUGCGCGACGACAAAGCUUUCGUCGCGCAAAAUUAAUAUAUACAUUUAUUAUAUAAUUAUAAUAUUACUUUUGUUUUAUUUUAUAAAAAAAUAAAUUUGGUUUUCUUUUUUGGGUAAUAAAAUGAAAUUCCAAUAAUAAAAAAAUUGAAGUCAAUAACAAAUUUAUUAUAUAAAAUAAAUGUAUGCUACAAGAGAAAGAUUUAAAAAAUAAUUACGAAAAUAAAAAAACUAAUCGAAUAAUGUUCCAAAAUCUACAUUAUCGUCUGGCACAUGCGGUUCAGAGGUCUGGGGGUCUACAGGGGCCGGCGUCUGGUGGGGAUGCUCGGGAUGGACGGGCUCGGAGGUCGGCGCAUCAAAAUGCGGAACUGGAAUGCCGGACUGUGCGAGAGACUGCAGAAUGACCGACAUCUGACUCUGAAGAGUGGCCACCUAUGCUGUCAAAGCAGUGACCUGACUGUUUGACUGCUCUGAUGAACGGGGUUUGGGUUCCCUCCGCCUGGCAUUCCCUAUCCCUUGACAAUAUGUCCCCGGUCUCCUCCCUAGAGUCUGAUCCAAUGUCUCCGUCAAGAUCUGAAACCCAACAUCCUGUGCAGGAUCCACAGACUCGAUCGGAGUAUCGGGAGGAAGUUGGGAGGCGGACUCCUGAAGAACCAACUGGCUCCUCUCCACCAUCGUCGUCUGUUUAGCAUAACAUAAAAUAUAAAUUCAAACAUUCAUAUAAAAACCUUUAAAGUUGAAUGCGUAACAUAAGAAUUAAAAUUAAAUAAUACUUACAUGAAGGGACUCGGCCAACUCAUUCCCAGGUCGAACAUAAACGUCGCCAAAGAUGUCGAUAUCUGAGAAUUUGGACCCCCCCAAAAUUGAACAAAAGAAGAAAAAUAUUAGUACGAAAAAAUAAAUUAAGAAUAAUGAAAAAGUAAAAAUUAAAUAAAAAUUAUUUUAUUAUUACCUGACGCCGUGCAUCCAUCCUAUACGAGAAGGGCCUGGAACCCGAAUGAUGGAGAAGAGUCUUCUUCUUCCUAUUGCCCUUAUUGAUUUGGGCUUUAUUCUGUUAUACAAAAAAUAAAACGUAUUAGUUGAAAUUGAAAUUAAAUAUAAAAAAUUAAAAAAACAUUAGUAAGAAAAUAAAAUAAAAUAUAAAAAAUUACCACAAAAGCGGGCGCCUGAAAAUGAGCGCAGAGCCACGCCCAACUAUCCUCCCGGCCCUCAAGCUCUUUCGGACAACCCUCUUGAAGAGCGACUUGCGGAUCAUCAAACGCCUCAAAAUGGUGGUUCAAGUCGCUCUUCCACUGUUUGUACCUCUCAGAGAAGAGUCUGUUGACGUACGCCAAUGACUCUUCGUCAAGGUCCUCCAAGUUGUAGUUCGUCUGCAAUAAAUUAAUUACAUACAUUUAAAAAAUAUAAAUAUAACGUUUGAAAGAAAAAGAAUGAAAAGGCCUACAUACCGACAACUGGCCGCGAACCUCAGUCUUGGUCUCGUCAGGCAUCACCUUCCAAGACUUCCAUUGCAUCGGGCAAUAGCUCCGAAUGACAUGACCAAUGUCGUCGGCCAAGGAGCUAUGCAACUCCGCCGUCGGUGCAGCUCGAUGUCGCUCGUCGUAACCGAUGUUGAUACGACUGUUGGUCACUCGGGUGACCUUCGCCGUCUUCAACUGCCGACACGGCCCUCGGGUGUUCUUCUUGGCUGCAAAGAAAGAUGACAUGAAUGUUAAAUAAAUAACAAAUUUAACAAUAAAAUACACACACACACAAAAACAAAAACAAGAAAUAAAAAAGAAAAUUAACUGGAGAAAAAGGAAAGCUAUACCUGGCUGUGACCCCGAUGCAUCAGUGGAUGUGGUGUCGGUGGUGCUGGAGGGCCGAUGACGCCGCCUGGCGCUAACAGGCUGCGCCACUGAUGACGCUGAUGAGGCAGGCGCCUGGGACCCCGCAGGUCCAACUGCCAACUGGUCUAUCAAUGCUGGCGCAGUGGCAGCAGAUGUCGGCUGAGUCGGGGGCUCAGAACUCUGCGUGGUCGUCACCGCCCUACGACGUCUAAUCAGGUCUGACAUCUGCACAAUUUCAUUAAUACACAUACAAAUUAAUAAAAUAUACAAAUAUUUGAAAACACAUACAAUUUUAUUCAGAUUAUUGACCUAGGGUUUGCGAGUUCGGAGUAUCCGGGACUCCGAUCCACGAUCCGUCGAAUCCUAGACGAUCCAAGAAUACAAGGUACACCAUGCGUGAGUUUGAGUUCGAUCCAACGGUCUGAACAUAACAACCCCGGAAAUCGCACAAUAGGCAAAAUUCGUUCGAGACGCAAACAGUAACCAAAUUCCAAUCCGAAAACACCUACGCGCUCGUGACAACUACAGGAUUGCACUGGGACCUAAUUCAGGUGGCUACAGUAACCCACGCGCCGCCCCACGCGCCGGGAGCCGCGGGUGUCCAAAGCAAUACCAAUCGCUGGAAAAUUCUAAAAACUAAGGGCCAAGGUUCCUACCCUAGGUUCAAAACAUCAAUUGGAGCCACUUUUGUUCUCGGACAUACCCCGAAAAAUGGUCGGAAGUGGCCGGAAUUGAAAAUCAAAAACCGGCCCAAACUUAGGGUUUCAAAUUAACUGCCCUAUUACAACAAUUUCAGAAAUCCUACCCAACCAUCAGAUAAAGCAUCAAAAAUAGGACAGAAACCAUACCUCAGGUGUCGGAAUUGGUCGCCGGAGGAGAGAGAUCGACGGCGGCGCAGAUUCGAUGAAAAUCGAAGAAAUUGCGGCGGCUGGCUCGACGGUGAGGGCGGGGGAGCUCCGGGGUACCACCGUUGUGGCGGCCCGGUCCAAAUCCACCGGGGUAGGAGACGGAGCUGACGGCGGAGAGAGAGACGAAGAGGUUUAGAGUUUCUGCAAUCUGGGAAGAAUGAGGCCAUCGCGUGGUUUCUGAAAUUUUAUUCGUUUUUGCGCGACGAAGGUAAGCAAACGUCGCGCAAGAAAUUUUAAAUGACUAUUGCGUGACGAAACAGGUACGUGUUCCGUCGCGCAAUGUCGUUAAUCCGCCAAAAUUUGGUAAAAGGGUGGUUUUUGCCCGACGCACAACGCAGCUUGUCGUCGCGCAAUGUUGGCAGUCUGCCAAAAUUUGGGGUUUAGGGUUUAGCAGGCGAUAUUGAAAUCUUGCGCGACGCACAACGCAGCCUGUCGUCGCGCAAUGUUGGCAGUCCGCCAAAAUUUGAGAUUUAGGGUUUAGCGGGCGAGAUUGAAAUCUUGCGCGACGCACAACGCAGCCUGUCGUCGCGCAAUGUUUGCAGUCCGCCAAAAAUUGGGACCUAGGGUUUAGAACUUGCGCAACGUAUACGUGGACCGUCGCGCAAAAACUCGCAAAAAAAUGUAUGCUAACCGUCCAAGGCGAAAGACGGUGAAAAGGAGAAAGGGCUGGCUGAGAUUGCGCGACGAGUACGUACAGCGUCGCGCAAAAACUCGCAAAUUUUUUUGACUAAGUGUCCAAGGAGGAAGAGUGUGGAAGGUGAAAGUUCUGGCUGAUAUCGCGCGAUGAACAGCAUUGGUUUCGUCGCGCAAGACUCUUCCAUGCAGGCUAUGUGCGACCAAUUAUACUUUGUCGCGCGCUGUUGUAAUAACGGCAACAUUUUUGGUUUUAUUGUGGAGAGAUUGCGCGACAAAAAUGUAAACGUCGCGCAUGUCAGCUCUCUGUAAACGCGAAAAUAUUUGUAACCAAGUGUUGAAGGAGGAAGCGCGACGACGAGUCGUUUAUUCGUCGCGCAAGACCGUUGUUUGGAGGCUUUGUGCGACCAAAGAGAGUUAUUCGUCGCGCAAACCCUAAACCCUAAAGCGCAGAAACCCUAAACUCGGAACUAGUUUUCAUGAUCCAACCGGCAAACUUGUUUUUUUAUACUUCGAGAUCGUAUAUGCCGAAAAUCAAAAAAAACAAACAUUAAGAGAUCAAGUAACAGGACAAAACUUGUCGACGGUUCUAAAUGAAAAGUCAUGAUUUAACGUUUAUUUUUGCUCUGAUUUGUAUGAUUUUUUACAGCUACUUUUCUUUACCCUAUAUGAAUACAAUUACUAAAUUUGAUCUUCAAUUUCAGAUGUUUACACUAGGGUGAUACGACAUAAUGUUAUGUUAUAUUUAACGAAAGUAUAAGUAAACUAUUCAUUGUUGCUGAAUAUAUGGUUUUGAUGGCAAACGCAUUCUACGAAAAUAGGUUCAGCAAUCCAGCCGUCAAACUUGUUUAUUUGUACUUCGAGAUCUUAGACCCCAAAAAGCGAAAAAAUCAAACAUUCAGAGAUCAAGUAACGGGACAAAACUUUUGAACGGUUAUAAAUGAAAACUCAUGAUUUAACGAUUAUUAUAACUCCGAUUUUGAUGAAUUUUUACAGCUACACUCCAUGACCCUAUAUGAAUACAAUGAACUAACUCGAUCGUCAAUUUCAAAUAUAUAUGUGCAUAUAUAAUAUAUAUUAUAAAAUAAUAUAUAUUUGCGCGACGAACAUAUGUUUAUCGUCGCGCAAACUUUCAUCGCGUGACGGACGACACGUUGUCGCUCAAUUUUUUUACUUCACGCGACUAGUGUAUUUUGGGUCAUGCAAAAUUUGCACGACGAGGUUUACUUCGUCGUGCAAACAUGGCACGACGGGGUUUACUUCGUCGCGCAAGGGUUUUCAGUUUUGAAAAAUGUUUGUUGUCAAUAAUUUUCAAACUUUGUAUAAAAAUGUUUGGAUAUAUUUAUUUAUCAAUGUUUUAUAACAAAUUUUGUAUCAUUUUCAUUUUGUAAAUGUGUUUUGUCAAAAAAAAAAUUAAAAUUUAUUAUUAAUAGGGUUUCGAUAUAUUGAUUUACCAAUGUUUGAUAACUAAAUUUAUUUGAAUAAUGUUUCAGUUGUCCACAUAUAUAAGGUUUGGAUAUAACAACUACAUAUAUUCAAACAUUUGUAUUACACAAAGUCUGUACAGUAACAUAAUAAAAUUACAAAAAAUUUAAUUAUUCAUCAUCUGAACUAUAAUAACUUUCGUUAUCGUCGCUAUCAUCACUUUCGGUCUCCCAAUCCUCCUCCUCCUCCUCUACUAUAACUACAUCAUCUUCGCUGCUCGGGCCCACUACAACAUCGAAUCUUGGAAGAUCCCCGAGGUCAAUUGUAAUUGACUGAAUCGGUAUUUCGAUUGAAGACACUCCUUGUAUUUGAAACGGUUCUUGUAUAACAUGUGUAUCUCGAAGUGUUUCCGCAUCAUUUUCCAUUGAUGAUUCUAAACGUUGGUCAGCCACAUUGUCGACGUCGUUGUCAGUUAGGUCUAGUUCUGGUAUAGCAUACACGUUCCUAUGAUCCAUCUUCUGAACAACUUUCCAACUGCUCCCGGCUUUAGGGUCAUCUAGAUACACAAUUUGUGUUGCCAUGUUUGCCAAAAUGUAAGGGUCGUCAUCAUACCAAGUUCUGUUAAUGUUCACAGAUAGUAAGCCAUGGUCGAUUUUAACACUUCCCGGCCUAUUUGGGUUGCUAUCAAACCAUCGACACUUAAACAUGAUCAUUUGGUAUCGAUCUUUGUAAAGCAAUUGAACGACAUUUGUGAGUUUGCCAUAGAAAUUAAUGUUUGUACUUUCGCCUCCACCUGGGACAUGGACACCGCUGUUUUGCGUACACAACUUGUCAUCUCGUGCAGCCCCCAAAAAUUUAACGCCGUUAAUAUAACAACCCGAAAACAAUUCAGCGCGAAUCGGGCCGAAGGCCAAGUUAUAUAACUCAUCACUGUAAGUGGGGGAAUUCGAUGAUUUCAACUUAUUCACCUAAUAUAAUAGAAAACCAUUCACAUGUUAGUCUGAUAAAUUAAAUACUACAAUUUAUAUUUGUGAAAUACAAAACACUUAUAACUUACAGAUUCCAAAAACCAUUGUGGAAACAAUUCACAUUGUUUCUGGGCAACUAAAUGUGAUGGAUGUUCUCGCUUCAUCAUCUCUUCAUGCUCAUCUAAGUAUGCCAUUAUCUCGUCACAAUUGUUCAGUACGAACCAAUGCGCUACUUCCAUGUCAUUUCUAGAAAACGACUCUCCUCGUCCAGGAUCUCCAAAGGGCCGUGCGCUUUGGGCAAAAACAGAAAGUUUUUCCUUCUCAUACCUCCGUCGUUAUUACGCUGAGGACGAUUGAAAGCCGUCUCCACAUCUUUUAAAUACAUUCCACAGAAAGUAAGCGACUCAUAUUGAACCCAAGCCUCUAUAAUUGAUCCUUCGGGCUUCGCCCUGUUGCGUACACUUUUUUUCAGCUCUCCGAGAAGCCUGUCAAAAUAAAAAGAUAUGAUACAAAUUAGCAAGCCUGUGAUAAUGAUGCAUACACAAACGAAAAGGAUUAUAUACCUUUCUAUUGGAUACAUCCAGCGAUAGUUGACAGGACCAGCAAGCAAUGCCUCUUCUGGCAAGUGAACCAUCACGUGCAUCAUACUUGUGAAGAAAGCUGGAGGAAAUAUCAUCUCAAACUUGCAUAGGACUUGGACAAUGUCAUGGCGCAACUGCAAUAUGUCUGUCUUUCGCAAUGUUUUUGCCGUCAGUUGGGAAAAAAAUCUGGACAACAACAUAAUUGGCUUCACAACAUCUUUCGGCAAUAGAUGUCGAAUACCCACAGGAAGUAGGCGUUGCAUAAACACAUGGCAGUCAUGGCUCUUAAGUCCAGUAAAUUUACCCCCGUCAACAUUCACGCAACGUGCGAUAUUAGAAGCAUACCUAUCAGGAAACUUUACAGACGAUACAAACUUUAGAAACUCUUUUUUGUCAUUCGGUUUCAUAGAAAAGAAUGCAAGAUCCCUUCUUGCUUUAUCACUGUCCCUGUUCAUCCAUAAUCCCCUUCGUAUGCCCAUUCUUUCCAAAUCAAGACGGGCUUUGAUUGUGUCCUUUGUCUUGCCCUCGAUAUCUAGAAUCGUGCCCACCAAUGUGUCAAAUACAUUUUUCUCAACAUGCAUCACAUCUAGAUUGUGCCUCAAUUUGAGUUUCGACCAAUAUGGGAGCUCAAAAAGCAUAGGCUUGUGAGUCUAGUUCAUAUGUGUCGAAGGUCUGGUCCGGCUAACUGUUUUUUCGAACGGAGCAAAAUCCAAACGGUUAAGCUGUUCCAAGAUCUCAUCACCGGACCAUUCUCUAGGUCUGAGGCGACGCUCUGUGUUCCCGUCGAACUCUUUAUCUUUUUCCCGCCACUCGUGGUCCCAUGGCAACCAUCUCCGAUGACCAAGGUAACAAACUUUUCCCGCGUGCCAACCAGAAGUUACAUCUUCCUUGCAUACAGGACAUGCCAUAUAACCCUUUGUGCUCCACCCAGAAACCAUUGCAUAUACUGGAAAAUAAUUCACAGUCCACAUAACUGCUGCCCGCAAAGUGAACAUCUUCCCAGUUGAUUUAUCGUACGUGCGAACACCGUUUGUCCAUAAAUCCUUCAGCUCAUCAACCAGCGGCCUUAAGUAAACAUCGAUUGACCUCCCAGGAUCCUCAGUUAUCAAAACAGUCAUCAUCAUGUAUUCUUUUUUCAUGCAUUUCCAAUGCGGCAAAUUAUAUGGGAAUACGAAAAUCGGCCAAGUGCUGUGGUGUUGGUUUAGAACCCCAUACGGAUUGAAUCCGUCAGUGGCAAGUCCUAAUCUCACAUUUCGGGGAUCAGCAGCAAACUCGGGGAACGUUCGAUCGAACUAUUUUCAUGCCUCCCCAUCUGCAGGAUGCCGCAUUACAUCAUCGUCUACCCGUUUUUCCUUAUGCCAUCUCAUGUCUGUUGCAGUGUGCGUCGACAUAUACAAUCGCUGCAACCUAGGUUUCAGGGGCAGAUAACGCAUGACUUUUUGUGGGAUCUUAGUCGUUCUAUUCUGAGAUGUCAUUUUGAACCUCGACUCAUUGCAUAUAAGGCAUGUAUCCAACGUUUCGUGCUCCUUGUAGAAUAACAUGCAAUUAUUUUUGCAGGCAUGAAUUUUUUCAUAACCCAAUCCAAGACCAUUCAACACCUUCUGCGCGUGUUUAUGAUCUUUUGGCAAACAAUUGUCCGUCGGAAGCAUUCUCUUGAAAACCCCUAAAAAGUAAUCGAAACACAGGUUCGACAUACGAUACUUUAUUUUUCCGUGCAUUAGCUCUACAAUGGUCGUGAGAACGGAAAAGCUCUCGCACCCCGAGUAUAACUCUUGGUUUGCAUUUUUUAACAGUUUUUCAUAUUGUUCAAACUCCGCGCUGUCUAUUGGUGUUGGCACGUCAUCUUCCCUUUCGUGAUUGAUGUUGGUCGAUGCAAAUGGAAAAAUAUCCUCUAUAAUAUCCAUGACUUGAUCAUUAGGAUCCACAAUAUGUUCAACACUGUCCAUUCUUGUGGCAUUUGAAGACGAAGCAUAGUCUAAUUGUUCCCCAUGAAGGUUCCAAAUGCUAUAUGUCUCAAUCAUUCCAUUCCUUACUAAAUGAAAUCCAACAUUUUCAAUUGUCUCCCACAACGUGUUAUUACACCUCCUACAAGGACAUCGGAUUCUAGUUGCACCCGGGUUGUGUCUACGUGCAAACUCAAUAAAAUCCUCGAUUCCAUCCAAGUAUUCGUCUGAGCAUCUAUUUGGGUUCUAUAUCCACCUUCUGCUCAUAAUUCCUGAAACCAUAAUCACAACAUAACAAUCACAACAACUUCAUACGAAGUUAUAAUGUCACCUUAUGCCUCCGGUAAGGGCCCUAUCCCAUUCGGGAAUGCAUAGUUCUGUCACGUAACCUACGGCUACAUGAGAUUAGAUUUCGACAUGGAUGAAUUUCGGCAGCAUCUCGAUACAGUUCUUGAGGUGGGCAUAGGUAUUAAUACCUACGUACCACCCGAAGAACGUACCGAGAUGACACCGAAAUCUCCACAAUCGAAACCUAAUCCUGUAGCUGUGGAUUACGUGACAACACUAUGCAUUACCAAACUGUCCAAAUAGUGGGACAAUUCAAGAAUUAAUUGGACCGCAGUCAUGCUUUACGCAUCCAUGUACAAAAUCCAACUAAUCUCGAACGGGAAACUAAAUGUUACUAAACAUACAAAUAAAAGUACGAAGUUAAUUUCAAUUAACUUCGUACAUCACAACACAUUGUGCUACAUCACACACAAUUUAACAACAUAAUAUAAAUAUAACUUCAGAAAAAAAAAUGUACACAUAACAAACUAACUUUAACAUUUUUAAUAUAUAAAACGAAUAAAAUACCGUGUCAAUCGUUCUCCACCAAUCGCUAAUUAUAAAUAUCCCUAACGAGAAUAAAAUUAAUAGCGUUAGUACGAAUUUACAUUAAUACUUAUAAAGUAACGACAACAAAUACUUACCCGAUGAACGUACUGAAUUUCCAGCAGAGACAGCGGUAGAGAGGUUGAGAGAGAGGCAGAAAGGAAAUUUUUUUCCUUUCUGCCUCUGCAAUGGCAGAGUUCUGAUAUGAAGAAGAAGGACUUUACGCGACGAAUAAUAAAAUCCGUCGCGCAAAAUACCGUCGCCAAAAACCUUUUUUUCGUCGCACAAAACGAGUUUUUUCCGUCGCGUAAAAGCUUGUCGACAAAAAAACUUUUGCGCGACGUAAGAUGUCUGCGUCGCACAAGAUUCCGUCGCGCAAAUUCUUGUCCUCGUCGCCCAAAAACAAAAUUCCGUCGCGUAACAAUUAUUCUUCGUUGCGCAAGAAUGUACCGACAUCUGCUUUACGCGACGAAACAUAUUUCGUCGCGCAAAAUAAAAUAUCCCCCCUCAAUUAUUUUGGCGCCAAAUUAUAAAUAUCCUUCGUUUUCUUACGCGACGAUAAAUGGUUUCGUCGCGCAAAGUUGUCUUUUGCGACGAAACCUGUCGUCGCAAGAGUUUUCGCAGCCAAAUCACCUCGCUUUUACGCGACGAAGUAUACCAUCAUCGCGCUAUGUUUUCUUACGCAACGAUUGCUCUCGCCGCGCAAGUAUUUGGCGCCAACAGAAUACCCGGGUUUUUUUUUCCCCCCUUUGCGCGACGAAGUUGUUUUUAUGUCGCGCUAAGAUGUUUUGCGCUUCGAAAACUUUGGUCGCGCAAGUUGUAAAUUUUUUGCGCGACGAUGUAUUUUUUGCGUCGCUUUAUUGCGUUUUGCGUGACGAAUAUGUAUUCGUCGCGCAAACUUUUGUCGCGCAAAUAGUAAAACGUAGUAGUGAACACCCUUUUAUAUGUACAAAUUUUUUACAUUUUGAUUUUGUCUUUACAAUGUAUCCAUUAAUAAUUCUAAGAAUAUGAAAAAAUUUGCAACUCUUCUUUUGGUACGAUUGAGAAUUGACUUGGUGAACUCUUAUAUAGUGUUUGUGCAUAAAGGCCCUUGACAACUUUCUCUCGAGUAAUGAACUUCUAAUCUUUUUUUUUUUUUUUUUUUUUUUUUGUGUGGCUACAACUAAGUAGAUCCAACAUAUUUUUUUUAACAACCAAGGACAAUCAUCAUAUUUUUUUAAGAACCAAGGAUAGCUUACAUUCUAUAGUUUGUCCAUCAUGUCAACACAUUUAUAAUUAAAACUUUUUUUUUUUUUUGUGAGGUUUCAAUUUUGGUGUCACUGUAACAAGACCACAAUUGCCAUUCAGUAUGCUAACAUUGUCACUAUGUUUGCCAAUUGCAUAUUAUGUAGAAUAUGAAGGCUUUGGUGUUUUGUAGAUCCUCGGGGAGCCAAACCCGUCUUUAUAAAAAUGGUCCUUAUCAAGGGUGGAACCAGGAAUUUUUCAACGGGUGGGCUAGCUAAAGUUAUUAGCUUAAAAUUUAAUGAUUAUUUUUUUUUGGUACUUCCAAUUUCUAUAGUCUUUCUAGAAAUAAAAGUAAACAUUAAAUCAUAUAUACCAAGCUAGUUCAUAGCUCCAUAGACUAAUUUUCAAUAAGUUUUAACAUAAACUAAAUAGGGUUUAACACCAUAGUGGAUUGAACAUCUAAGGCUUUUUACCUAGAUUGACCUGAGAUUCCUUCAUGCAUUCAUAUCAUACAUGAAAAGUUGUUUUAUGUAAAAAUAUUGACUAAGUAUGAAAAAUGGAUUUUCGGAAUAAUCAUUUUUUCAAGAUAAUUUUUGGCGGCUUUUAUUCCUCACACAUCAAAUAAGAAAACUUGAUUUUAUGGAAUUUUUGUAUGAAAUAUAUAUUGACUUAAUGAGCCAUCAUUUUUAGCCUAAAUCAUAUUUUGCACUAAAACCGAUUUUUCAUAUUUUGAUUAUGUGGGAAUUUGAACUUGUAUCAUUUGAUGAUGCCAUGUGAAUCGCUAGAAACAUGUAAAGUGUAUGGCUAACCCAAUAACGAAAGUUUCGUAAGGGAACCGGAGUAGGCUACCAUGAGAACAAAACGGAUUCUUCCAAUGUAUAAAAUAAAAAUUCCAAUGGCUUUUGCUAUUAUAACCUUCCCGACCACGAUUUUUUCUUUUUUUCUAGGCAUUUCACCUAUAAAAAAAAAAUUGUAUUGAUACUAUUGGAACAAAAAGGGCGGGCCCGGCCUGGUCAGUACUUAGCCGGGCCGUGGAACUAAAAAGGCCCUUCGGAUCGGAUGAAAAAAAAUUAUUAGGGUUUUUUAAGCCUUACAAAUUCCAUUUAUGUAUGUACUCCCGGGAAACAUACAGUACUCUAUUCCACAUUCCACAGAUCGGGAGUAAUCUAUAGGAGUUCUUGAAAGUAAAGGAGCAAUAAAAAAUUUCUUGUUAUAUCAAGAGGUUUGUUAUUGCUCCUUUACUAUUUAGUAUUUUUUUUUAUUUACUACUUAACUUUACUAUAUUGUUCUAUAUUUUUUUUUAGUUAAUUUACUAUAAAAUUUAAUUUCCCCAGAUACCGUCAUUGCUUCUUCUCUGGGAAAAGAAGUUCACGACUCGUAGGCCUUCUACCUCCACGCAUCAUUGCUCCGUCAGGCUUUCGCCCAUUGAGGAAAAUUCCCCACUGGAUCAGAAUGAAGAAUCAAAAUAGAUUCUUAAAGUAGACAAACAAAAGGGGUUAGAGACCACUCAAUAAAUGAAAUACCUAAAAGGUUUCUUUUGAGUUAUUUGAGAGUUACUAGUAUUUUUAUUUUAAUCUAAAUGGGGGGUACUUCCUUAUUUAUAUUGUAAACUUGAGUAAAUAGAAUAAUAUAAAAAUAAAUAAAAGUAAAAUGACAAAACAAUAUGUACAGCGCCACUAACUGGCUAAUAUUGAAAAUAAGUUACAUAUAUAGGUUUUAUAUUUUUUUUUUCUUAAAAAAUCACACUAGGCUACAGCCCACUGUAGCCUUUAGUGUGGUUCUGCCCAUGGUCCUUAUGAUACUACUUUAACAACAACAAAAAAGUAUAAUAAACUAGGCCUUUGUAGUCAUUGAAAUGGAUGUUUUGUCAUGGAUAUGACUAUUUAAAUGUAAUUACGGGAUUAAAACAAUAUAAAUUGGAGUAAACUAUAACAUUAUAUAUGAUCCAAUCUUUUUCAUAUAUUUUUGUUCAAGACUUUGUUUUAGAAUGCUCUAUUACUAAUUUGGUAUAGGUCCCUAAAAUCUAUGCCUUUAUGAGGCAACGUCUUUAUUUCUUUGGUUAUUCCAGUUUAGAAUAUUUGGACAAAUGAGAUGACUCCCAACAUAAAGUCACAUUCAUCCAAAAAGCAUGAAAUCACACACAAAAAGAACACGGACAAUUACUAAGUUUAUCCUUGUAUUUUUAUUUUAUUGAUCCGACCCAAUUGAAAAAUAAAAAAAAGAUGAUAAAAUAUAUUGUUCAUUGCUUACAUCUGUGAGUAAAGUCCUCCAUUUGAAAUUGCGUCAUUACACAAAAUUGGAAUGAAAAAAAUAAAAUCCUACAGCUAAAUUUGAUAUAUUUCCUUUUCAUUUUAUGUUGGGUGUUUUAAGUUUUCCUUGUAUCUUGUUGAAAAGAAAAAUGAAAAUAAAUAAAUAAAUUCCACGGCUAGCAACUUCUCCACCUACCCUUCUUCCCAUGUACUAACAACAAGGGACGCCUUCGAUCCUUAAAAAGGACAAGGGAUGCCAGGUCAGCAUCUCAGAUAAGUAUCCCAACCAAAAUCAAUCAAAUAAUGACAUAUGUAUCUCUUUUUGUAUUUUGUUCUAUUUCUCUUUGAAUUAACUGCAGAUUUUCAUGAGCGUGUCCUCCUUUUGAAAUUGUGUAUUAUUCAAAAUUGGAAUUUGCUGGUCAUAUUUGAUAUCAACUAAAAAAGUUUCCAAUAUCUUGUACCCGUUUUUUCCAGUGUGGGUCAAAAUUUGAAGAAGUCCACCGACAAUUUCUCAAAAGCUAUUACCAUAUUAUUGCAUCCAACUUUGAAAAAUAGAAGUUUUCAAAAGUUACCCCAAACAACAGUCCUUGAAAGAGAGAGUUCUCCAAGGCUAAAGAUUACAAGGAUGUUAUUUACAGUCUCAACAAGCUUCAAAAUUGGAAUUUGCAUUGUGAUAGUUGAGUGGAGGACAGGCUUGAGUGGAAGAAUUGAUUAAUUAUGGAACAGAGCCAAUGUGGAGAUUGUUGAUUAGUGGCUCAUUUAGUAGUCAAAAGUGGAAAUCAGUUUCGGUGAUUUUGUUUACUAUCAUGAUAAGUGGCUUGUCUUUGCAUGGUAAGUGAGCUGCUAUCAUAAUUAUUGAGUGGAGCACUUGCCAAAGUGGAGUUGUUGUAGUUUAUUUUUCACUCACUGAUGGUUGACGCUUCCGCACAACAAAUGAAUCAUCCAUUCCAACUUUUGUUUCUUCUUUUUUAACUAAAUUUUGAAUUUCAACGAGUUUCGCACAUUAAUAUUUAAUAUUAAUUUAUGUACUUGUACAUACAUUGCAGUAAUAUAUAUUAACAUACAUAUAUGUUCAGAGUUUAACAAUAAUAUGUGCCUAUAAACAGGGACGGAGCCGGAAAAAAUAUUCAUUGGGGGUAUCUCCAAACAAUAAAGUAAGAGUAGAAAUUUCAACAACAUACUUAAAGACAAAGUUCAUACAUUAAUGCAUAAUGUUUUUCUUCUUCCAAUAAAAAAACCUUCACCCACGAAAUAAUUAGCACCUGCUUGUUCUCCUCCAAUAUUUGGUUUUAAAAGGUAGCAGCAAAGACAAAAUGCAGAAUCAGUUUCUAUACUAUAGUCCAACAAAGUAGAAAAAUCAUCAAACCAAGCAGGAUUAAUGUUUUUCCAAAUUGCUUGUAAGGGAAAUUAUGGACUCUAGGCUGACAUGGACCUUUUUGCAAAUAUGCUCUCCUAACUUGAUCACUAACAUUAGGAUUGUAAGGGAAAACCAAGUAAACUUACCUUACCACCUUGACAUUGAGAAAAGAAGAAAGACCAGCAAGCAACUGUUUAGAGGAGGAAGAGAAGAAAGAGUCGUGGGGGUGGGGGUGGGUGAUGUGGGAUUGGGUUUUGUAAAGGGAGCUGAUUUCCCCACUCUUAUUUUCUCACACUUACACUCCUUUUUGCUUUUUAAUACUUUUUAAUCACUUUUGUUCUUUCUAUUUCCUAGUCUAUUCUUACCCUACAUUAAUUUCUUUUUUUAUUUUACUACUAUAUUAUUUCUUUUUCUUUAUACUUAAUUUUCUAACUUAUACUCCAUUUUCAGUAAUAAAGGGAAAAAAAAAACUUAAUUUCUUACUUGAUUAAAGGAAAAAAAUAAAACUAAAAAUGGAGUGCAAGUUAGAAAAUUAAGUAUAAAUAAAAAUAACUAAUAUAAAAGUGAAGUAAAAAGAAAUUAAUGUAGGGUAAGGGUAAAAUAGGAAAGCGAAGGAACAAAAUUGAUUAAAAAAUAUUAAAAAGUAAAAAAGAGUGUAAGUAGAGAAAAAGGGAGUAGUGAAAUCAUAUCUCUUUGUAAAUUGUAAUGCUUUUUAGGGUAACUAAAGAAAAAAUUUGAGUGGGUUUGGGGAGUGUAAAAGGAAUGUUUUUAUCAGUUUAAAUGGGUUUGGGUGAAUGGUUUCACGUGGGUGAGUGGGGGCAUGUGCACCCAGUGGGCCUAUGCUGGCCCCGUAUAAUAUUGUAUUUACUCUAGCGUAUAAUAUUGUAUUUACUCGAGCUCAAUGUCCUAUGAGUGGGUGCAUGCAUUCAUGUGAAAUUUGUGGUUGGCAAAAGGGGGCUUGGCAUUUCGAGUUGAUGGACGUUUUUGGGUGUGUAACGGAAGACUACUUGUUGGCAUUUCGAGUUGCUAAGGAAUAUUGUAUACAGUUAUUUGUUAGCACCCAAAAUACACAAAGAACACAGACAAUUUGCUAAGUUUAUCUUUGUGUUCGCUGCUUAGAUCCAUGAGCAUUAAAGUCCUCCUUUUGAAAUUGUGUUAUUAUUCAAAAUUGGAAUUUGCUGGAGAUAGUUCAUUUUUACCUUGUAUCAUUUUUGCCAAGUAAUUUGAAGAACUCCACCGACAAUUUCUCAAAAGCUUUUGCGUCCAACUUUGCGUAUACAUGGGGACCCCAUCCCCAUGUGAGGCCACCGAAAAGCUAUUGUGUUGUACGUACACGAUAUUAUUGAAGCCACAGAAAAGUUUUCAGAAGUUGCCCCACAAACAAAGAAGAAAAGUCCUUGAAAGAGAGAGUUUUCCAAGGCCCAGAUUACAAGUUCAUGUUAUUUACAAUCUCAAAAAGCUUCCAUACAAGUUGUGCUAGCCUAGCUACUUGCAAAAUCUUGGAAUAUUUUACUUCAUCCAAAUCCCUUGCAGUCUGUCUGCAGAGAAGAGAAAAGAUGGCUUUGAUCGGAGAGGCUCUUAUCUCUGCUUCCGUCCAGGUGUUGUGUGACAGAAUUACUUCAAGCGAGUUCGUCGACUUAUUUCGGCAGAAGAAACUGGACGAACCACUCCUCAUGAACUUGAAGACGACACUGUUGACUUUGUUCGUGGUGCUCAAUGAUGCAGAGGAGAAGCAACUUGUGAACCCUGCUGUGAGAGAGUGGCUUAACGAGCUCAAGCAUGCUGUCUUUGAUGCAGAGGACUUACUGGAUGAGAUCGACACUGAAGCUUUGCGACGCAAGCUGAAAGGUGAGGAUCAAACCCACAAAUUAACCAAUAAGGUGUGGAACUUACUCCCUUCUUCUCGUAAUCAUUUUUAUCAAAGCAUGAAUGUUAAGGUACAAGAGUUGUUGCAAAGAUUAGAAAACUUUGUACAACAGAAAAUUGCUCUUGGUCUGGGAGAAGUUGCUAGGAGGAAGGUUUCACAUAGAACUCCAACAACUUCCUUGGUUCAUGAACCUUGUGUAUAUGGUAGAGAUGAAGUCCAAGAAAAUUUAUCAAAAGUGUUGCUAUCUGAUGAUGCAAGCAAGGAUGAUGUGUCUGUCCUCACCAUUGUUGGAAUGGGUGGGGUUGGCAAGACAACCCUUGCUCGAAUGCUCUACAACAACAAUAAGGUGGAAGGGCAUUUUACACUUAAAGCUUGGGCUUGUGUUUCAGAAGACUAUAAUGCUUUUAGAAUAACUAAAACUAUUCUUGAGUCAGUCACUUCAAAGCCUUGUAAUACGACGGAUCUGAAUUUGCUUCAAGUUGAAUUAAGAGAGCAGUUGAGGGGAAAGAAAUUUUUAUUUGUGUUGGAUGAUCUAUGGAAUGAAAAUUAUGGCGAUUGGGAGCGCCUCCAAACUCCUUUUAAUUCAGGGGCCAGGGGAAGCAAAGUCAUUAUAACAACACGGAACAAAAAUGUAGCAUCUUUAAUGAAAAAUGUUCCCAUUCAAUUCUUGGAACCAUUGUCGCAUCAAGACUGCUGGUUGUUACUUGCUAAACAUGCUUUUGGAAAUGAAAACUAUAGUGCAAAUUCAAACUUGGAAGACAUUGGCAAGCAAAUUGCACUCAAGUGCAAAGGGUUGCCUUUAGCUGCACAAACACUUGGGGGUUUGUUACGUUGCAAUAUAGAUUCUGAGGAGUGGAAUAGAAUACUAAAUAGUAAUAUUUGGUACCUACCCCAUGGUACAACUGACAUUCUUCCAUCUCUAUGGUUGAGUUAUCAUUAUCUCCCCGCUCAGUUAAAACGAUGCUUUGUUUAUUGUUCACUUUUUCCAAAGGAUUAUGAGUUUGAAAAGGAAGAUGUAGUUCAAUUAUGGAUGGCAGAAGGCUUAGUUACUCAAGUUGAUAAUGGGAUGAUUAUGGAAUCAAUGGCUAGAAAAUACUUUGACGAGCUAUUAUCUCGGUCACUGUUUCAAAAGUCAAGAGAACUCAGUUUCACAAUGCAUGACCUCAUUCAUGACUUGGCUAUGUUCAUCUCUAAGGGGUUUUGCCUUAGGCUGGAAGGGGUGGAAUCACGUGAAGUUAAAAGAGCUCGUCAUUUGUCAUAUGCUAGGGGAAGAUUUGAUGUUGCUCCAAGAUUUGAACCAUUAUAUGAGGCUAAAUGUUUGCGGACCUUCCUACCUACCUCUUUAAAUCCAUAUAGAUCUUAUGAGAGAUUUUUUGUAAGUAAAAAAGUUCUACAAGAUUUGUUGCCAUCACUAAGAUGUUUACGGGUGUUAUCAUUGUCACGUUAUCAAAAUGUCACUGUGUUACCUGAUUCUAUUGGAAACCUCAUUCACUUGCGCUACUUGGAUCUUUCCCAUACUGCAAUUGAAAGGUUACCUGGGGUACUUUGCAAUCUCUACAACUUGCAGACUUUAAUAUUGUCAUAUUGUUCCUCUCUCUUUGAAUUGCCUGCAGACAUCAGAAAAUUGAUUAAUUUACAGAAAUUGACAUUGGGCGGUUGUAGUUCUCUUAAUAAAUUGCCUGCAGGCAUGAAGGAGUUGACUAAUUUGCAUCAUCUUGAUGUCAGUGGAACUAAAAUUGAAGAGAUGCCGGUGCAAAUGGGUAGAUUGAAAAGUUUGAGAACAUUGACUGCAUUUGUUGUGGGCAAAUCUACUGGGUUAGGCAUAAGAGAACUGAAGGAGUUCCCACAACUUCGAGGAAAACUAUCAAUUUUGAAGCUACAAAAUGUAGUUGAUGCGAGCGAUGCACUGCACGCCAAUAUGAAGCACAAGAAAGAUCUCAAGGAGUUAAAGUUUUCAUGGGGCGCGGAGGAUGCUGAUGAUUCCCAAAAGGAGAAAGAUGUACUCGACCAAGCUCCAGCCUUGCGUGAAUUUGGAGAAAUUAACCAUCAAAUUCUAUGGUGGAACCAAUUUUCCGAAUUGGUUAGGAGACUCGUCUUUUUCUAACAUACAAGUCAUGCAUCUCAGUGACUGUAGUUAUUGUUGGUUGCUCCCACCAGUUGGACGGCUACCGGCACUCAAAGAGCUCUGUAUAAAAAGAAUGAAGUCUUUGAGGACGAUUGGUGUUGAAUUCUAUGGGAGAGAUGGAGCUUAUCUGACUCAGCCAUUUCGAUCUCUGGAGAAGUUAGAGUUUAUGGGGAUGCCGGAGUGGGAGGAAUGGGUACCAAGUGGAAGUGCAAGUGGA
rnacentral:lncRNA from 1 species